ACAAAUUAUUUUAUUCUCUGCAGGGAAAUACAACUUCUGUGAAAGUAAGCAGUGACAUGAUCGAGGAGUUGCACCAAAGAGCAGAGCAGGUUUGGUUACCUGAAUUGUCAAGAAUGAUCAAAGAAACAAAGGAUCCUUUCCUUAAUGCUAUAUAUGAUCGGGAUCCUUUGGAGAAAAUCUUCUGGGACAGAGUGGUGUUAACAGGAGAUGCAGCUCACCCGACAACUCCACACUCUGCCAGAAGCACAAACAUGGCGAUAAUAGAUGCAGCAGUGUUAGGAAAAUGCCUCGAGAAGUGGGGGCCGGAUCAUUUAUACUCUGCUCUGGAAGAAUAUGAAUCCAUUAGGAAGCCUGUAACUUCAGCACAAGUUCUAUAUGCGCGACGAUUGGGUCAAAUGAAACAGGGGUUAAGUAUUCCUGGAAGGGAGCGGCCUUUUGAUCCAAAGACAGCAAGUCUAGAGGACUCGGAAUUCAUCGUUAACAUAAAAGUGCCUCUUUUCGACGUUGUUCCUCCGAUUCUUGAUUCAAUUUUUCGUUCUGCUUGAUAACUUCAAAGGACACGGUUGGUCUGUUCAUUAUGCUAACUAUAGCUGCCUAUAAAUAAGAGGGUUGACCUCAAUUGUGUGAGUGAAAGAACUGCUAUACUUAUGUUCCUUCCUGUAAUAACGAAAGCCUCUUAAUUCAGUGUCUCUACUUCUUCAGCAAAAUAAAAAUAAAUUCUUGAUCGAAAUACACCCAACUUUUCUAUUUUUCUUAUAAAAAUGACACCACGAUAGGAUGGGAUUGUCCUUGUGUUGUGUCAUUGAUCUAUCCAUAUUUGUUUUUCCCAAAAACAAUUUCCAUGAAGGAGGAUGUUUUGCUGCUUGUUAGUGCACGCUAUUUAAGCACAAGACAUGAUUGAGAUUUAUGCAAGGUAUGUGGUAGAAUUUAUGUAAGACGACCGAUGAUUCAUAAGGAAAGCUAAACAUGAGGGCUAAUAACUUUUACUAUGGUGAUCAACGCGUUGAAGAAAAUUUUUAGAAUUUUUAUUAUAAGUGGUGCAUACAAAAGUUGGUGAGUCGAACUUGUACUCAAAUACUAGCUCAUGUAUUAGGAGUUGCCUUAGGCUUACGUUAUUAAUCUAGUAACUAAUAUUAGCGAUAUGAAACAUUUUUUCUAUCAUCUUCCAUCACAUGUGUGUAGGUCAAUAUUUUUGUUUGGUCCUUGUCUAGUGAUAAGAUAAUGUGAGUGAUUUUGAGAGAAAAUAUGAAAAACACAAACUAUGAAAAUUCCCUUUUACUUAAACUAUGACAGAUUUGUUUACACUGAAGUUGAUAGAAGACAAUCGAAUGCGCAGGAGUGAAAUCUUGACAAAUUAAAGCGAGAACUAAGACAUGCUAGUCCUUUCUCGCGCAUUUAGUUGGCAUUAUUUUGCGUUGCAAAUAAAUGCGGGCACGGUUGAAGGCAUUUUAUCUUUCCGGAAGUGGAUGGAGAAAUAAAUAUAAUUAAAAGGGAUGCGAAUAAUAAAUGCAAUUUUUUCUUAAUAACGAAGAAUAUAUUAGAAAUAAAUUGAAAUGUAACAAAAUACUUGAAAUAAUUCAAUUGAUGGGUUUUUUCUUUGUCAAUAACGCCCGAUAGUUCCUUGUCAUGAGCUUCUUAUCUUCUGUCUUGAAGGAAGAAAUUACGAAAGACAAAUAAAACGAUUUCCUUUACACAUUCAAUCAAUGCUGCUCAUCCAUAAGUUUCCCAUUUAAUAAUAAUAAUAAUACAAUACAGAUAGCUCAACAGCACCAACCAAAACUUCACCACCAGUCACGGUGAAAUGUGAGAUGCAUGCGCUGAUUUUUAUUUUUAUUUUAAUUUUUAUAAUUACUGAUCGAAUAACAUUCUUUUGUUUAAUUAUUUGUUUUGAAUAAACUAGAGAAUGACAUUUAAAAUAUCAAAUAUUAAAUUUAAUGAUUUGUUGAGAGUGGUAAGAGUAUCUUCGCAUAAAAACUAAAAGUUAGUUGGUUAGCUAGUUAUAAUAGAAAAAAAUUAAGGGACCAAUUUGAAAUAUUUGAGCUAGUUAUAUAAAUUUCCCAUAGAUUUUCACGUACCGUUAGUUUUAAGAAUUCAACUUUGACAUGAUUAUGAAUUCCAAAAAUUGAUUAAGAAGAAAGACAGAAACUUUAGCAAUGAUGCUGAAUCAAUCAUUCAUUUUAUUUAAAUUAUGACUGGUAAUGUUUGGGGUUGACGACGCCUCACCAACUGUCAGGCAAUUAUCGUUUCCAAAAGUUUUCCAGAUUCAGCCUGAAAAUUUAACGGGUGUAAAAAAAUAAUUGAGGAUGAGUCUUUCUUUGUUAUUAUAUCAAUUGUUUUAUAAUUUUAAGAAGAUGAAUCAGCAUUGUAAGCCAUCAUUUUCAUUUAUAAUAAAGUUAAUAUACAAAAUGACCGGUGAGGUACCACCAUACCGGGCGGUGCAUGGAAAGAUGGGGAAUUUGGGACUUCCAGUGCGGCGAGAGACUGAGCAUGAGGGUGCUGCAGCGGCUGGGCAUCACUUAUGAGGUGGCUACUUAAUGACCUGAUCAGUUGAGUUUUGGAGAAUUUGGAUUUUGGAUCAAUUAGUUAGGGAGUUGAGUGAGUUUUGUAACUUUAAGAAAAUAGAAUUUGACUGUAAUUAUUAGUUAUAUCUUUAUUUUUUUACGAUAAGUUUUAAUAAGAGUAAAUUUACAAUUAACUAUUAUUAUUUUUUUAAAAAAAAAACCUUAGCCUCCUCUUACCUCCGCCCUUGGUACCUGCUAAAACCAAAUACCCAAAUUAUGAAAACGAAGAGCGAGACGAUAUGUUACUGGAUUGUUAUCAAAAUUUGAAGCUAGAACUUAGCAAUUGCCCAAAGAUAAAGAUUUGCUAAGAUUUUAAGACCCACAGACUUUUUAGUACCAAUUUAUCUUCGUUCCUUCAAGAAUGAUGGUGAUUUGUAGAGCCAUGCCCUGUAUUCAAAAUAAACAAAUUUGAAGAAUAUAUCUGUUGAUUCUGGUAGGGCAGGAGUCUCAUGCACAAGUUUCUCAUCUAUUUUCUUACCAGAACAAAUUUCUAGUCAAAAUGAGGGCGUGAAAGGAAGAUAAAUAGACGAAAUUUGGCCCACCACUUCCUAAAUGAAUAGCUUUUUACCGUAUUAAACGAGGAAAAAUGGAUUAGAUUCUCCCUUAAUUUGAUCUGAUUAGUGAUUACUAAAUAAAGACCACAGACUUUAUUGUAGUGUGUUUCGUCAUUUAAUACAUUGAAGUUUGUAUGUGGCCCCAGUUUUAGAUCACUUAAUUGGAAAGGCACUUCCUUAAUUAUUUUUCAAAAGCACAUCCUAUAAGACUCCAACAGAUGGAGUCCAAGUUCUAGAAUAGAUGAAUAAAUGAUGUCAAUUAAAUGGCAAUAGCCCACCAAAGAAGACAAAGAAAACAAGUUAGGAGAGAUUUUACGGUAUACCAAAAGUACUACACUUAAUUAAUACAUAUACGCUAUAUGUGUAUUUAUUUUUAAAAAAUUAUCAUGUAAUUAAUAGUUAUAUUUAAUUAAACUAUACAUAUCAUACAUGUAUUAGUUAUAUGUAGCACCUAUAUUAUACUCUAGAAUUUCUCACAAGAUAAUAUGUCAAUAUACCACAAACACAAAGUUUGAAUCCUGUGAAAUAUGUUUAAAAUUGACUCUUGUAGAAAUUAUUAUGUGGUGGUGAAAUGAUUAUGAUAAAUAAUAUAUUAACACAUGUCAAUAUAUAAUUAUGCUACAUCAAUGAGGGUACCAUUGGUUUCACAUUUUUAUUUUACGUCUUAACUUUUGUAUUGACAAUAUUAGUUUUGUAUUUUAUACACAUAUAUAUAACUAGUAAGUUAUUUUUUGCAAUCAAUAAAUAUCUAAUAACUCAAUACUUUUAUAUUUAUGCUCAUAAAAUUUUUACUUUUUAAAUAAAUAUUAAAAUAUCUUAAAAAUAAUAAGUUAUAUUUUUUUAACACUAAUUAAAACAAAUAAUUUUCACAUUUAAUCUUGUUUUAGUUAAUAACAUGGACCAUUCGCUCACCACUUGGCAUAACUUUGUAACCUAGGUCCUGUUUGGAAUCGAAGUAUUAUACCUUUUAAGUUACAACUGUCGUAAAAAUUUUGUAAUUAUAAAACAAAAAAUUAAUAGCUGUGAACUUAAUGAUUGCUUACUAAACUUUAGGUAUUUAUUUAUUUAAUUAAUUGUCUAAAAUUUACUUGUUAAUGUUAUUGACAAUACUUAUGUAUUGAUUAAAAAGAUGAAGUAAGGUAUUGAUCUUAUUGAUCAACAGAAAUAUUUUAUACUAGAUUGACAUAUUUGUGUAUUUAUUUUAAUGUUAAAACUUUAAUUUCUCAUUUAUACUGAUAAAAUUUAGAAAUGGGUAUUAUAUGUAGAUUUUUAAGCUCCUAUUAUAAAUUUAUAGUUCGACUUAUAUAAUUUAAUUUAUUUUUUGUGUUUUUAAAAGUAUUGUUUUAAUAUUUGGGAAGUAAAAAUCCAUUGCAGGUUACGCGAGGAUUUAGAAACCUACAGCAGGUGAAUUUUUUUUAAAAAUAAAAAACCCAUAGCGAGUUAAGAAUUUACUGAUUUAAUUACUUUUUACAAGUGCAUGUUUGAUAAUGAUAAAAUCACUGCACUGAAAGAAUUUCUAUGAAGAAUAUAAGUCUUGUUCUGUAUUUUUAAUGAAAUUUACAGAAUUAUUUAUACAAAAUAAAGACAAAGUAGCCGUUGAAAGGCUUAAUAAUAUUAAAGGAGAAUAAGUGAAUACUUCCUAAACUAUUGCACAAUAUCUUUAUACAAUAGGAAUGAAAUAUUCGUACAUGAUAUUGACAUUCAAGUGCAAAAAUCGUGCCGGAGAUAUUCCUUGACAAAUAACUUUGAUGUGAGCAAGUCGUGUCACGUGUGGAGUGAUUAACCCGACUUGACCGUUAAUGACUUUCCUUUUGGUAAUCUUGGUCAGCUUUCUUAACAAGUGGUACCCAUAACCCAUCCAUACUGCUAGGCUAGGUAAACAGCAUAAAUAAAUGUAUAACGAUUCUUAUAUAAAAAGCCACCACCCCAAGCCAAAAGAAAAAAAAAAUUGUGCUGAAUACAACAAUAUAAUUUCUUCAGUUAUAUUUCCUUGGAAACAAGAGAGAUGAAUAUGAAGAAGCAGAAGCCAAAAGCUAUUGUAGUUGGAGGAAGCAUUGCUGGGGAAUCAUGCGCAAAAGCACUUGUUUCAGCAGGCUGGGAUGUUGUUGUGAUUGAGAAAACUCGUGGACCCCCAACCCAAAACCCAACCGGUGCUGGCCUUGGACUCGAUCCAUUGGCUCAGAAAAUUGUUCAGUCAUGGCUCCAUGAACCUGAACUUCUUUACAACAACACUUUACCUGUCACCAUUACUGAGGUAUAUAAUAUAAUAUAUUUAAUUUUUUUUUUCCCAGCAGAAUCCAGUAGUGCUUUGAAUUAUACUGAUCUCUUAAAGAUAUUAGUUGCACACGUGUAUAUACAAUGGUGUAUGGUUAAGAUUUGAUAAAAGUAUAUUUUGCUCUGCACAAAGUACAAUUUAGAAUGGAAUCUCAUUGGGAAAAAAAUGUAUAUAUGUUGAAUAGAUAAAAUUUCAAUUUGUAUUUAAUUGCAGAACCUAGCAACAGAUGGGGAAAAGAAGAUCAGCUGGGUAAUAGGAAGAGAAGAAGGCGCUAAAUAUCUGACUGCAUAUUGGGCUGAUCUUCAUGGCCUUAUAUACAAUACUCUGCCACCUGAAAUAUUUUUAUGGGGUCACCAGUACCUCUCUUUCUGUAUUUCUGAGGACAAAUUAACUGUCAAAGUUAGAGCUAAGGAUCUUGAGACUGAUGAAAUAAUCGAGAUAGUAGGAGAUUUGCUCGUCGGAGCAGAUGGGAUCCUCUCAUCAAUUGGUCGGAGCAUUCUACCUGACUUCAAAUUGAGGUUUGUGCUUGCUUGUGAAUAUCAAUAAAAGUAAUUAAUUUUUGAGUAUUUUGUUUCAUAAAUUUCAAUGUGUUUUUAAUAGGUACACAGGAUACUGUGCGUGGAGAGGUGUUUUUAAUUUUUCAGAAAACGAUUCAGAAACCAUCUUAGGCAUUCGAAAAUCGUAUCCUGAUAUUGGGAAAUGCCUUUACACGAAUAUUGGUUCAGGAUCUCACAUCAUAGUCACUGAGCUUAAGAAAGAGAAGUUCAAUUGGGUUUGGUAUGUCAAUCAACCUGAGCCCGAGCUCAAGGUAACUGCUUACUUUUGUUUCAUCUUUUUAUUUUGUUUCCGGGGUUUUGGGUUGAGUGCUAAAAUCUAAUUUUUGCAAACGAUCAACACAGCUCAGACCAUCACUGGAUCCAUUUUUUUUUUAAUUUUAAUUUUCCGGUUUACCAAUGCAGUAUGACGUGACAUUGGGAAACAAAUUAUUUUAUUCUCUGCAGGGAAAUACAACUUCUGUGAAAGUAAGCAGUGACAUGAUCGAGGAGUUGCACCAAAGAGCAGAGCAGGUUUGGUUACCUGAAUUGUCAAGAAUGAUCAAAGAAACAAAGGAUCCUUUCCUUAAUGCUAUAUAUGAUUGCGAUCCUUUGGAGAAAAUCAUCUGGGACAGAGUGGUGCUAACAGGAGAUGCAGCUCACCCGACAACUCCACACUCUGCCAGAAGUACAAACAUGGCGAUAAUAGAUGCAGCAGUGUUAGGAAAAUGCCUCGAGAAGUGGGGGCCGGAUCAUUUGUACUCUGCUCUGGAAGAAUAUCAAUCCAUUAGGAAACCUGUAACUUCAGCACAAGUUCUACAUUCGCGACGAUUGGGUCAAAUGAAACAAGGGUUAAGUAUUCCUGGAAGGGAGCGGCCUUUUGAUCCAAGGACAGCAAGUCUAGAGGACUCGGAAUUCAUCGUUGUGCCUCCUUUCGACGUUGUUCCUCCGAUUCUUGAUUCAAUUUUUCGUUCUGCUUGAUAACUUCAAAGGACACGGCUUGGUUUGUUCAUUAUGCUAACUAUAGCUGCCUAUAAAUAAGAGGGUUGACCUCAAUUGUGUGAGUAAAAGAACUGCUAUACUUAUGUUCCUUCCUGUAAUAACGAAAGCCUCUUACUUAAUUCAGUGUCUCUACUUCUUCAGCAAAAUAAAAAUAAAUUCUUGAUCGAACUAAACCCAACUUUUCCAAUUUUCUUAUAAAAAUGACACCACGAUAGGAUGGGAUUGUCCUUGUGUUGUGUCAUUGAUCUAUCCAUAUUUGUUUUUCCCAAAAACAAUUUCCUUGAAGGAGGAUGUUUUGCUGCUUGUUAGUGCACGCUAUUUAAGCACAAGACAUGAUUGAGAUUUAUGCAAGGUAUGUGGUAGAAUUUAUGUAAGACGACCGAUGAUUCAUAAGGAAAGCUAAACAUGAGAGUUAGUAACUUGUACUAUGGUGAUCAACGCGUUGAAGAAAAAUUUUAGAAUUUUUAUUAUAAGUGGUGCAUACAAAAGUUGGUGAGUCGAACUUGUACUCAAACACUAGCUCAUGCAUUAGGAGUUGCCUUAGGCUUACGUUAUUAAUCUAGUAACUAAUAUUAGUGAUAUGAAAUAUUUUUUCUAUCAUCUUCCAUCACAUGUGUGUAGUAAAACAAUAAAACUCUGGAGGACGAUUUGUAAUCCUCAGUUUUCAAUGAGGUUCAUAUCACAUAUCCUUCACUUAUAUACAAGCUAAGAAUACAUAUGAUAAACAUUAGCUUACAAGAUAACUACAAGGAUCUAACGAUAACUACAAAGAUAAUUACAAGACUAACGAUAAGAAUAUUUUAAGUUUUAUCUUUAUCGUUAUCACACCCCCGCAAGCUGACAGGACAAGAACGAACUGGAAGCUUGGAAAUUAGAUAGCGAAAGCGAGAAGUAGACAGGCCUUUAGUAAGACAAUCAGCAAGUUGAUCGAGAGUAGAGAUAUAACGAACAUCAAGCUCUCCGCGAACAACCUUUUCUCGAACAUAGUGAUAGUCAACCUCUACAUGACGAGUCCGGGCAUGAAACACAGGAUUGGAGGCCAAGGAAAUGGCACUUAUGUUAUCACACCACAUGCGAGGACAAGACAUAGGAAUAUGUAAGUCUUUGAACAAAGAUCGAAACCAAGAUAAAGUAGCAGCUGUAUAUGCAAGCUGUCUGUACUCAGCCUCGAUACUAGAACGAGAAACCCCUUUUUGCUUCUUAGAACUCCAAGAAAUAAGAUUAGGUCCAAUAAAUAUUCAGGAACCCCCUGUGGAUACUCGAUCAUCAGGAUCACCAGCAUAGUCGGCAUCAGAAAAGGCUUGUAGUUCCAUUGAACCAGAUGAAUAAAGCAGACCAUGAGUGGUUGUACCCUUCAAAUACCGCAAGAUGCGUUUAACUGCACACCAAUGAGCUGUUGUAGGACGAUGCAUGUAUUGACAAACCUGAUUAACAACAAAUGAAAUAUCCGGACGAGUGAUUGUAAGAUACUGCAAAGCACCAACAACACUACGAUAUUCGGUGGGAUUUGAAAGUAAAUCACCAUCAAACAGAUUGAGACGACGACCACUCACUGCUGGUGUUGUCAUAGGCUUUGAAUUGAGGAACUCAGUGCGAUGUAAAAGAUCUAGAAUAUACUUGGUUUGACACAAGUGGAGCCCCAUUGCUGUUUGAGUAGCUUCAAUACCCAGAAAAUAAUGUACAGGACCAAGAUCUUUCAUAGAGAAUAAUUUGCUCAUAUGAUGUAUCAUUUGAGAAAUAUGAUAUGAACUAUUUCCCGUAAUUAAAAUAUCAUCAACAUAGAUGAGUAAAUAUAGAAGCACUGAAUCAUGUGAAUAAAUAAAUAGAGAAUAGUCUGCCAGUGAUUCAUGAAAGCCCAAUUGUUCUAAAUGACUAGAGAAACAUUGAAACCAUGCCCUAGGAGCUUGUUUAAGGCCGUAGAGAGAUCGGGGAAGCUUACACACAAAAGUAGGAUAUUGUGGAUCAACAAAGCCAAUAGGUUGGCGCAUAUAGACAUCCUCCUAUAAAUAACCAUGCAGGAAAGCAUUUUGCACAUCUAACUGUCGAAUAGGCCAGCUUUUGGUAACAGAUAUAGCUAAAAUGAGACGAAUGGUAUUGUGAUUAACCACUGGACAGAACGUCUCACCAAAAUCAAGGCCAGGUUGUUGAUGAAAACCAUUAUCAACUAAACGAGCUUUAUAACACUCAAUACUUCCAUCAGCUUUUCGCUUAAUUUGAUACACCCAUUUAUUUGGAAGGACAUUGUAAGAUGGAUGUGGAGGAACUAAUACCCAAGUACCAGUUCUUUGAAGAGCAUUAAAUUCAUCACCCAUUGCUUGUCGCCAACGAGAUUCCUUAUUUGCCUGUACAAAACCAUUAGGCUCAACAGCAUCAUUAGCAACUACAUUUGCAUAUUUUGGGUUUGGUUUCACAAUACCGGCUCUUGCUCGAGUGACCAUUGGAUGAGAAGAUAAUGCAUCCGAAGUAAUAUUAUCACAGGGCAUCGAUGGUGUCAGUGUAGGUGAAGAUAAUGAUUCUGGAAUUGUAUUAUUACUUGAAUUGGUGGGGGCCGAAUUAAGGCUAGGAGAAUUUGUAUUUGAGAUGAGUGGAGUGGAGGAAGAUGAAGAGGCACUUGAACGUAAUGAUGGAGAAUUAAUUGGAGAUGAUAGGGAAUGGGGUAAAGGUGAAUUAAAUGAAGAUGGUGAUGUGGCUUGGGAAGGAGAUUGUGAUGUAGGUUCUGUUGGAGCUAAAUGUGAAGUAUUAGCAUUAAUCCAAAGAAUAUUGAGUCCUGUAGAAUUUGACAUUAAAGUACUCACCCCCGGAGGCCUAGCAGUAACAUGGUCAACGAAAGGAAAUUUAUUUUCAUUAAAAAGAACAUGACGAGAUAUAAAUACAGUGCCUGAAGGAAUAUGCAAACAACGAUAUCCAUGUUGAUUGAAUGAGUAUCCCAAGAAAACACACUCUUUAGAACGAAAUUGUAAUUUAUUUGAAUUGUAAGGACGAAGAUAAGGGUAACAUGCACAUCCAAAGGUCUUUAAAAAAUCAUAUUGAGGAGUUUUAGAAAAUAGUAAAGAGUACGGUACUCGAAAUUUUAAAGAUUGAGAUGGUAGACGAUUAAUUAAAUAUACAGAUGUAUAAAAAGCUUCAGUCCAAUAAGUAGUAGGCAUUGAGGCAUGUGCAAGUAAAGUUAAGCCCAUGUCAACAAUUUGUCUAUGUUUACGUUCAGCAAUACCAUUUUGUUCAGGAUGAUGAGGACAUGUGAGAUGAUGAUUAAUGCCAUGAGUAUUUAGAUAAUCCUUAAAUUGAUGAUUAACAUAUUCACCACCACCAUCAGUUUGAAAUGACUUAAUAGUAAUGGAAAACAUAUUUUCGACCAACGAUUUAAAAGUUUUAAAAAUUAUAAAAAUCAGAUUUCAAUCGCAUAGGAUAAAGCCAUACAUAUCUGGAAAAAUUAUCAAUAAAGAUAACAUAAUAUUUAUAACCAGAAAUAGAACGAAUAGGAGAGGUCCAAACAUCAGAAUGUAUUAAUUCCAAAGGAGAAUGGGAGACUGAAAAAGAACUUGUAAAAGGUAAUUUCUGACUCUUUCCUAAAGGACAUGACGAACAAAAAAAUAAAGAUCGAGAUCCCAAAAUGAGUAGCUUAUUAAAAGAUAUAAGUUUAUUUAAAACUACGGACGAAGGAUGUCCAAGCCGUGAAUGCCAAAUUCAAGCAUCACUACGAACACCAACAUAAGCAAAUGGAUGACUAGGUUGAAAAAUUCGACCAGGAAAUAGAUAAAGACCAUUACUGCUCGGUCCGAGGAAAAGUGCCUUCUUCAUUGCCAGAUCUUGUACAACAAAAUAAUCAGGAAAGAAGGUGAAACUACAAUGAUUGUCAUUAGCAAAUUUAUGAACGGAUAAAAUAUUAUGGGAAGCUUGUGGACAAUGAUGAACAUCCUUUAAAAGAAAAGUGGAAGAAUUAGCAGAUAAGUAAGAAUGACCAAUGGAUUUAAUAGGCAAACCUGAACCAUUGACGACACCACUGAUGGUAUCCUGACCAUUGUAAUCACGAGGAUGCAUUAAAUUCCCAUUAUUUGGAGUUAUAUGAGCAUUAGCACCAGUAUCUGUUAACCAAUUUGGGGAACCAAAAGAUGUUGAUGUAGAAAUCAUUGCAGAAAGCUGUUGGGGAGGGAUACGACCCUCAUAUGCAUGAUUCAUGCGAUUGUAGCAAUCAAUAGCUGAGUGACCCAUUUUCUGAUAGAUUUGGCAUUGAAUCCGAUUGUCAGAAGGAAAAGGACCCAUUGGGGGUUUGUUGAUAGGACCAUUACUAGGAUUGAAAUUUGGCAAAGAGGAAAAAUUCCCACGUCUUGGAGUUGGCAGUAGCCCUCUAUUUUGAGAACCAAAACCAGUAUGAUUAGAACUACUAGACCAUCCAGUAAAACCAUUACCACCAUUGAAACCCCCAGAAAAAUUAUUAACACCACCACGACCACUAUUAUUACGCGGGAAGCCACGACCAUCUCUAUUAUUUGGGCCACCUCGAGUGGCUUUCAUGACAACUGUUGAGUCGGACGGAUACAGAUAUUGUUUAAUAGAAGUGAGGCGUCGCUCAGCACUCAAAAGUAAAGCUUCAAGACCAACAUAACUAAUAGGAGUUUCACGAGCUUGAACAGAGGCAACUGUAUUUUCAUAUAAAUGACCAACAAUACUCAUAAUAAUGGAGACCAAGUCUUCAUCAGAAAUAUGACUACCAGAGAGAGAGAGAUUGUCAGCAAUAGAGUGAAUUUUAUCCAGAAAAUCAGAAAUAGAAAGAUCACCGCGUUUAGUAGUAACUAGCUCAGUACGCAACUCGACGAUUCGUUGUUGAUUUUGGGAAGCAAAACGUUGAUCUAAAGAAGACUAGACAGCACGUGCAGAAGUGUAACGUGCAACAGUACUUAGCAAGGAUUGAGAAAGAGAGCCAUUAAUCUAAGAGAGAACAAGUUGAUCAUUCUGAAUCCAUUCCUCAUAUGCUGGAUUAAUUAUAUCAGUUACUUCUCCAUUUUUUUCUUUUAGAAAAGGAGCAGGACAAACGCUUGUGCCAUCAACAUAUUUUUACAAAUUACGACUGCGAAGAAGAGGCACAAUUUGAGCAAGCCACAAAGGAUAAUUAUUUCGGUCAAGACGAACAUUGACUGAAUUGGUAAUAUUAGAGGGCAGAGAUGAAGAACUAGCAUGGGAAGUGGAAGAAGAACUCAUCAUGAAAAGAUUGAGAAUUUAACACAAAGGUUGUUAGACUUAUAAAGUUCUGAUACCAUAAAACAAUAAAACUUUGGAGGACGAUUUGUAAGCCUCAGUUUUCAAUGAGGUUCAUAUCACAUAUCCUUCACUUAGAUACAAGCUAAGAAUACAUAUGAUAAACAUUAGCUUACAAGAUAACUACAAGGAUAAUUACAAGACUAACGAUAACUACAAAGAUAAUUACAAGACUAACGAUAAGAAUAUUUUAAGUUUUAUCUUUAUCGUUAUCAUGUAGGUCAAUCUUUUUGUUUGGUCCAUGUCUAGUGAUAAGAUAGUGUGAGUGAUUUUGAGAGAAAAUAUGAAAAACACAAACAAUGAAAAUUCCCUUUUACUUAAACUAAGACAGAUUUUUCUACACUGAAGUUGAUAGAAGACACUCGAAUGCGCCGGAGUGACAUCUUGACAAAUUAAAGCGAGAACUAAGACAUGCUAGACUGCUAGUCCUUUCUCGCGCAUUUAGUUGACAUUAUUUUGCUUUGCAAAUAAAUGCGGGCAUGGUUGAAGGCAUUUUAUCUUUCCAGAAGUGGAUGGAGAAAUAAAUAUAAUUAAAAGGGAUGCGAAUAAUAAAUGCCAGUUUUUCUUAAUAAUGAAGAAUCUAUUAGAAAUAAAUUGAAAUGUAACAAAAUACUUGAAAUAAUUCAAGUGAUGGGUUUUUUCUCUGUCAAUAACGGUUGAUAGUUCCUUGUCAUGAGCUUCUUAUCUUUUGUCUUGAAGGAAGAAAUUACAAAAGACAAAUAAAACGAUUUCCUUUACACAUUCAAUCAAUGCUGCUGCCUUUAUACCUUUAUUAUUCUCGGAGGGAUGAUACUGUUGAGAGCCGAAACCAUUACCCACACUCACUCCUCUUAUGGCCAUGUCUAACUCUCUACAAUAAUUUUGAUAUUGCUGUUCUUCAGUUCUUCCACUACUCAACAAAUGCGAAGGUAUGCGAUGGCUCCCCUCAAUCAAGUUGAUUUUACAUUUGUUACAAUAUACUCCCGCCAUUGCUAGAGCCUCUAUGGACAUGUUUUAACAAGGUGAAGGAGGAGCUAAAUAAAAUUCACAAUUUUCCUGAAAGUUUACAGCUUCCAGGAAAUUCACCACCUCUAUAGAAUUGUAAUAACAAGAAUUGUGGUCUCCGUAAAAGAAUUUAUAAGAGUUAAUAUAAAAGAUUUGUUUAGGAGAAUGAAUUUUAUACGGACUAGAAAUACUCAUGAUUAAUUAGUUAUUCAGAAGGUUUAGAAAUCCUCUCGAUAUCAGGAAGCCAUUUAAGAUUCUGAUUAUUGUUGUUCUAAAUAUAUUAGUUUGCACCAACUUCCAAUUCCACAAUUACUCUGACAGCGGUUUUCACAGACUUAUUUAUGUAUCUGAAUCUUUUUUAUUCAUGAAAGAAUAAUCUCUUGCAAACUCACAACUUCAAUUAUGAAUAAACUAGGUAGCAACCAUUUCUUUACUUUUAAUUGCUUUGGAAAUUAAGGAUUCGUCAGCCGCCAGAUUCCGCAGUGAUUCUGUUGCAUUGGAUUCCUUCAAUUUCCUUUUGCAUUCCAUUAUUUGUUGAACUAUUUAUGCACGAGUGGAGGACGAAUUCUAGAAUACAUUUGAAAUAAUACAAUCAACCAAUGCAUGCACACCACUCGUAUGGAGAUUUUUCAAAAAUAAAUGUACACAUGUCAUAAUAUUAUCUACUUGUUAUAUGACUGACAUGAUAUUUUUCAUGUAUUCUAAAUUUUUUCUGAGUGGAGACCAUGAGUGGUAACAUCCUCGUUACAAAAGAGUAUUACAAAGAGAGAAUCACUUGUCAAUUUCAAUAUUUAUUGUAUUGAAACUACUAAGUAUAUAAGCUCGGACAACCCUAAUUUCAUGAUGAGGGGUUAAAGACAAUACUAUUCUAAAAGAAAAUGGAACGAAAUCGUCCAUCCAUAGCCAUUAUUUGACUUUUAGAUUUGCCCUUCCAAAUUUUAACAAAAUGCGCAGACGAUUUUUAAUUUAUUCAUGUGAGCAAAGUACAACAAAAUUAUUGAACCAAUCAGAACCAAGAUGGAAAUGAUCAUAAGCAAAAGUAAUUUGCAAGGAUGAAUGGAAGCAGAUAAAUUAUUCUAAUUAAGAAGGAUAUUUACUAGGAUCAUACCUUAAUCACUUUAUUAUAAAUUAAAAAUGUCCGUACAAGAACUGCUGCAAAUUAAUUAAACUAUUGGAAAAAGAAAAAUUGUAGACAAAAUCUCAAUGAAUUUUAAGCCAAUUUGGCUAACAAAGACAUGCAACCAGCGCCUAAAAGAAGAGAAACAUUUGCUCCAAACUGAAGCCUUUUAUUGGUUUGCAUCUUUGGAUUCAUAAAAUCUGCAGCAAGAAGAUCCACCAAGGACAUGUAUAUUAGGAUUCUGGCUGCUGCUGCAUUGAAUAUUCCUUCAACAACAAGAGCAGUGGCGCUAUUUUUGUCAUAAACACUUGAUAUUUCAAUGCCUAUUUUUACACUAAUUUGAUCAUUUUGUAAUAUAAAAAUUUGACAAUUGAAAAACAAAUCAACUUUUUUUUUUGUUAAAAGAAAACGAAUCAACUUUUAAAUUCAUUUUAAAGUAAAAAAAAAUGACAGUAAAAUACUAUUAACGUAAGGGGAUUUCAGUAAAUUUUAGAACAUGAGAGAUAAAUGACUAAUUUUACUAGACAAAGGGGGUUAAUUUUCUCCUAAAAAAAAUUAGGUAUUGGUUGAUGACUUUUAAAAAAAAAACUACUCUUUAUUAUUAUUUUUUUAAAUUUUCUUUUUGUUCGACCAAAACUCCCAUGGUAUUGGGAUAUACCUAAAUUUGAUGUAAAAUUAGGGAUUAGUUAAAUGAAAUAAUUUAAACACUGCAUAAAAUCUGUUUGUGGGGUAUGCUUCGACGAAGACCAGCAGUGAUAAGCAGACAUUUGGUAGCAGGGUUCCUUGAACAUGUAUAUCUUGUAAGAGUCUGGUAGCCAGGGGAGCAGGAGCAGGAAUAUCCUGCUCGUCCACGAGUACGUCAUCCAUAAGGCCAAUCUCCUGUUGGAAGCAUAAAGUCAUUCCUGCUACAUUCCUGCUAAGGGUUGAGUCGAGGAGACCCGGUCAACGACAGUUGGCGAGACGUGCUCUCCAGUCCGAGAAUCAAGGCACGAAGGCCACGCAACCACCCACGACUACAGAAAUGGAGCAUCCACUUUCGAGAGGUGGGAGGAUAACGAGCGCGAAUGGAGGGAAGGCCUGAGUUCAGAAGUGGCCUAUAAAAAGGUAGGCAACGAAGGUAAAAGGGUUAGAAUUUUUUAUAGGAGAACUAAGAUAAAGAGAGCUCUAAAGAAUGAAUACUAGAGAAAAGCCAUAAGAUUAGUGGCCAGUGUUCCCAAGAGCACAAAACCUUCAUUUCUAACUUGAGCGUCGGAGGGUUUACGCCAGGGAAACAACCGGCGUACUCUGACCUGCUUCUGUGUACGCAGGAACCUCAGGAGAAGAAGCCUUACGAGAAGAGAUCCUGGUCGUGAUAAAGAGGGCAACCAGAAUCUCGCAUCAAUAUUUUGACGCCGUCUGUGGGGAACUGAUCACAAAGUUUUUGUUGACAGCAAAAAGAGGAGUAAAGCAAGUGAAAAAACAAUGGAGGCAGGAGGAAGUAGUGCACAAGGGGGGUGAUAUGAGGCUUAACGAUUCCGUGACGCUGAGGGAGAUAGACAGUUAACCACGGGAAAAAGCCAUGUUUGACCGAAUAGAACGGAUAGAAAAGCAGAUGGAGACCCUGACAACCAUCUUACAUGAGCUGUGGAGUGAAAGAAGGGGAACCCAGGAGGAAAGGGUGAGAGGUGGUGGAGUGGCACCAGGUCACGAUAGUAUGAGGAGAGUCAAACCACCAGGAGAUUUGGUGGUGAGAGAGGUAACUUAUCUCUGCGGGGAGAAAUUCAUAGAGAGGAAGAGCAAUCCUUAGCAAGACAGAUUUUUGAUGAGGACGACGGGGUGGCGAAUGCAGAGGAAACAGAGCUCAGGCAACACUUACAUGAUGUAGAGCAAGAGCGGGAUCAAGUUGCAGCACGUGACCCUAGUCGUGCAGUGCAGCUGGAGAAGGAAGUGCGCAGACUAGCGCAGGUAAUUGAAGACAUGCAAGGAAGGAGCAGAGCUCCUGGUUGGAGGAUAAUGCUGGACGGAGAAUCACCGCUCGUGGCAGAGAUCAUGAGGGCAGUCAUUCCAAGAGAUUUUCGUCUCCUAGACCUUAGAUAUUUGGGACGAACUGAUCCGUUGGUGUACAUAGAGCGCUUCAACGACAUAACUGGGGUGCAAGGAUUAUCUCAAGCCCAAAGGUGCAGGGUGUUCCCACUAUCCCUAGAAGGACGUGCACGCGAGUGGUACAGAAAAUUUCCUCGGGGGAGCAUUAAAACCUUCGAGCAGAUGUGCCAGGAAUUUGUAGAGCAGUUUCGUGGGGCAAUGGCACCAGAAGACGACAUGAUGGAGUUGAAAAGCAUGAAGCAGAGGGAGCAAGAAACCCUUCGGGAAUUCUUCAAGAGGUUUCAUUGUGCUGUCCUCGAUUUGGAAGCCUUCAACCAUCCUCAGGCAUUAAGGGGAUUGAAAGAAGAGGUGAAGAUAAGAAAAAGUGAUGUCCGUUUUGCCGUCUGAUUUCUCCUUUAUUGUGAAAUGACUAUAAUGCCCCUAAAAUACAUAAAAUACUUAAUUAAAAUAAAACACAUGUAAUUAAAUCACAAGAAGGUUAAACACAUAAAAGUAAGGGUUGUUAAUAAGACUUGAAAUGUAAAAUGACGGUUUUCUCCUUUAUAAAUAUGCAUUUUCUAACACUCAACACUUACCAGCCUCAUCAGAGGCUACCACAGUAUCAGCGCAGCAGGGCGCAACCUCCUCGCUCACCAGCUAGGGAGCCUUGGAGACGGCAUGACGCGGCAUAUGGUGGUCUUCAUCCACACUCCCAUGGUAGUAGAAGGAGCAGACCGAAAGCGCUGCCACCGCCUCCAACUCAGAACGGCGCAAAUAGAGAAAGGGCAGUGCACAUGAUCAACCAGAACCAGGACUAUGGGUGGUAUACUUCCUUGAAGAUGCCCCUGGAUGAGGUGUAUGAGGCCAUAAAAGACCAGGGACUACUGUACCUCUCUGCCCCAAUAACAAAGCUACGCAGCAGGAGGGAUAGGGGACACUAUUAUAAGUUCUAUGGCACUUAUGGCCAUACCACUGCAGAAUGCAGAGAUCUCAAGACCCAGGUUGAGGAUUUGGUGAGAAAUCGGUACCUGGACGAGUUUAUAUAUGGGACUUUCCCGAUGAUGGCCUCGACAUGUGAAGGGGAGCAGAGUGACAGAAACUUGAGGCACGAGCAGCCUACAGUAAGGGUGAUAGCUGGGGGCCCAACAUUGGCCGGAGAUUCCAACAGAUCGAGGAAGAAUUAUGCUAGAUACGCCAUGACUAGUAAAGAGGUAUUCUUCAACACCCCAGCAGUCAAACGAGCAAGAGUCAGGCAAGUGCCAAUCAUGUGGACAGAUGAGGAUGAAGAAGGGAUUUUAUACCCCCACGAGGAUGCUUUAGUCAUCAAGGCCACUGUUGCUAGCAAGAAGUUUGACCAGAUACUGGUUGACACAGGGAGCUCAGUUGAUGUGUUGUUAAAGGCAACUCUGAAGGAGAUGGGAAUAGCAGACUUGAAGUUGGAGUGCUCCAAUACCUCCUUGAAGGGGUUUGGAGGAGGAAAGCUGGUCCCUCUGGGCGUGGUCGAGCUGCCUAUCACGAUUGGGAGCUCCCCGACAGAAAGGACUAUGAUACUGGACUUUGUGGUGGUGGAUGAAGAAGGUCCUUAUCAGAUGAUCCUAGGUCGACCAUUUUUUAGAAUGAGCAAAGUGGUACUGUCCAACCAUUAUCUAGCUCUCAAGUACCGGGUGAAUGGGGUAGUUGGAGUGGUACGAGGAGACCAGAGAAUCGCACGAAGUUGUUACUCCUCGGCAGCAAGGGAAGCAAUGCAGAUAACAUCCCUUGAUACCCGAGUGGAAAAUAAGAAUUGCGGACAAGAACCUGUAGAGGAGCUGGAGACAGUGAGCCUGGGACCGGAGCAUCCGGGAAAAACGAUCAGAAUCAGGUCGAAACUUAAAGAAGAGCAGAAGCAGGAGUUGGUGCAAUGCUUGCGGGCUCAUGCAGAUGUGUUUGCUUGGACACAUGAAGACAUGCCAGGGAUUGAUCCUGAGGUAGCAUGUCAUAAGCUGGUAAUAAAGAAAGGUGCUCGGGCAGUAAGGCAGAAAAGGAGGUGUUUCAACCAGGAGAGGUAUGAGGCUAUAAAUGGCGAGGUGGAAAAGCUCUUGAAAGCAGGGUUCAUUCGGGAAGUCAAUUAUCCUGACUGGGUAUCGAAUGUGGUGUUAGUAAAAAAGGCUAAUGGCAAGUGGAGGAUGUGUGUGGAUUUCACGGACCUCAACAAGGCGUGCCCGAAAGACAGCUUUCCCUUACCAAAGAUUGACCAGCUUGUAGACUCGACAGCUGGACAUAGCCUGCUUAGCUUCAUGGACGCAUUCUCGGGAUACAACCAAAUCCCCAUGUUCGAGCAGGAUGAGGAGAGCACGGCAUUUAUUACUAACCAGGGUCUGUUCUGUUACAGAGUAAUGCCAUUCGAUCUUAAAAAUAUGGGGGCCACGUACCAGAGGCUGGUGAAUAAAGUUUUUAAGCCGUUGAUUGGGAGAACAAUGGAGGUGUACGUGGAUGACAUGAUAACUAAGUCGAAAAUCUCAAAGGAACAUGUCAAGCACCUCGAGGAGACAUUCGCACUUUUGAGGAAGUACAAGAUGAAGCUCAACCCGGAAAAGUGUGCUUUUAGGGUCGAGUCAGGGAAAUUCCUCAGAUUCAUGGUGAGUCAUAGGGGGAUCGGGGCAAAUCCCGAGAAGAUCCAGGCGAUUGUUCAGAUGAGGUCUCCUCGUAACCUGAAGGAGAUGCAGAGCCUUACGGGGAGGCUGGCGGCAUUGAGCCGAUUCAUAUCCAAGGCUACAGAUAAGUGUCAGCCAUUUUUUCAAGUGAUAAGGAAAGGAGAAGACAUAAUGGACCCCAGAAUGCGAAAAGGCCUUUCAGAGCUUGAAGCAAUACUUGUAGCAAGCACCCUUGUUGUCCACACUAAGGGAUGGGGACAAGUUAUCUUUGUAUUUGACGGUAUCAGAUCAUGCCACAAGUUCUGUUCUGGUGAGAGAGGAAGAAGGGGUUCAGUAUCCGAUAUAUUACACCAACAAGGUCCUGCUUGACGCUGAGACCCGAUACCCACCGUUGGAGAAAUGGGCACUCGUUCUUGUGGUCGCUGCUCGGAAGCUGAGGCCGUACUUUCAAGCAUUCCCCGUCUCGGUAAUAACAAACCAGCCAUUGCGUCAAACCCUACACAAGCCGGAUGCCUCUAGUCAACUCGUAAAGUGGGCUAUAGAGCUAAGCGAGUUUGACAUUGAUUACAAACCCCGAGCAGCGAUAAAGGCUCAAGCAAUGACUGAUUUCGUAGCAGAGUUUGCAGAGCCUGAAAUAUGUUUGGACCAGCUAGAUAUUGCUACAGACAGCAGCGAAGCCCGAGUAUGGCAGAUGUCUGUAGAUGGGUCAUCAGGGGAGCAGGGAUCAGGAGUAGGAAUUGUCUUGGAAGGCCCAGAGGGGGAGGAGAUCUCUUAUGCUGUAAAGUUAGAAUUCGCAGCCACAAAUAACCAGGCAGAGUACGAAGCCUUGAUAGCAGGCUUGGAAUUGGCUAAGGCAGUGAAAACAGAUAGAGUGAAGAUCAGAACUGAUUCCCAGCUGGUUGCAAAUCAUGUCAGUGAAAGAUUUCAACCGAGAGAGGAGAAGAUGGAGCAGUACCUGAAGAUAGUCAGGCAGAUGAUGGAGAAAUUUGAAGUGGUUGAGGUGAUACAAAUCCCCAGGGAGCAGAAUAGUCGAGCAGAUAUUUUGGCCAGGAUGGCAGCGGUAGCAGACCCAAAAAUGCCAAAGUCGAUCCCUCUGGAGGUGAAGUCCAACCCGAGCACCGAGCAGAAUCUGGAGGUGCUGCGGAUAGAACAAAAAUGCUCGUGGAUGGACUCGAUAAUUUCAUACCUUAGAGACGGGGUAUUACCACCAGAUAAGCUGCGAGCUCGAAAGAUUAGAGCCCAGGCCUCGAGAUACACGAUGAUUGAUGGGGUGUUAUAUCGGUGAAGGUAUACGCUACCGUUCCUUCGGUGUUUGGAUGAGGACGACGCGGACUAUGUACUGAGAGAGGUACAUGAAGGAAUCUGCAGAAACCAUUCUAGUGGGAGGUCCCUGGCCCACAAGGUUCUAAGGCAGGGAUAUUUUUGGCCGACAAUGCACCAGGAUGCGCAGGAGAAGACCAGGAGCUGUGUAAGCUGCCAGAGUUUUGCAAGUUUCUCCAACCAACCACCAGAGAAGCUCACCUCUAUGGCCUCCCCUUGGCCAUUUGCUCAAUGGGAAAUUGAUCUGAUCGGCCCGUUGCCAAAGGGACGAGGAGCAGCAACACAUGCAAUAGUUGCGAUAGACUACUUCACGAAGUGGAUAGAGGUAGAAGCCCUUAGCAGGAUCACAGAGAAGAAGACAACAGACUUCGUGUGGAGAAACCUGGUCUGUCGGUACGGGAUCCCUUAUGCCUUGGUAACGAAUAAUGGCAGGCAGUUCGAUAAUCACAGCUUCAGGGAUUUCUGCCAAAACCUCGGGAUAGAGUUGAAAUAUUGCUCGCCUGCUUACCCACAGUCUAACGGGCAAGUAGAAGCAGCCAACAAAACGAUCAAGAGGCUUUUAAAAACCAGGCUUGGAGCAAAAAAGGGUGCUUGGGUUGAUGAGCUAUCAGGUGUACUAUGGGCAUACAGGACAACCUAUAAGACAACAACUGGGGAAACUCCAUUCGCCUUGACCUUCGGACACAAAGCGGUUGUACCAGCCAAGAUAGGAACAACCACGCACUGGACAGAUCAUUUCGAUGAGCAAGAGAACAACGACCAGAUGUGCUUGAAUCUAGAUCUGCUAACCGAGAAGAGGGAACAAGCAUCGAGGUGAUCAGCCAUUUACCAGCAGAGGGUUGCUCGGUACUACAACCAGAGGGUGAAUGUAUGGCAGUUCAAGGUCGGAGAUUGGGUGUUGAGGAGAGUGAAUCAGAACACGAAAGACUCGGCCUAGAGAGUACUCAGACCAAAUUGGGAGGGGCCAUAAAGGGUCAAGCAGCUAGUUAGACCCGGAGCUUACAAGCUGGUUCGCACGGAUGGCCACGAGGUGAAAUGCCCAUGGAAUGCGGCACACCUCAGGAAAUAUUUUCAGUAAGACUUAUUCAUGUUUUAAAGUUAUUUCUGUUCAUGCUCGUUGUUUUUUAUUUUUAUUUCAAAGUAAUCUCAUGUAAGCCGAAUUCAAUAAUAAGUGAAUCAAUGAGAAAUUUCAGUUAACUGUACUGUUCAAAAAUUUACUAAGGCAUGCAAAGGCUCACCAAGUCUCAAAGCUUGUUAUGGCGAGACCAGAAGCCAAGUGUGCCAGGAUCUGCUCGACCACGCGAAGGUGAGCAGAACCCCAAGCAUUGAAGAAUUUACUAAGGCAUGCAAAGGCUCACCAAGUCUCAAAGCCUGUUUAUGGCGAGACCAGAAGCCAAGCGUGCCAGGAUCUGCUCGACCACGCGAAGGCGAGCAGAAUCCCAAGCAUUGAAGAAUUUUCUAAGGCAUGCAAAGGCUCAUCAACUCUCAAAGCCUGUUUAUGGCGAGACCAGAAGCCAAGCGUGCCAGGAUCUGCUCGACCAAGCGAAGGCGAGCAGAAUCCCAAACAUUGAAAAAUUUACUAAGGCAUGCAAAUGCUCACCAAGUCUCAAAGUCUGUUUAUGGCGAGACCAGAAGCCAAGCGUGACAGGAUCUGCUCGACCACGCGAAGGCGAGCAGAACCCCAAGCAUUGAAGAAUUUUCUAAGGCAUGCAAAGGCUCACCAAGUCUCAAAGCCUGUUUAUGGCGAGACCAGAAGCCAAGCGUGCCAGGAUCUGCUCGACCAAGCGAAGGCAAGCAGACCUUUAAGUGUUAUAAAAAUUUCUAAGGCAAGUAAAGGCUCCAAAGUCUCAAAACCUGCUCGAUGGCGAGAUAAAAAGUCAAGCUUGCUAGAAUUUGCCCGACCAUGUGAAGCCGAGCAAAAAAAAAAAAAUUUACAACUUCUAUACCAGAAGACAAGUAAGAACAUUCUUAUUAAUAUGCCAACAGUUCGUAAAGUUAUUCAUCAUAACAGACAAUGUCCAAAAAAUAGGAAAAGGCAACUAUAACACAAAACAUGUUUAAAAAGACGGCGGCUCAGUAAGCCGAGAAGCCUCAGUUGGCUGGUCCACCUCAGGUGCUGGGGGAGUAUCACCAGUUGCGUCCGGGGGGGCACUUGCCUCGCCAACGUCAACAGGGAUUGCACAAGGAGGAGAGUUUUCCUCCUCGACCAUAAUUGGCUCCACCACUUCGGCAUCCUCUUUCGCCGCCUCCUCAUCAUCCAUGUGUUGAGCAACACCAGCUGCAAGGUCAUCCAUUUUCAGAUCAGGGUGCUACUUCCCAAGGACAACCAUGAUGCAACGAUAAGAAUGCCGAAGUCCCUGGUCGUAUUGGUUGUCCGCUUCCUUCUCCAAGUUCUCGACCUAAGCCCGGUAGGAAUCGCGGAGAGAUUCGAGCUGAGCCUCGUACAUAACCUUCUACCUUUGCAGAUCUUCUUUGACCUUGGUUAGCUCUUCCUCGAGAGUAAUAGCCUUUGCUUAAGCAAGAGAUUCUCACUCUAUCAGCUUCAGAUUCUCGAGAUUCAAGUCUCCUACUUUCUUCUCGGCAGCGUCGGCUCUGGUCAUCGCCGAUUGAAUGUCCUCCUUCAUCUUCCAGUCAUAACGACCAACCUUGACCUUAUAGUAAGUGGUCAUGCAGCUGAGAUGGAAAUCGCUAUACUGCAUGGCCCCCACCAGCUCACCCAGGGUGCAGCCAUCAAAGUCCUCCAGGUCCUUCUUGCUUACAAGUUUAGAUAACUCGUUGAGAUAGGGGACCAAGUGUUCUGCUCGGUUGUCAGAUAAACGAGAUCUAGGCCCGACAGGAGGAGAAGAGGAAGCAGGAUCAGUGGCUGCUCCACUAGUUUCUCCGACUUUGGCAGGAGGAGGAGGUAGAGUCUUCAAGGGAGGAACCUGCUGCACAAUGUUCACCCGCUUCGCAGUAAGAGCGUCCUUGUUCUGGUCUCUCUUCGCAGUUUGAGGUCGAGAACGUUUCCAAUUCAGAGCCCCGAUCACAACAUCCUCCAUCUUAUGGCCGGGGGGCACCAAGCAAGAUUCAACCAGGUUAUAACGUGGUUAGCAGCUCCCAGUGCGAGCAAGAAUUGGCCAACACAGCCUCGACCUGUUUGAGCUGGUCGGGAUUAAGCGGGAAGUGAACACCCCAAGAACCUGUAAAACGAACAGACAUUUGGUUAGAGACAAAUCAACAAAGUGAGAACAACUAUAGAGACAAGUCAUUUAAAAUGAGCAGGCAACCUGGAACCACGAAAUGGGGUGGGACGCGAUAAUCCUUCCCAUCAAUCUGUGCAACUUGACCCCAGGGACCCCCAGCAAAAAAGAACUUUCUCUUCCAAUUCCCACCACCACCAGUAGGAAGGUCGGUUAUGGGUUUCCUGAUCUUAGUACUUGAUUGGAAGUAAUACCAGCCAACAUCUUUGGGGCUGGUUUUCAGCUGGUACAUGUGCUUCACCUCAUCAACUGUGGGCUCGCUUUGGCAACAUUUGUCCCACAAUAUGAACAGACUAGAGAGUACUCUCUACCCGUUGGGGUUCAGCUGACCAGGAGCUAGAUUUAGCCCGUUAAGAAUCCGGGCAAAGUAGGGUUGCAAGGGGCACCUCAGUCCAUACUUAAAACUCUCCAAAAACGGGGUAACAUAUCCCCUAGGAGGCCAGCUAGGAGUAUCCUUCUUUCCUGGGAUUUUAAGAGGUAUUUCACCAGGAAUACUAUACCUAAGCCGGAGGUCAGUGAGUUCAUCAAAUGUGGUCGUGCAUGUAAUGUAAUCAAUAGCGUAAUCCCGCGAUAGGGCUCUACCUCCUACUAUACUCCGCCCUUCUGGUCGCGAUGUUCGCAGUGAGGAUACCUCCCCAGAGUCACCCCUUCGAUCCUCACUCAGGGUGUUUUUCGAGCCAGAAGAUCCCUCCUCAUCCCUAUUUCUGCUUGAGGAGGCUGUUUGGGGGGACAUCCUCCUAGAGCUAGUCCCAACACUAGACCUAAUGGGUUCUAAGGGGAUCCUGGGGUCAAAAGUAGGAUCGGUGAGCAGACUAGGCAGGAAGUCCAACUCAUCGUCAUCAACCUCAAUGACUUUUUCUUUACCUUUCGACAUUCUCUAAACUAUAACUAGAGCACCACCACCAACUACUACCCAAUCAAAGCAAAGAGAAAAGAAAUUAUCUACAACUAUCCAAGACCGAGAAAAUAGGAGAAAUACCUAAAGAAGGGGCUCGGCCAGAGAGAGAUAGGGAUGGAAGCUUUAAUGCCGAAGUUCAUUCGCCGGAGAGACAAGAAGGGAGAAAAUGACGAGUUCUCGUUUGGGGGUUUUGGGUUUUCCUACUGAGGAACAAACUCUUGGGCUGCCAGCAUUUAACGGCACAUAUCCCAAGAGUCUUGCAACCGUAGGUUUGAAAUUCAAAUAGAGGGGUAGAUUUCUGCCACAUCACCUCAUCCGCAAUUAAAUGCGACACGACACUUGGCAGCUUUUUCCAAUCCCGCGCGAGCAAGAACUGUCGAGUUUCUACUGUUGGCUCACUACGUUACCCAACACCAGAAACUGGGGGACCAAUGUUUGUGGGAUAUGCUUCGACGAAGACCAGCAGUGAUGAGUAGACAUCUGAUAGCAGGGUUCCUUGAACAGGUAUAUCUUGUAAGAGUCUGGUAGCCGGGGGAGUGUUGUGCAAAUUUUAAUGUACUCGCAAGCGCACGAAUCUAUUGUAGUAUAGAUUAAUGGUGACGAGUGUCGAUCCCACGAGGAGGUGUAUUUUAAUUAUAUGUAGAAUUAAUUUUGUAAAUGGGUGGUUGAAAUUGUGGUGGAAGUGAUUUAAAUUAUCCUAAAAUUGGAAUUGAGAUGGCGAUAAUAAAUUCUAAAAUUGGAAUUGCAAUGGCGAGAAUAAAUUGAAGCAAAAUCUAUUGAAAUGACGUACUUGGGUAUCUGGAUCCAUAUCAACAUGCAUCAUGAGCUAAAUAAUCCGUAUUAAUGCCAAUUAAAUCAUGAGGGGGGAAUCCACACCUCAUGAACCACGCUCUAAUCAAUAUGGUGCUAAGGGCUUAUCGUUCCAAAUAAUAAUAACCUUGUACUAGAGGGCCGGUGAAACCAAGGCGGUACUAGACAAGAUUAGUAUUAUUUGUCGACGAGAAGUCAAAACAUCCACAAAAACUAGAGGGGAAGAGAAAAUAAAUUUACCAAAUAAAGCCCAUGACACAUGUUGAGACUUCACCUUCAACCCAAGCUUGAAAGAAAAUUAGCUAUUCAUAAUUGAACUAGGGGCAAAAUGAGAAUUUAUUAAAAUACGUAGAAAAUAGAAGAUGGAGAAGGAAUUACAGAAAAUGGAUCCCAAAAAUGGAUUCAGAGAUAUCAAAUUAAGGGGGAGAGGCCCCUUUUUUAUAGAUACAUGGAAUAAAUCAUGGCCAUCGGAUUAAAAACAGUUUUGACGCUCAGGAUUGCGCCACUUCAUCAGUCAACAAUACGCGGUUUGACCACGCGAAUGAACAGCAACACAGUUUGACCCGGGUUGAACAGUAAUGAUGUUUGGUUGAAAAUAAUCCUGUGUGAUACAUGUACCGUGCGCGAGAUUUUUCGUCCACUGAUAUGCUGCCACGUCACCAUCAAUAGUACAUAAGAAUUUUAGUCCAACAGGAUCGUGACACCUCAUCAGUCAAUGCCACAUCAUCGGUCAAUGCCACAUCAUCGAUCCGUCUAUGUGAACAAUGUCGUGAACAGUAACGUAGAUAGUACCGUACAUGUGAAUAGUGCCAUUUUUCCUUUUAUGCUCCUCAUAAGGUUUUCGACCGUCCUGAGUUCAAAAGUGAUGUCCGUUUUGCUGUCUGAUCUCUCCUUUAUUGUGAAAUGACUAUAAUGCCCCUAAAAUACAUAAAAUACUUAAUUAAAAUCAAACACACAUAAUUAAAUUGCAAGAAGCUUAAAUACAUAAAAGUAAAGGUUGUUAGUAAAACUUGAAAUGUAAAAUGAUGAUUUUCUCCUUUAUAAAUAUACAUUUUCUAACACUCAACAUGGAGCAGGAGUAGGAAUAUCCUGCUCGUCCAUGAGUACGUCAUCCACGAGGCCAAUCUCCUGCUGGAAGCAUAAAGUCAUUCCUGCUACAUUCCUGCUAAGGGUUGAGUCGAGGAGACCCGGUCAACGACAGUUGGCGAGACGUGUUCUCCAGUCCGAGAAUCAAGGCAGGAAGGCCACGCAACCACCCACGACUACGGAAAUGGAGCAUCCACUUUUGAGAGGUGGGAGGAUAACGAGCGCGAAUGGAGGGAAGACUUGAGUUCAGAAGUGGCCUAUAAAAAGGUAGCCAACGAAGGUAAAAGGGUUAGAAUUUUUUAUAGGAGAACUAAGAUAAAGAGAGCUCUAAAGAACGGAUACUAGAGAAAAGCCAUAAGAUUAGUGGCCAGUGUUCCCAAGAGCACAAAACCUUCAUUUCUGACUUGAGCGUCGGAGGGUUUACGCCGGGGAAACAACCGGCGUACUCUGACCUGCUUCUGUGUACGCAGGAACCUUAGGAGAAGAAGCCUUACGAGAAGAGAUCCUGGUCGUGGUGGAGUUGAUCGAGCAGAGAUCCUGGUCGUGGUAAAGAGGGCAACCAGAAUCUCGCAUCAACAAAAUCUGCCUUUGUCGAUGCUAUCUCACUGUCUUAAGGCCUAACUUCUUGAAAUUUUUUCUGAAAGAUACAACAGGAUCACUUAUCCACAAGCCUAGUCAGCAACUUGGACACUAUUUUCAGCAUUAGCAUUGACAUAAGAACAAAACGUACAAUUGAGCUUAUUAAAAAACAUUGCAGUUGAUUGGAUUGUUAAUAAGUAUGGCACCAUAUGGAUGAUAAAAUUAAGCAGGAAGAAAGAAAAAAUAAAUUUUAUUAUGCAAAAAAUAAACUACAAACUAGGCACAAUAAAUAAAUAAAAAUAAAUUUUAUUAUGCAACCCAGAAUUCUCCUUUGCUGUCUGCCUCAAUGUUGUCCGGAAAUUUUUGGAGCUGAGCAAAAGGUUGUGGAGGGCACAUAGCUCUAUGGUCAUGGAGCCAAAACCUCAGAACUCGCAUUGGGAUGGAUUCAGCCACUAAGAGGAACGUCUUGUCCUUGAUUAGGGCAACUCCAUUUGGAAAUGCCAAACCUCUGUACAUGAUGGUCACCUCAUUGCUGUAUGGAUCAUACUUCAAGUAACUUCCCGCUUCUGUCUCUGUUAUCGAUUACAGAAGAAUAUUGCCUACAAGAAUAGUAAUUCGGUGUAAGCAUUGUAAAAUAUUAAUCUGGAAUUGAUGAACAAGAAUUAAGAAAAGAAAAUAUCCUUCUUUGAAAAUACAUGCUACUGUCAAUAAAAUAAACGACUCCAGUACUAGGAUCGAUAUCCAAGGAAUAUACAUGCUACUGUCAAUAAAAAAAGAAAGACAAAUAUAAAUAAAUUAUCAAAUAAAAAAAUAUAAAUAAAUGGCACGUAAUGUUUAUUUUUCAUUUAUAAUAAAGUUUAAUAUACCAAAUGACUGGUGAGGUACCACCAUACCAGGCGGUGCAUGGAAAGAUGGGGAAUUUGGGACUUCCAGUGUGGCGAGAGACUGAGCAUGAGGGUGCUGCAGCGGCUGGGCAUCACUUAUGAGGUAGCUACUUAAUGACCUGAUCAUUUGAGUUUUGGGGAAUUUGGAUUUUGGAUCAAUUAGUUAGGGAGUUGAGUGAGUUUUGUAACUUUAAGAAAAUAGAAUUUGACUGUAAUUAUUAGUUAUAUCUUUAUUUUUUUACGAUAAGUUUUAAUAAGAGUAAAUUUACAAUUAACUAUUAUUAUUAUAAAAAAAACCUUAGCCUCCUCUUACCUCCGCCCUUGGUACCUGCUAAAACCAAAUACCCAAAUUAUGAAAACGAAGAGCGAGACGAUAUGUUACUGGAUUGUUAUCAAAAUUUGAAGCUAGAACUUAGCAAUUGCCCAAAGAUAAAGAUUUGCUAAGAUUUUAGACCCACAGACUUUUUAGUACCAAUUUAUCUUCUUUCCUUUAAGAAUGAUGGUGAUUUGUAGAGCCAUGCCCUGUAUUCAAAAUAAACAAAUUUGAAGAAUAUAUCUGCUGAUUCCGGUAGGGCAGGAGUCUCAUGCACAAGUUUCUCAUCUAUUUUCUUACCAGAACAAAUUUCUAGUCAAAAUGAGGGUGUGAAAGGAAGAUAAAUAGACGAAAUUUGGCCCACCACUUCAUUCUUCCUAAAUGAAUAGCUUUUUACCCUAUUAAACGAGGAAAAAUGGAUUAGAUUCUCCCUUAAUUUGAUCUGAUUAGUGAUUACUAAAUAAAGACCACACACUUUAUUGUAGUGUGUUUCGUCAUUUAAUACAUUGCAGUUUGUAUGUGGCCCUAGUUUUAGAUCACUUAAUUGGAAAGGGACUUCCCUUUUUUUUUUUUUUUGAUACAUUGGAGUCUAGUAAAACUAGGCUAAAACAGAAUGGGGAAUAGAGGUUCCAUAUAUAUCAUUACAUAACUAAUAACCAAGACCCUCGGGGGGGUUUUCAAAGACAUGAAAUCUAAGGGGUAAGGAACUAGCAAGUUUCACCAUGGAAUCUGCAGCAAAAUUGGCUUCCCGAUAUAUAUACUUUAUAGUAAUGAGCCAUUGUCUAUUUAUAAGUUCCUUUAUGGCAGUUAUGAGAGAAAAAAAUGUGCAUUAGGCAUCAAGCUAGUAGAGGAAAUAAGUUGGGAAACACAUUGGCUAUCCACCUCUGCAAUUUAAUAACGAAUGCCACAGUCCCAAGCAAUAUUAAGUCCUUGAAAAAGACCCCAAAGUUCUGCAGUAGUCACCGAUCCAAAUCCAAUGUUCAUGCCAAAGUCAAACUGCCACUUUCCAGAGCAAUCCCUCACCAAGCCCCCAGCGCUGGCUAGACCAUUCUUUAAUCAUGAUCCAUUAGUAUUUAAUUUGAAAAAAGAUUCAGGGGGAGCUUGCCAUCUAACAUCUUUGAUGAUCUUAUUACUCUGACCGAAACUAAGAGUUGAUCGUGCAUUUUGAAUGUCCUGAGCCCAAGAUUUAAUUUCAGCAACAACAUGAGUGCAGCAAGGGGAUUUUUGUGAGAAAAGAAAUUGAUUAUGCCAAAACCAAAUUUUCCAGAUAGCCACUCCAAAUUGAUUACGCCAAAACCAAAUUUUCCAGAUAGCCACUCUAAAUUGAUUACGCCAAAACAACAUGAGUGCAGCAAGGGGAUUUUUGUGAGAAAAGAAAUUGAUUACGCCAAAACCAAAUUUUCCAGAUAGCCACUCCAAAUAAACAUGCCCAUUCAUCCCCCACUUCAUUGAUACCAGUCUUUCCCAAGUUGAAAUAGAUCCAAUCACGAAUAUUAAAGGAGAAAAAAUGAUGUCUGAAGUUGACCAGAAUUAAACAAUUCCAUAUUCUCUUUGCAACAAAACAGUCCCUAAGUGCAUGCAUCGCGUUUUCUCUCUCAUGGUCACAUCUUUCACAAUUCAUUUUAUCCAGAAUAUGCCUCUUAAAAAGCUCCUCUCUAGUUUUAAAAAAAUUUUAACUCGUUGGGGCCCGGAAAGGGACUUCCUUAAUUAUUUUUCAAAAGCUCAUCCUACAAAACUCCAACAGAUGGAGUCCAAGUUCUAGAAUAGAUGAAUAAAUGAUGUCAAUUAAAUGGCAAUAGCCCACCAAGAAGACAGAGAAACAAGUUAGGAGAGAUUGUAGAGUAUACCAAAAGUAUUACAUCUAAUUAAUAUAUAUAUAUAUAUAUAUAUGUUAUCUGUGUACUUAUUUUAAAAAAUUAUUAUGUAAUUAAUAAUUAUAUUUAAUUAAACUAUACAUAUCAUAUAUGUAUUAGUUAUAUGUAGCACCUAUAUUAUACUCUAGAAUUUCUCACAAGAUAAUAUGUCAAUAUACCACAAACACAAAGUUUGAAUCCUGUGAAAUAUGUUUAAAAUUGACUCUUGUGGAAAUUAUUAUGUGGUGGUGAAAUGAUUAUGAUAAAUAAUAUAUUAACACAUGUCAAUAUAUAAUUAUGCUACAUCAAUGAGGGUACCAUUGGUUUCACAUUUUUAUUUUACGUCUUAACUUUUGUAUUGACAAUAUUAGUUUUGUAUUUUAUAUAUAUAUAUAUAUAUAUAACUACUAAGUUAUUUUUUGCAAUCAAUAAAUAUCUAAUAACUCAAUACUUUUAUAUUUAUGCUCAUAAAAUUUUUACUUUUUAAAUAAAUAUUAAAAUAUCUUUAAAAUAAUAAAUUAUAUUUUUUAAACACUAAUUAAAACAAAUAAUUUUCACAUUUAAUCUUGUUUUAGUUUAUAACAUGGACCAUUCGCUCACCACUUGGCAUAACUUUGUAACCUAGGUCUUGUUUGGAAUCGAAGUAUUACACCUUUUAAGUUACAACUGCCGUAAAAAUUUUGUAAUUAUAAAACAAAAAAUUAAUAGCUAUGAACUUAAUGAUUGCUUACUAAACUUUAGGUAUUUAUUUAUUUAUUUAAUUAAUUGUCUAAAAUUUACUUGUUAAUGUUAUUGACAAUACUUAUGUAUUGAUUAAAAAGAUGAAGUAAGGUAUUGAUCUUAUUGAUCACCAGAAAUAUUUUAUACUAGAUUGACAUAUUUGUGUAUUUAUUUUAACGUUAAAACUUUAAUUUCUCAUUUAUAUUGAUAAAAUUUAGAAAUGGGUAUUAUAUGUAGAUUUUUAAGCUCCUAUUAUAAAUUUAUAGUUUGACUUAUAUAAUUUAAUUUAUUUUUUGUGUUUUUAAAAGUAUUGUUUCAAUAUUUGUGAAGUAAAAACCCAUUGCAGGUUACGCGACGAUUUAGUAAUUGUUAAAACCUACAGUAGGUGAAUUUUUUUUUUAAAAGAAAAAACCCAUAGCGAGUUAAGAAUUUACUGAUUUAAUUACUUUUUUACAAGUGCAUGUUUGAUAAUGAUAAAAUCACUGCACUGAAAGAAAUUCUAUGAAGAAUAUAAUUCUUGUUCUGUAUUUUUAAUGAAAUUUACAGAAUUAUUUAUACAAAUAAAGACAAAGUAGCCGUUGAAAGGCUUAAUAAUAUUAAAGGAGAAUAAGUGAAUACUUCCUAAACUAUUGGACAAUAUCUUUAUAAAAUAGGAAUGAAAUAUUCCUACAUGAUAUUGACAUUCAUGUGCAAAAAUCGUGCUGGAGAUAUUUCUUGACAAAUAACUUUGACGGGAGCAAGUCGUGUGGAGUGAUAAACCCGUUCUUGACUUGACCGUUAAUGACUUUCCUUUUGGUAAUCUUGGUCUGCUUGCUUAACAAGUGGUACCCAUAACCCAUCCAUACAGCUAGGCUAGCUAAACAGCAUAAAUAAAUGUAUAACGAUUCUUAUAUAAAAAGCCACCACCCCAAGCCAAAAGAAAAAAAAAAUUGUGCUGAAAACAACAAUAUAAUUUCUUCAGUUUUUACUUGGAAACAAGAGAGAUGAAUACGAAGAAGCAGAAGCCAAAAGCUAUUGUAGUUGGAGGAAGCAUUGCUGGGGAAUCAUGCGCAAAAGCACUUAUUUCAGCAGACUGGGAUGUUGUUGUGAUUGAGAAAACUAGUGGACCCCCAACCCAAAACGCAACCGGUGCUGGCCUUGGACUCGAUCCAUUGGCUCAGAAAAUUGUUCAGUCAUGGCUCCAUGAACCUGAACUUUACAACAACACUUUACCUGUCACCAUUACUGAGGUAUAUAAUAUAAUAUAUUUAAUUUCUUUUUUCCCAGUAGAAUCCAGUAGUGCUUUGAAUUAUACUGAUCUCUUCAAGAUAUUAGUUGCACACGUGUAUAUACAAUGGUGUAUGGUUAAGAUUUGAUAAAAGUAUAUUUUGCUCUACACAAAGUACAAUUUAGAAUGGAAUCUCAUUGGGAAAAAAAUAUCUAUAUAUGUUGAAUAGAUAAAAUUUCAAUUUGUAUUUAAUUGCAGAACCUAGCAACAGAUGGGGAAAAGAAGAUCAGCUGGGUAAUAGGAAGAGAAGAAGGCGCUAAGUAUCUGACUGCAUAUUGGGCUGAUCUUCAUGGCCUUAUAUACAAUACUCUGCCACCUGAAAUAUUUUUAUGGGGUCACCGGUACCUCUCUUUGUUGAAGUCAACACCAACAAUUUGUUGAAAAAUAAUAAUAAUUAAAAAUUAUAUUUUUAAUUAUUUUAUUCUUAGCAUAGUAAUUCAUGUCUCCUAUAAAUAGCUAAGGAUUUCAUUCAGUCGAAAUCAUCCCAAAAUUGUUAAGCUUAUAAGUUUUUAAGCUUUUGAGAGAAGUGAGAGAAGUGUGUCUGGGGAAUUUAUCUUUCCUGCAGUGUCUGAGAGUACUGGGUAUAUUUGGGUUUCUGGGAAGUGAGAUUCGUUACUCAAAUAUUGUACUCUAUUAAUUGUUAAAUAAACAAUUAUUCUUUCUUGCCUCCGUGGAUGUAGGUUUAAUUACCGAACCACGUAAUUCUUGUGUCCUUUAUUUUUCUAUAAUUAUUUGGUGCGCUUGAUUCCGCAUUCUGCGCACAACACUCUUUCUGUAUUUCUGAAGACAAAUUAACUGUCAAAGUUAGAGCUAAGGAUCUUGAUACUAAUGAAAUAAUCGAGAUAGUAGGAGAUUUGCUCGUCGGAGCAGAUGGGAUCCUCUCAUCAAUUCGUCAGAGCAUUCUACCUGACUUCAAAUUGAGGUUUGUGCUUGCUUGUGAAUAUCAAUAAAAGUAAUUAAUUUUUGAGUAUUUUGUUUCAUAAAUUUCAAUGUGUUUUUAAUAGGUACACGGGAUACUGUGCGUGGAGAGGUGUUUUUAAUUUUUCAGAAAACGAUUCAGAAACCAUCUUAGGCAUUCGAAAAUCGUAUCCUGAUAUUGGGAAAUGCCUUUACACGAAUAUUGGUUCAGGAUCUCACAUCAUAGUCACUGAGCUUAAGAAAGAGAAGUUCAAUUGGGUUUGGUAUGUCAAUCAACCUGAGCCCGAGCUCAAGGUAACUGCUUACUUUUGUUUCAUCUUUCUAUUUUGUUUUCGGGGGUUCGAGUUGAGUGCUAAAAUCUAAUUUUUGCAAACGAUCAACACAGCUCAGACCAUCACCGGAUCCAUUUUUUUUUUUAAUUUUCCAGUUUAUCAAUGCAGUAUGACGUGACAUUGGGAAACAAAUUAUUUUAUUCUCUGCAGGGAAAUACAACUUCUGUGAAAGUAAGCAGUGACAUGAUCGAGGAGUUGCACCAAAGAGCAGAGCAGGUUUGGUUACCUGAAUUGUCAAGAUUGAUCAAAGAAACAAGGGAUCCUUUCCUUAAUGCUAUAUAUGAUUGCGAUCCUUUGGAGAAAAUCAUCUGGGACAGAGUGGUGCUAACAGGAGAUGCAGCUCACCCGACAACUCCACACUCUGCCAGAAGCACAAACAUGGCGAUAAUAGAUGCAGCAGUGUUAGGAAAAUGCCUCGAGAAGUGGGGGCCGGAUCAUUUAUACUCUGCUCUGGAAGAAUAUCAAUCCAUUAGGAAGCCUGUAACUUCAGCACAAGUUCUACAUUCGCGACGAUUGGGUCAAAUGAAACAGGGGUUAAGUAUUCCUGGAAGGGAGCGGCCUUUUGAUCCAAAGACAGCAAGUCUAGAGGACUCGGAAUUCAUCCUUAACAAAAAUGUGCCUCUUUUCGACGUUGUUCCUCCGAUUCUUGAUUCAAUUUUUCGUUCUGCUUGAUAACUUCAAAGGACACGGCUUGGUCUGUUCAUUAUGCUAACUAUAGCUGCCUAUAAAUAAGAGGGUUGACCUCAAUUGUGUGAGUAAAAGAACUGCUAUACUUAUGUUCCUUCCUGUAAUAACGAAAGCCUCUUACUUAAUUCAGUGUCUCUACUUCUUCAGCAAAAUAAAAAUAAAUUCUUGAUCGAAAUACACCCAACUUUUCCAAUUUUCUUAUAAAAAUGACACCACGAUAGGAUGGGAUUGUCCUUGUGUUGUGUCAUUGAUCUAUCCAUAUUUGUUUUUCCCAAAAACAAUUUCCAUGAAGGAGGAUGUUUUGCUGCUUGUUAGUGCACGCUAUUUAAGCACAAGACAUGAUUGAGAUUUAUGCAAGGUAUGUGGUAGAAUUUAUGUAAGACGACCGAUGAUUCAUAAGGAAAGCUAAACAUGAGAGUUAGUAACUUGUACUAUGGUGAUCAACGCGUUGAAGAAAAAUUUUAGAAUUUUUAUUAUAAGUGGUGCAUACAAAAGUUGGUGAGUCGAACUUGUACUCAAAUACUAGCUCAUGUAUUAGGAGUUGCCUUAGGCUUACGUUAUUAAUCUAGUAACUAAUAUUAGCGAUAUGAAAUAUUUUUUUCUAUCAUCUUCCAUCACAUGUGUGUAGGUCAAUCUUUUUGUUUGGUCCUUGUCUAGUGAUAAGACAGUGUGAGUGAUUUUGAGAGAAAAUAUGAAAAACACAAACAAUGAAAAUUCCCUUUUACUUAAACUAAGACAGAUUUUUUUACACUGAAGUUGAUAGAAGACACUCGAAUGCGCAGGAGUGAAAUCUUGACAAAUUAAAGCGAGAACUAAGACAUGCUAGUCCUUUCUCGCGCAUUUAGUUGACAUUAUUUUGCUUUGCAAAUAAAUGCGGGCAUGGUUGAAGGCAUUUUAUCUUUCCGGAAGUGGAUGGAGAAAUAAAUAUAAUUAAAAGGGAUGCGAAUAAUAAAUGCCAUUUUUUUCUGAAUAACGAAGAAUAUAUUAGAAAUAAAUUGAAAUGUAACAAAAUACUUGAAAUAAUUCAAGUGACGGGUUUUUUCUCUGUUAACAACGCGCGAUAGUUCCUUGUCAUGAGCUUCUUAUCUUCUGUCUUGAAGGAAGAAAUUGCAAAAGACGAAUAAAACGAUUUCCUUUACACAUGCAAUCAAUGCUGCUGCCUUUAUAUCUUUAUUAUUCUCGGAGGGAUGACACUGUUGAGAGCCAAAACCAUUACCCAUACUCACUCCUCUUAUAGCCAUGUCUAACUCUCUACAAUAAUUUUGAUAUUGCUGUUCUUCAGUUCUUCCACUACUCAACAAAUGCGAAGGUAUGCGAUGGCUCCACUCAUUCAAGUUGAUUUUACAUUUGUUACAAUCUACUCCCGCCGUUGCUAGAGCCUCUAUGGACAUGUUUUAACAAGGUGAAGGAGGAGCUAAAUAAAAUUCACAAUUUUCCUGAAAGUUUACAGCUUCCAGGAAAUUCACCACCUCUAUAGAAUUGUAAUAACAAGAAUUGUGGUCUCCGUAAAAGAAUUUAUAAGAGUUAAUAUAAAAGAUUUGUUUAGGAGAAUGAAUUUUAUACGGACUAGAAAUACUCAUGAUUAAUUAGUUAUUCAGAUGGUUUAGAAAUCCUCUCGAUAUCAGGAAGCCAUUUAAGAUUCUGAAUUGAGCCUCUUGUACAUAAGCUCAUCAAGGACGGUGUAAGUUCCAGAGGCCAAGUCCAUGUGCACGCCAUUCCCAAGCGUAGGAUAUGCCUUCCGGACGCCUUGUAUGGUUUCUGAAUUCUCAUUUUCCGAAAAAUCAAAAACCCCCCUCCAAGCACAUUCUUUACUUUUAAUUGCUUUGGAAAUUAAGGAUUCGUCAGCCGCCAGAUUCCGCAGUGAUUCUGUUGCAUUGGAUGUCUUCAAUUCAGAAACCUGAGUUUAGAGUCUGGUAAAAAAGUCUGGCGAACUGAUGAGCGGCUCCCGUCAGCCGCAACCAGCAAAUCUCCAGCUAUGUCGAUGACCUCAUCAGUUUUAAGAUUCUUAGCUUUGACAUUGACAGUUGAUUUGUCGUGAGAAAUGCAGAAAGUGAGGUACAAGUGACCCCAAAAAAAAUUUCCGGAGGCAGAGUAUUGUAUAUAAGACUAUGAAGAUCAGUCCAAUGUGCCUGUAAAUAGUUGAAAUUUUCAUCUCUAGCUAGUAUCCGACAGAUAUUCUUUUCCUGAUCUACUGCCCGAUUCUGCACAGAAAGAAAAAUAAAAAAAAUCAGCACAACUUGUGGGAACGUCAGUUGAAAUUAAAGCAAUUCUGUGUAGACACAUACAUUACCUGAUCAAUGGUGAGAGGUAAGGUGAUGUUGUGAAGAAGAUCAGGUUGAUGGAGCCAUGACUUAACUAUUUUCUGGGACAAUGGAUGAAGUGCGAUUCCAGCGCCAGUUGGGUUUCCGGUUGGAGGUCCACGUAUCUUCUCGAUCACCACCACAUCCCAACCUGCUAAAAUAAGCGCUUUUGUGCAUGAUAUCCCUGCUAUGCUUCCCACAACUAUUAUAGCUUUUGGCUUCCGCAUCCCCUCCCUCAUGUCUCUCUCUUCCUCUCAAACACCAGUAUGUGUGACACAAAGGGACGCUCGCGCAUAGAUAUAUUUAUAGACAGGGGAAAACUUCCCAUUCUGAAUUCAUAAAUCAGGAUGAGCCGGCAAUCAUAUGAACAUUUUUUUUAUAUUAUUGUCAAAAAAAUUUUAUACUAUUGUUAAUUUGACUCGGAUUUUAAUAAAAUUUAACAUCUCGAACCAAGUCACUACUCUAGAAAAUUUUUUCAAUCUGAACUUAUAUAUUCCAAUUCAAGAACAAGGUUUAAUAAUGUAAUGACCGUGAAAAUUAUUAAACCAUAUGGUUUAAUAGUGAAUGAUAUUAUACUAUAAAACCAUUUAAUAACUUUUCAAAUUUUAAUAAUAUUCAGGAUUCUAGACUAGAUCAGUACUAUACACACACACAUACACAUGCGGUGUCAGGAAUUAUUUUUAGCAGGCUCUAAGUUUAAAUAAUAAUUUACUUUAAAAAAUAAUUAAAAAAUAACAUAUAUCAAAAUAAAAAUUUAUUAAAAUAUUUAAUUCAAUACACUUAUAGCUGUUCUUGACUUGGUUUUAUAUGUUAAAAAUAUUAAAGAAAAAUCUCAUUAUCAAGGCUACAAAAUAUGUCUUUUUCUAUGUAUAUAACAAAUAUAUCAUUCAACUAUUGUUCUCCCAUUUGAUUUCACAGAUGAUUUUUUAUAAAAUUUAUAGUUGAAAAUGCCCUUUCUACUGUAUCUCUAGUAACUGGUAAAAUCAAUGCUAAUGUCACCAAUAAAUAAACUAAUGAAUAUAAUUUACCCUUCUUAGUCUCACCACAUUGUUAUUUUAUUAUUUAUUUGAAAACUGAUAAUAAAUUAUGAUUAAAUAUGUUCGCAGCAAUUACAAAGUCUUGAUACAAUGUUUCUAUCUCACAUGAUGACGUAACAUCAAUAUCGAUGAUCGCUAAUUAGGGAUUCCAUUAUCCUAUUUUCCCUCUCACAUGAUGAAUAAAUAAACAGCUUUAAAAUCUCGCGUCACCCAAUGUCUAGAAUGUACCCGGAGGCCGCAGCCUCAAAAGUAGUUAAAUUAAAUUCAAACUCUACAAACUCAAUAACAUGAUUACGUCUUAUUCUUUCUUAAUUGAAGUUGAUUUUUCAAGGAGGCAAUUUGUCCCGUCAUAUGCAGCCAAGUUAGAACGAAAAAAUGCUUAAUUCAAAUCUCACGGUCUUGAAGAAAUCUUUCUAGUCAAAAUAAACUCUCAAGUCAGAUUUUUCAAUCUGGCGAUAUGAAAUUUGCCUAAUAAAUCUCUACAUUCAGACAUCACGUUUAUGAAACCCUUGCAUUCAGAAUAAAUUCUUGCGGUAUAUCAAAAAAAAAAAAAAAAAAUCUUGCGGGUAAGGGGGAUCAAGUGCAAGAAUAAAGUUUGAUAAAAAUGAAUAAAAGGAAUAAGGUGAAUGUUUGUUGUGGUUUAUUUAGCAUAUGUUUGUUGUGGUUUAUUUAAUAACUAAAAGUUUUUACAAGUUUUUUUCAAAAUUUUUACUGUUGUUUGUUAGUAUUUUGGAUAGAGAGCUUUUGAGAAUUAAAUAAGUUAUUUUGCAUCUACAAAUAAAAGUGUAAAUUAAAUAAGUUAUUUUGGGCUUUUGGGAACAAAAGUUGUAGAGCAUUUUUCAAGUGUUCAAUUAUCUAACAUACCUUUUAUUUAUUUUACAUUUUUAUUCCAUUCUUUUCAUAGUAUGAUUUUAAAUAAAUUGGUCAAUUAAAGUAAUUUUAUAAUUUAAAUUUUUUAAUAAAAGUUCAUAUUGACAACCAAAUAAUUAAAAUAUUUUAGUAAAUCUCCACUUGAAACAACUUAAUUUUAUUAAAAGCUAGAGCAUAGAGUCAGUGACAACGCAGAAAUAUAAAAAGUUGAUUGAUAGAAGAAAUUAGGUUUCUAAAUAAUAAAAGUUUUGUUAGAAAAGUUUAAAUGAACAAAACUAGUGUUUUGAGCUCCUGUUAUAAUAAUCAUAAAUAUCACGAAUUUAUCAUAAUAAAAAAAAUUAAAAUAUCAUUUUAUAAUAAAAGGAAAAUUAUCAUUCGUAUACCCUAUAUUUGCUCUGUUAUCAAAAAUACUACAAUACUUUGAGAGUGUAUCAAUCGUCCACCCUAAGUUGACGAAAUGUAUUAGCCGACCACCAAACCGUUAAUUUUCGUUUGAAAGUUAACGGAAUUACAGUGAAUUAAUGAUUUUACCCUUGAAAAUUAUCACUUGUAUACCCUUAAAUUCUUUUUUUAUCACUUGUAUACCCUUAAAUGAUCACUUUUAUCAUAUGAAAAGACCAGAUUACCCUUAUGAAGUUAUCAUAUUUAAACGGCAACUAACGAUUUGGUGGUCGGCUGAUACAUUUUGUCAACUUAAGGUGGACGAUUGAUAUACCCUCAAAGUGUUGUAGUAGUUUUGAUAAUGGAGUAAACUAAGGGUAUACAAAUGAUAAUUUCCCAUAAUAAAAUCUCAUAAUCUAAAUAAAGAAACCACAAUAAACAACACCCAAAGCCAAUAUCUAAAAAAAAAGAUAAAAUCAUAAAAUUAAUAGGAAAAAUAGAAAAAUAACCUAAUGCUGAAAAAUGAUGAGGAAAAAAGUAACACUUUUAAAUCGAUCACGGGGCAUAACUAUGCGAGCUAUUAUGUUUGGUUUGUCUCAUUGCAGGCUUCGAAACAGUAUAUUAGAUACCUAAAACGAAUCCCUGUAACCUUAGUUAUGACCUCUAGAAAAUAAUCUGCUCAUCUUACGCAACAAUCCUACAUUAGCUAGCCCAGUUUGGGAUUGUGAUGACUGUUGAAAAUGUGAUUAAAAAAAAAAGUGUUAAAAUGAUGGGCAGUUGAGCCACCAUCUUUGAAUUCAAAGACGGUGGGUGGCUAAGCCAGUCACCAUCAUUGAACAAGGAAAAUGGGUGGGUGCCGCUCAUGCAAAGAAGAAAAAGAGGAAGAAAAGGAAGCCAAAAUUUGGCUAUAAAUAGAGGGGUUCUCCCCGUCAUUUAGGUAUCCAAGUUUUGGCAAGAAAUUGAGAAAGAGAAAUAUUUUUAAGCACGUAGUUAUAUUGAAGGAGUAUUUGACUCUUCAAUAUGGGUAUUACGGGUUUGCUUUGUUAGGGAAUAUUUAUAAGAAUCAUGUAUUUGGGGCUUGGGUGAGAGAAAAUUAUUUAUGAGAAAGUGGUUGUAAAAAUUUUCCACAUAGUGAAUAUUUUUUCUCUGAUUGUCUUUUGACAAUGGCCGUGGUUUUUCUCCGUAUUUGGAGUUUUCCACGUAAAUAUUGCGUUAUGUGAUUGGUGUAUUCUCCAUUUAAUUUUUCUGUUAAUUUGUUGCUUGACAAAUUGCUUGAAGUGAUCUUGGAGGAAGCCUAACAAUGACUUGUGAAAAAAACCGCUUCUAUAAAGCGAAUGAAUAAUCUACUUAUUAAAAUAGUAGCUUGGUGUUUAAUAAAGUGUGUUGUUGUAGUUGCUUUGAGUUUGGAAAAAAAUUACAUGUGUUUGAUAGAUUUUAUUGCGAAUGUGAUGUUUUGUUAUAUAAUGACCAAAAUAAUCAUAAUUUAAUUUUUUUAUUUAUAGAUUAGGAUGCAUGAAAAAUAAGAUGUAAUUGUUUCUUUGUUCAAACACUAAGGGCGUGUUUGGCAGCCCUCAUUAUAUAGUAUUAGGACUCCUCAUAGCAUUAAAUACUUAGAAUAGGGUUUGGCUACAAUGCCAGGCUCUCAAAAAGAGAGCCCGGCUGUCUUUGGCUGCCAUUUGGCAGCCAAAGACUUGGUGCAGCCAAUUAACAAACCGGUUGCACCAUAUUUUUUUUAAAAAAUAUAUAAAAAAUACAAUAUAAAAAUUAAAAAAAUUCAAAAUAUUUUUUUAUAAUAUAAUUAAUAGCAAAAGAUAAAUAAAUUAAAUAAUAUAAUACAAACCCUAUAAUACAGUAUAAUAUAAUGAAAUAAAAUGGCAAAAAAUAAAGAAAUUGAAAAUGAAAAAAAUAGUAUUUCAGGUUUAACGUUAGUUGUUGCAUGUUUGACGUCUUGAUUGCAUGUUUGACGUAAGAUGUUGCAUGUGUUAAAUAAAGCCAAAAUAAAGAAUAUUCCCGAAUAUUCUCGUCCGUUUCAUGUUUGACGUUGAAGUUGCGAACUUUACGUGAUAAGUUGCACAUUUCGCGUGAAGUGUUGCAAGUUUUAUAUUUAACGUCCGUUGUUGCAUGUCGGACGUCACGGUUGCAUGUUUGAGGUAGGCUGUUGCAUGUGUUGAAUAAAGCCAAAAUAAAGAAUAUUCCCGAGUAUUCUUGUCUAUUUCAUGUUUGACGUCGAAGUUGCGAACUUUACGUGAUAAGUUGCAUAUUUCGUGUGAAGUGUUGUAAGUUUCAUGUUUAACAUCCGUUGUUGCAUAUCGGACACCACGGUUGCAUGUUUGACGUAAGCUGUUGCAAGUGUUGAAUAAAGCCAAAAUAAAGAAUAUUCCAGAAUAUUCUCAUUCGUUUCAUGUUUGACGUCGAAGUUGCGAAAUUUACGUGAUAAGUUACAUAUUUCUCGUCAAGUAUUGCAAGUUUCAUGUUUAACGUCAGUUGUUGCAUGUUCGACGGAUGGAGUUCAUAUUUGAUGUAAGGUGUUGCAUGUUUUGAAUAAAGCCAAAAUAAAGGAUAUUCCCGAGUAUUCUCGUCCGUUUCAUGUUUGACGUCGAAGUUGCGAAUUUUACGUGAUAAGUUGCAUAUUUCGCGUGAAGUGUUGUAAGUUUCAUGUUUAACGUCAGUUGUUGCAUGUUCGACAGAUGGAGUUCAUAUUUGACGUAAGGUGUUGCAAGUGUUGAAUAAAGCCAAAAUAAAGAAUAUUCCCGAAUAUUCUCGUCCGUUUCAUGUUUGACGUCAAAGUUGCGAAAUUUACGUGAUAAGUUACAUAUUUCUCGUCAAGUAUUGCAAGUUUCAUGUUUAACGUCAGUUGUUGCAUGUUCGACGGAUGGAGUUCAUAUUUGACGUAAGGUGUUGCAUGUUUUGAAUAAAGCCAAAAUAAAGAAUAUUCUCGAAUAUUCUCAUCCGUUUCAUGUUUGACGUCGAAGUUGCAAACUUUACGUGAUAAGUUGUAUAUUCCGCGUGAGGUGUUGCAAGUUUCAUGUUUAACGUCAUUUGUUGCAUGUUCGACGGUUGGAUUUCAUGUUUGACGUACGAUGUUGCAUGUUUUGAAUACAACCAAAAUAAAAAAUAUUCCUGAAUAUUCUCGUUUGUUUCAUGUUUGACGUCGAUGUUGCGAACUUUACGUGAUAAGUUGCAUAUUCCGCGUGAGGUGUUGCAAGUUUCAUGUUUAACGUCAGUUGUUGCAUGUUCGACUAUUGGAUUUCAUGUUUGACGUAUGAUGUUGCAUGUUUUGAAUAAAGUCAAAAUAAAAAAUAUUCCCAAAUAUUCUCAUCAGUUUCAUGUUUGACGUCGAAGUUGCAAACUUUACGUGAUAAGUUGUAUAUUCCGCGUGAGGUGUUGCAAGUUUCAUUUUUAAUGUUAGUUGUUGCAUGUGUGAUGGGAGGAUUUCAUGUUUGACGUACGAUGUUGCAUGUUUUGGAUAAAGCCAAAAUAAAGAAUAUUCUCGAAUAUUCUCUCCCGUUUCAUGUUUAACGUCCAUGUUGCCAACUUUACGUGAUAAGUUGCAUAUUUCGCGUGAAGUGUUGCAAGUUUCAUAUUUAACGUCUGUUGUUGCAUGUUCGACGGUUGGAUUUCAUGUUUGACGUACGAUGUUGCAUGUUUUGAAUAAAGCCAAAAUAAAGAAUAUUCUCGAAUAUUCUCGUCCGUUUCAUGUUUGACGUCAAAGUUGCAUAAUUUACGUGAUAAAUUGCAUAUUUAACGUGACUUGUUGCGGGUUUCAUGUUUUACGUCUAUUGUUGCAUGUUGGACGUCGCGGUUGCAUGUUUGACAUUAGAUGUUGCAUGUCUUGAAUCAAGCCAAAAUAAAGAAUAUUUCUGAAUAUUCUCGCUUGUUUUAUAUUUGACAUCAAAGUUGUAUACUUUACGUGAUAGGUUGCAUGUUUGACGUAAAAUAUGGUAGGGUAGGUUUAUAUAAAAUAACUAAUUAUAAAAUGAGAGUGCAUUUCAAAAUUCCUUGACAAAUCAAGUGAUAAUUUAUAACUAGACUUAUUUUUUUCAAUUUUUUUUUAUUAAUUAAGUUUAAUUAAGCCAAUCUAUUAAGAAACAAAUGAAAAUAUAUUAAAAUUAAAUUAAAUUUAACUUUUACCCAAUAAAUAUAUUUAGGAAUAUAUCUAAUUAAACUGGUACACAAAUUACAAAUGUUUUCAUGAAAUUACACACAUAAGUUUAAUAGUCUAACUAUUUUUUACAUGAUUGAUAAAAUGAUGGCUUUGGAAAGAACUUGUGAUUCGAAAAGAAAAAUCUAGUUAAUUAUAAUAAAAUUACAUAUCUAAUCCAACAUUUUUUCCUUAUUUUAGUCAGAUAAUAGUUUUGAAAAUAAUUUGAUAAUUCAAGUGAUAAUGUCUAUUCUUAUUUGUUGUAUAAUAAUUUUUUAGGUGCAUUUCAUUUCAUUUUUAUUUUUUUAGAGAAUCUAAUCAUGGUGGAUAUUUUAAAUUACUAAGUCAUGAAAAUUUUGAAUUCAAUUGAAAUUUACAAUCUUUUAUGAAUGAAAAUAUACAGCAAGACAAAAAAAUUGAGAGAUAAAAAGAAAAUGUGGUAGAAAGAAAAGGCAACAUCAAUAUGAUCAUUUUCUAAGAAAAAUUAAGGCAAAAUCUUCCAAGUGAUAUGGUCAAUUUCAAUAAAAUUACAACUUACUAGAGUAAAUCCAUCUACUAAACAUCCAAAGUUCACAACAUAAUAUUUGAAUAUCACCAAUAACAUCCUCAAUCCGAUGAGUUGAGCAUUGGAGGGUUUAUGUUAGAAAAAUCUCCGACAUCCCUUGACUAGUUGUUAUGAACGCAAGCAUCCUUGGAGAAAGAGCUUAAGGUCCCAAGAGCCUAUUCGAUAAGAAAGAUAGAAGUACAAACCGACUCCCCAACAACUACUAAUUUAAGUGUUGGCGUGGUUGUCUAUUCACUUCACAGCUCGACGAGAAUUCAACAUCAACAAAUAUUUUAGAACCUAGUGUAUCUUCAAUCAUUUUGGAUUAAAUUGUAUGACACUUUUUUCUUUUCUUCUCUUUUUUUGUGAAAACAAAUUUUAAUACACUUAUUUUAAAAGAAAUUUGUUAAUGAAAAACAAAAUAAUGACAAUGAAGAGCACUCAUUUAUAAAAAUAAGCUACAAAUAGAAAAAUAAAAUUCAUAUAAGUAGAAUCUCCCAAAAAAUAAAAGCAUUGUCGAAUUGAGUUACAAACUAAUAAUAAUUUCAUCAAAGUUUGUAAACCAAAGAUUGUCCUAAUAUCAAAAAGUUUCCAAUAAAACACUUAUGCCAAAUAAUUUAUAGAACCUAGUAAUAUCCAACUGAAUUCUCCCCUGCAAAUAAUUAAAAUUUUCAAGUUAGUCAAUAAGAAAAAACAGCCAUCAAUCAUAAUAAGAAGCAACAGCAAAUUACACUAAAAAAAGGCAGAAAAAAGCACCAAAACAAAUAUAAACAAGAAACAACAAUUAAAAAAAAAACCCCAAAAUGGCAUAAAAAGAUGCUCAAAGCAGCAAUAAAUUUAUUAAAAAAUACCCUAAAAUAGCAGUGAAAAGUGCUUUAAAAAGCAUUAAAAAAUCCAAAAACAAUAGUAAACAUGCCUAGAAACAGUAGAAAAAAACCCCCUAAAAUAGCAAGAAAACUGCCUAAAACUAGAAAAAAAAUCUAGCAGCAAAAUCUUCCAUUGCCAAAUAAAGCUAUGAAAGAAAAGAAAUAAAAUUCAUAAAGAGUCAAAGCUAACAUACUGACCACUUGCUAGAAAUUAAGCUAUAAAUCCCAAAUUUUUACACAAAUUAGUAUCUGAAACAAGAUUGGUUUGAUAUAUGAUAGUCAAGUAAAAUACCUAUAAAGUAGUACAAAUUCAGCAAACCUAAUGGCUUCACUCCACUCAUUUUCUUAAGACUCCAGUGAUGAGAAGCCGCCAACAGAAUGAUAAAUUGAGGUUUGACAGGAAGCACACAAACUAAACAAGAUACAUAACAACUUUGUUAUCCAUGUUACACCCUAGAACCAUUUCUAGGAAUAUUUGUUAGAAUAGCCACCAUAACAGUUGAUGAACAACAUAAAACAAAGACAACAACAAAACCAACAACCUGCAAAGUGCCAAUUCUUCCAUAAUUAAAUCAGAUACACAAUAGAAAUAAUUUACUAUUAAAAUCCCAAAUUCAUUUUAUCUUCUUCCUGCAUUUUCUCAUCAAUCAAACAUAAAAGAGAGCUCCUAUCGACACAUGCAAACAGUACCCACCAUCUUGUCACGUUCAAACACAACCCAAGAUCACAAAAGUUAAUUUUUCAGAUUUAGUUAACCAAAGAAAAUAUACCAUCAACUGGAUCACCUUAUAAAUCAAAUACAAUUCCACGAUAUUACCAACCUCCCAAAAAAAAAGGCACAAAGUUUAAAAUGAAAACAACAAGACCAUGAAAAAUAAGCAAAAGUGGGUAUUUAAAUCAAACAUGAUAGAAUGCAACAAAAGCAAAAAAGCUUUCGAUAGAAGCCAGAGCCAGAUGGGGUACAAGCAAGCUAGGAGGUACCAAUUAAAGAUGCUUCAUUCAAGAACAGAAAAGCUACCAGAAUGAUAAAAAUAGAAAAAAUGAAACAAUAAACAUAAACUUGGGUGAAAGCUGCAACAAUAGUUUCAAUCACUUAACAGUACCAGCAAACUUAUAGUAAACUUUAAGAACUAGAUGUUUAAGCCACAGAUAACGGGGACGUACCCAUGAGGAUAAAGACACAAGCGUGAGACCAGCAAAAAGUCGAAUGAAAAAGGAGGCAACGACGGUAGCGACGGAAACAGCUGGAUCGAAAGCGAACAGCUCAAGAUGAAAGCAACAAGUUAAUGGAUUGGAUUGUGUGCGCGAGAUGUGGCUUCGAUUUUAUUUGAUUAGUCAAGAAAUCGAAGAGAGAAAUUAGAGAGAAAUUUGUGAUUUCUGAGAGAGAGGCAAGAAAUUGAGAGAGAUUGGGCACGGUUGAAACACCUAAAUUACAAAAAUAUAAAUUUUGCAGCCUUUGGGAACUGGUUGCUUCGGUUGCCCUUUUUUUGUUUUUUUUUUCUUUUCAAUGUCAGCCGUUGGAUUCAUUUUACUUGAAUCCAACGGCUGCGUUUACAAGCCGGCACGAUGCCGGGCCUCAAUGCCCGGUAUUGUAGCUUUAGCCCUUAGAAUAUCAUGUUUGGUGACUAUUCCUCACUGUAUUUUUAUGUGGUCAAAAGAAGCUUGUAAUGCGGUCAAACCCGCAUAAAAUAAACUCGUGUGAGAGUCGGGUUUAUGCGGGUUUGUAAUUGUUUUGAGACAAAAAAAAAAUUCGCUUUCAUUUUCGUUCUCCUUGUCUGUGUAGUGGCUCGCCUGCACCUCCACACAUCCACUCCACAAAUCUCAACUCCACACCACCACUGCCUCAAACACCACCAGCUCCAUGUGAUCUGCCUUUAUACCGUCACUGUCUCACGACACCACCGUGACACCACCAGCUCCAUUGUCUUCCCGAUCUACCUCCGCGACGUGCGAGACCGCUGCGCGGCAUGCCUUCGCGACACUCCACCACCAUGCUCCACUGCCUUCAUCAUGCCGUCGUGCCUUCGUCAUUUUUGAAACUGUGAGGGUCUUAUCUUUGUGUUAGUAUGUUAGAUCAUGCAUGCUUUUUUUGUGCUUGGUUUGAUUAUUAUUCUUUUAGAAAAAGGAUCAUUUGUUGUUUUUGUGAUUUACUUAGUUUCUAAUAUAUCUUCAGUUAAGAAAAUAGAAUGGAGUCUUCUUGUUGCCUUUAAAUUAAAUUGAUAUUUUGUUUGAUUAUGUUAUUGUGAGGCUUUGAUUGAGAUUUUGUUACUUUAUGUUGUGAAUGGAUGAGUUUAUAGAUCUAUGCCCGACAAUUGUUUGAUGAAUUGUCUAAAAGAAAAAGAAUUUGGUGCUUUGCUUCACUAAUUGUGGCCUAGAAAUUAUUACCACAUGUAGAAGUAUUUCCAAUCCGUAGUUGACUUUACAUUAAGAAAAAAUUAUCCUAAUUGUUUGGCUAAAGUAUUUUUGUGGGUGGAUUUUUGGCAAAUGUAGCUUCAGCCUUCAUGUGUAAACCAAAAAAAUAAAUAAAUAAAAUCUCGCAGGAUUGUACUUCAUUAAUGCAAUACCAAAGCACAAGAUGAAGCGUUAUUGUCUGUGAAUGGUUAUUUUUGGAAUGAAACAGGUGGCUUGUAAAAUUUGCAAUUAUUCUUGACAACUAGUACUUUCGAUUCUGGAUUUGCAAAUUAAUAGUAAUAAACAUCAUGUAAUGGUAGAGAAAUUAAUAUUGAAAAAGGAACUUGAAAAUCAUUAAGAUGAAAUCUUAUGAAUUUACUUUAGUUCUUGAAAGGAAGUAUUGAGGCAAAACAGAAUUAAAGAACAGAGCUAUUCUAGAGCCAUUAAAUUUAGAAAAGAACCAAAAAAAAAUUAAGUUAAUGAUUAGAAGAAACAACGAUCUGAUAUAAAGGAAUUUGAAAUUAUAUUGAUAAGAAACCAAACUUAUCUUUUUACGUUAUGACCUUGUGCAGUGUCACCAUGGGUAACUUUUUUAGCAUAUGUAUGGCUUCCAUUGCUGACUUUGCUGUCAUGAUUUUGCCUCAGUAUUUUGUUUUACUACUGUUUUGAUUCUUGACUUAUUCUGCUUUUGGUCAUAUCUGUAUGGCUAGAUAUUGCAUUUUCUCAUCUUUGAGGAUGCCUUCUUGCUUGACAACAAACUUUUUCUGCUUCUAUUACUCGAAUCUAUCUCGUUCAAGGAUCUAAUGGCAAAAAAUUUAAGACCUCUAUAUUUAGUUUUUUUAAGUACUAAUAAAUAUUAUUUUAUAAAUAUAUAAUAUAAAUUAAUCACAAAAAAUUAAUACAGUACAAUGCAACACCAAACAUAGUAUAACUAAAAAUUAAUACAGUACAGUGCAACACCAAACAUUGUACAACAUUGUUAUAAUACAGUGUUAAUGCAAUACAGCAUAAUAUAAUACACCAGCAUAAAAAUAAUGUAAUACAACAUAAUACAAUACAGUGUGUCAAACGCACCCUAAGGCUAUAAUAGGAACUUAAAAAAGGUGUGGUGUCUUAUUUGAUACUUAUUUAUAAAUAGCAACUGUACAUACUUUGAAAAGUUACUGUAAAAAAAAAAAGAAACUUAUGAAAUAAGUGGCUUUUAAAAAAUUUAUCUAACACUAUUUAUUACUAUAAGAGAGCUCUAUAUAUAUUAAAUUCUUUUAGGUAAAUUAAAUUUUGCCCCUUUGAUUUUGAGGUCUGGCUACAUCACCGAUUGAAGCUUGUGAUUUUUUUAUUUACUAGUGCAUGAAAUCUUUAAUUUUGUUAAUAUAUUAGUGGCAUCAAUGAAUUAUUCUCUCUUUCUCUCUAUAUAUAUAUGAGAAAGGUGAUCAGGUCUGCAACUAUAUAUCAAACUCCUAGAUUUUUUUAAUCUUAAUCUUCAAUGAAUUAUUACUAUAAGAGAACUGAUCAAGUGCGUGGCUAUAUAUCAAACUCCGAAAUUUUUGGUAUUGUAGGCAGUUUUGAUCUUAAUCUUUGGCUAAGGGUAUAAUUGGGAUUGCAUUAGCUUGGUAAAUAAUCUAUCCUCAUAUAAAUUCUCCAAUAACUAACUUUGCAAAUAAUUUGAUGAGAUGUUUGGUAAAAUUGGAUUAUAAGGUAGGGAUGGCAAUGGGGAGGGGACCAAUAUCCCCAUACCCAUCUCCGAUAUUUUGCGUAUGUCCCCGUCCCCUCUCCGUCCCCGUCCCCGUCAGAAUUACUUGAGAGAAUCCUCAUCUCUUCCCCGAAUAAUAACAGGGGAUCCCCGAGGGUCCCCGAUCCCCGAAUAACUAAUAGUCUAAUACAUUAUUUUUAUUUUCGUUUUUAAAUUAAUCAUAUUAAAAUAAAAAAUUCAGAUAAAAAUAAAGUUCAAAAUAUAUCUUACAUUAAUAUUGAUCCAUUACAAAGUCACAUUCAAAAUAUAAAUUAUUAAAAUAAUUAUAAAACAAUGAAAAUAAUAUAAGUAAAGUAACUUAUAAGUGCAAAUAUUAAUAACUGUAUAAUAUAAUCACAAUGUAAAAUAAACUCAUACUGUUAUUGUAAGCUCGUAACCAACUUUGACAGCACAUUAAGGCCUCCAAUGUGCUUGGAUGAAGUUUGUUACGAUGUGGGCUCACAACUCUACCACCAGUACUAAAAGUUGAUUCAGAAGCAACUGUUGUAAUUGGAAUUGCCAAAAUAUCUCUAGCAAUUCGAGCUAAUGUAGGAUACCUAUUAGCAUUUAAUAAUAUAAAUAUUUUGAUAUUUAUUAUUUUUAACAAUAUUUAUAAUUUUAUUAUUUAUUUAUUAGUAAUUUUAAAAAUAAAAAUUAAAUUAAAAAUUAAAAUGGGGAAAUAGGUAGGGGAUGGGGAUUCCACCUCAUCCCCGUCCCCUCCCCGAAUAAAAAAUUGGGUAUAAAAUUAUCCCAGUACCCUCUCCGAAUGGGGAAAAUCCCCGAAGGUACCCGUCCCCGUGGGGAUUUUUGCCAUCCCUAUUAUAAGGAAAUCAAUUAUUAAAUAAUUUACUUAACAUGUUUGUCGUAUUAAUCAAAAAAUUGUGUUGUGUGCAAAUUACCAAGAUGGACAAGUUUUCUUAUAUAGUAAUAUAUAAUGAUAAUUAUGACGAUUUAUUNNNNNNNNNNNNNNNNNNNNNNNNNNNNNNNNNNNNNNNNNNNNNNNNNNNNNNNNNNNNNNNNNNNNNNNNNNNNNNNNNNNNNNNNNNNNNNNNNNNNAAUUUCUUUUUGCAUUCCAUUCUUUGUUGAACUAUUUAUUGCACGAGUGGAGGACGAAUUCUAAAUACAUUUGAAAUAAUACAAUCAACCAAUGCAUGCACACCACUUGUAUGGAGAUUUUUCAAAAAUAAAUGCACACAUGUCAUAACAUUAUCUACUUGUUAUAUGACUGGCAUGAUAUUUUUUAUGUAUUCUAAAAUUUUUCUGAGUGGAGACCAUGAGUGGUAACAUCCACGUGACAAAAGAGUAUUACAAAGAGAUAGUCUCUUGUCAAUUUGAAUAUUUAUUGUAUUGAAUCUACUAAGUAUAUAAGCUCGGACAACCCUAAUUUCAUGAUGAGGGGUUAAAGACAAUACUAUUCUAAAAGAAAAUGGAACGAAAUUGUCCAUCCAUAGCCAUUAUUUGACUUUUAGAUUUGCCCUUCCAAAUUUUAACAAAAUGCGCAGACGAUUUUUAAUUUAUUCAUGUGAACGAAGUACAACCAAAUUAUUGAACCAAUCAGAACCAAGAUGGAAAUGAUCAUAAGCAAAAGCAAUUUGCAAGGACGAAUGGAAGCAGAUAAAUUAUUCUAAUUAAGAGACUAAGUGCAAGUGAAAUAACUGUAGCACUGAUUAUUCGAGUAUGGAGGGAACGUCGUCGAAGAAGGGUAAACGUCUCUGUUUCAGGAUUUCACAAUCCUCAGGACUUGCUGUGUUUGGAUCAAAAGGCUCACGAUCAGGGGUAGGUAAGCCGAGUUUUAUUUGACCCACUCGCCGCGAAUGCAGGACUUGCUUGGUAGUGACAGGUAGCCUAACAGAUUGAUGUUCUUCCAGAGCUGAAUGUAAAUUUUCUGGCCCCCACCUCUCAAGGCAUUUACCUAAAACUGCUGCAUCAGCUAUGGCCAUGUUUGUGCUUCUUGCACAGUGAGGGGUUAUGGGAUGAGCCGCAUCUCCAAUUAAGACCACAUUGUCCCAGUAUAUUAGUGUCAAAGGGUCACAAUCAUAUAUAAGGUUAAGGAAAGGCUCCUUUGUUUCUUUUAUUACUCUUGCAAACUCAGGAACCCAAAUCUUCUCUGCUUCUUGGUGCAUCUUCUUGAUCAUGUCACUGCUCACUUUCAUUGUAGCUGAAUCUCCCUGAAAUUACUUAAUCAAUUUAUUAAAGCUAGCUCUGCUAACACGUAUGUAUAUAAAUGAUAAAAUGAAGCAAGUUAGGCAAUCGCCUUGAGUUGAGGCUCAGGUUGAGAGAUAAACCAAAUCCAAUUGAGCCUCUUGUACAUAAGCUCAUAAAGGACGGUGUGAGUUCCAGGGCCCAAGUCCACGUGCACGCCAUUCCCAAGCUCAGGAUAUGCCUUCCGGAUGCCUUGUAUGGUUUCUGAAUUCUCAUUUUCCGAAAAAUCAAAAACACCCCUCCAAGCACAGUAACCUGUAUACCUGAAAAACAGAAAUGAAAAAUAAACCGUAAAUUUCAAGACAACCGAAAAUAUGAAAAUAUAAUAUAAUUUGUGCAGAAACCUGAGUUUAGAGUCUGGUAAAAAAGUCUGGCGAACUGAUGAGCAGCUCCCGUCAGCUGCAACCAGCAAAUCUCCAACUACGUCGAUGAUCUCAUCAGUUCUAAGAUUCUUAGCUUUGACAUUGACGGUUGAUUUGUCGUGAGAAAUGCAGAAAGUAAGGCACAAGUGACCCCAAAAAACUAUUUCGACAGGUAGAGUAUUGUAUAUAAGACCAUGAAGAUCAGUCCAAUGUGCCACUAAAUAGUUGAAAUUUUCGUCUCUAGCUAGUACCCGCAGAUGUUCUAUUCCCUAUCUACUGCCCGAUUCUGCACAAAAAGAAAAAUAAAAAAAGUCAACGCAAGAGCUCAAAUUAAAGUAGUUCUGCGUAUAUACGUACAUUACCUGACCAAUAGUGAGAGGUAAGGUGAUGUUGUGAAGAAGAUCAGGUUGAUGGAGCCAUGACUUAACCAUUUUCUGGGACAAUGGAUUAAGUGCGAUUCCAGCGCCGGUUGGGUUUCCGGUUGGAGGUCCACGUGUCUUCUCGAUCACCACCACAUCCCAACCUGCUAAAAUAAGCGCUUUUGCGCAUGAUAUCCCUGCUAUGCUUCCCCCAACUAUUAUAGCUUUUGGCUUCCGCAUCCACUACCUCAUGUCUCUCUCUUCCUCUCAAACACCAGUAUGUGUGACACAAAGGGACGCUCGCGCAUGGAUAUAUUUAUAGACAGGGGAAAACUUCCCAUUCUGAAUUCAUAAAUCAGGAAGAGCUGGCAAUCAUAUGAACAUUUUUUUAUAUUAUUGUCAAAAAAAUUUUAUACUAUUGUUAAUUUUGAUAAGGACAAGUCACAAGCAACAAAUAUGGUAGCUUGUACCGCCAUGGCAAGAGGAUUUCCAACAUCUCGUCUAAGCCAUAAUUGAUGGAAAAUAUAGCAACACAUGUCAUGGUGGACUCAUCACAACGGCUAGUUGAUUAUUAUAAUUAUUGUAAAUAUUGUCUUUCCUUGUACAACAUCUUGAACGUCUUUAUAUAUUUGUAAAAAUCAAGAAUUGAAAAAGUAACAAAAACAAUUCCUAUUUUCACCAUAUUCAAGCAUCUCAAAUAUUUUCAUGGUAUCAGAGCCUAAUGGCUUCAAGUUCAAAUUCAGAACCAUCCCUAUCCCUUCAAUCUUUCCAUCAGUGUUCGAGUUUGGUUCCAAUAAAACUCAACACUGAAAAUUAUCUUAUUUGGAGUUCUCAAGUUCAACCACUUAUAUUUACCCUUGGGCUAAAUCACCAUAUAGUUGAUGUUAAGACUCCACCAAAGAUGAUAGAGCAAGAUGGGAAGGAGAUAAAUAAUCCAGAUUUUCUCAUGUGGAAAAAUAAUGAUGGACUUCUCACAACUUGGCUCAGAAGUAUGAUGAACGAAGACGUGUUGAGCAUGGUUAUCGGCUUGCAAACGGCUCGAGAAAUCUGGCUCACCGUUGAAGAAAACAUGCUGCCUGCAACUAAGGAGCAAGAAACAUGGCUAAAAGAUAGCCUUUAUUCUCUAAAGAAAGGAUCUUCCAAGCUUGAUGAAUUUCUUAAGAAAUUCAAGGGCCUUUGCGACAAGUUGGCAGCCAUUGGAAAACCAAUGAAUGAUGAUGACAAGAUUUUUCAAAUUGCAAGAGCCUUAGGUCCCAAAUAUGCUGACUUCAAAACUGCAAUGCUCACUAAACCUCCAUAUCCCAGCCUUAAACAAUUCAUCAAUGCUCUCCAAAACCAUGAACAUACUGUGAUCGUAGAAAAAGAUGAAUAAGCUAGACUUGGCACAAAUCAAAACCAAGCCUUCUUUGGUCAACGCGGAAGAGGCAGAAAUCAAAGAGGUGGAAGACCUCCAUACCGAGGCAGAGGAUCUCAACGCAACUCAGGUGGUAGAAAUUACCCCAACAACUACAACAAUUACAAUGGCAACAACCGUAAACCACAACAGCAGCCUCAAAAACCAAAUAAAGAAAAUAAUACCUCAGAUGAAGAAGUUAUUUGCCAAAUCUGUCACAAACGCAAACAUAGUGCUGCUGAAUGUUGGUACAGAUACAACUAUGACAAUGAAGAGGAUCCACAGGCCCUAGCUGCCAUGAAUCUUCAAGAAAAUAAUGAUCAACAGUUCUAUGUGGAUUCUGGAGCAACAUCACACAUGACAAAUAACACAGGUAAUCUUGAUCAUGUAAGGCCGUAUAGAGGUAAUGACAAAAUAAUUGUCGGCAAUGGUCAAGAUUUAAAUAUUUCACAUAUUGGUUCUGCUUCUUUAAAUACAAAUCAUGGUUCUUUACACUUAAAUAAUAUUUUAGUUGUUCCAAAACUCAAAAAGAAUCUCUUAUCAGUUGGACAACUCAUUGAUGAUAUUAAAUGUGUUUUUGAAUUUAACACUGAUGGUUUUAUUGUGAAGAGCAAGGAAAACAAGGUUCUGGCAAAGGGGAGUAAGCAAGGGAAGCUAUACACAUUGGAAGGAGACUUUCAUGCUGCCUUCAACGCAAUUCAAGGAGAAUCUAGCGGUUUUAGUUUAUGGCACAAGAGGCUUGGCCAUGCCAAUCCUAAAAUCUUGGAGGCCUUAAAACGCAAUGAUUUUAUUGACUUUUCUAGUUGGUCUAAAGCACCCCGUAUUUGUGUUUCUUGCCAAUUAGGCAAGAGUUGUAGGAAAUCUUUUAAUUUAUCUAAUAAUAAAGCAGAUUUUCCUUUACAAAAAGUGCAUUGUGAUAUAUGGGGUCCAGCUCCCAUUACUUCUACUCAACAUUUUCGUUGCUAUGUAUUAUUUGUAGAUGAUUAUUCACGUUUUAGUUGGUUAUAUCCCUUAAAACAAAAAUCUGAUUUCUUGGAGUGCUUCUUGAAAUUUCAGAAACAAGUUGAAAAGCAAUUGGACAAAAAGAUCACAAUAUUUCAAAGCGAUGGAGGAGGGGAAUUUAAUUCUACAGCCUUCAUCAAACAUCUUGAAAAUUGCGGUAUCACAAGACAAAUUUCUUGUCCAUACACUCCGGAGCAAAAUGGUGUUGCCGAGAGAAAGCAUAGACACAUCAAUGAGACAGCCUUGACGAUGAUGUUUCAUGCUUCUUUGCCACUCAAAUUAUGGGUGGAUUCUUUUCUUGCAGCCACUUAUAUCAUUAACAGACUGCCUCUUUCACCUUUAAAAAAUAAAAGCCCUUAUGAAAUUCUUUUCAAAAAAUUACCGGACUAUAAAGGGUUAAAAGUCCUAGGUUGUAGAUUUUUUCCUUAUCUUCGGGAUUACUGUAAAACAAAAUUUGAUAAAAAAUCAUAUCCAUGUGUUUUCAUAGGCUAUAGUCCCCUCCAUAAAGGAUAUCGUUGUCUACAACCUGAGACUAAUCGUGUAUAUAUAUCAAGGCAUGUUGUAUUUGAUGAAAAUUAUUUACCAUUCAAAAACUUAACGUCAUUUUUUAAUGUGCAGGAACAUAGUACAUUGACCACCUUCCCUCAACAAGAUGAGUGGCUCCCAAAGAAUUCUCCCAAUUGUGAGAAUCUUAAUGAUUCACAUGCUGUCAAAGUAAACAAUUGUAAAGGCGCUACAAUAUCAACACCACAUGUGCAAUUCAUGCCCCACAAGCAUGUGAACUUGGACAACAACUCAAAUGUUACUUCUCCAAUUAUUUCAAAUUUCCCACAAGAGAAUUUAGAGGACAAUUUGAAUUCAGCAACUCCACACGACAAGUCAGAAGCAAUUCCAAAUAUUUUGGAGUCUCCACAUGCAAUGCAUCCUUUGACUACAAAUGAUUCAAAUUCUAGUAGUUCACAUGCAACUGAACCACCUAAUUUGUCCAGAAAUACGAACAACAGCCCUGCCACAAAUUCACAACCAGAUUAUCCUGACAUAUCCAAUCGCUUAUUUGUGGAACUUAAGAUACCAAACACAGCUGCGGAACCGCAAAGCCUAAAUACUCAUCCCAUGAUGACACGCAAUAAACUCAAACAAAAUCCUAAAUUAGCCCUUCAAGCCAGCCACAGUAGAGAAAUUGAACCUAAAACACUCAAAACAGCCUUAAAGAAUCCACUUUGGACUCAAGCUAUGAAAGAAGAGCUUCAAGCAUUGCAUCAAAAUCAGACAUGGGUCCUUGUGCCGCGGCCUAACAAUGUUAAUGUCAUCGGAUCGAAGUGGGUAUAUCGUAUCAAAUACAGAGAAGAUGGAACCAUUGAUCGCUAUAAAGCUCGAUUAGUUGCCAAGGGAUUCACACAGGUUCCAGGAGUCGACUUCGAUGAAACCUUCAGUCCCGUUAUAAAGGCCACAACUAUUCGCCUUAUCCUUGCAAUUGCUGUGAGCUCAAAAUGGCUUAUCAAGCAGCUAGAUGUUCGCAAUGCUUUUCUUCAUGGACUAUUAAAGGAGACUGUCUACAUGGAGCAGCCUCCUGGGUUUCGCAAUUCACGUCAUCCAGCAUAUGUUUGCAAGCUUAAAAAAUCGCUCUAUGGCGUGAAACAGGCACCUAGAGCGUGGUUCGAGUGUCUUUCUCAAGCCUUAAUUUCUCUUGGAUUUUCUAGUAGCAAAGCUGAUAGCUCUUUAUUUAUAUUUAAUAACAAAUCCAUUCUUAUACUUAUAUUAAUUUAUGUUGAUGAUGUGAUCAUUACAGGAAAUAAUGAGAAGGAAAUUCAAUCAAUCAUCAACAAUCUGAGCUCAAAGUUUGCUUUAAAAGAUCUUGGCAACCUACAUUACUUCCUAGGCAUUGAAGUUCAACAAUUCACGCAUGGCAUCUUUCUAUCUCAAGCGAAGUACACUAAAGACCUUCUUUCCAAGGCAAGAAUGCAGGAUUGUUCUCCUAUCAACACGCCGAUGGCUAUACGAUCAAUACCGUGUUCGGAUGAUAAUGAACCUGUGGAUGCAACUGAAUAUAGAGGCCUUGUUGGAAGCCUUCAAUAUCUCACCUACACAAGGCCCGAUAUCACAUUUGCUGUCAAUCGAGUCUCUCAACACUUCCAAGCACCAACAAAAGCCAACCUCAAGGACGUGAAAAGGAUCCUUCGUUACCUUAAAGGUACCCUUGACUUUGGCCUUAGAUUUUUGUCUCAAAGCUCUCUCAAGCUCUAUGCCUUUUCCGAUUCCGAUUGGGCUGGAUGUCCGAUAACAAGACGAAGUACAACAGGAUUUUGCAUUUAUCUUGGAAGCAACUGUAUCUCUUGGAGCUCCAAGAAACAACACACAGUCUCUCGCUCAAGUGCCGAAGCCGAAUAUAGGUCCAUGGCCUCUGCCGCUGCCGAGUUAACAUGGCUCACAUAUCUCCUUAAUGACAUUGGGUUCUGUAUUCCGAAAGCACCCACACUUCUCUGUGACAAUUUGAGUGCAAUUCAUAUGACUAAGAACCCAGUGUUUCAUGCUAGAAUGAAACACAUUGAGCUUGACGUGCAUUUUGUUCGUGAGAAGGUUGCUAAAGGGUCAUUAUUUACACGAUAUGUGCCUUCUCAUCUUCAGAUUGCAGACACUCUUACAAAACCUUUGGGGAAGCAUCAAUUUCUCACGCUACGAACCAAGCUAGGCGUUCAUCGCAUGUCACUGCCUAGCUUGAGGGGGGCUGAUAAGGACAAGUCACAAGCAACAAAUAUGGUAGCUUGUACCGCCAUGGCAAGAGGAUUUCCAACAUCUCGUCUAAGCCAUAAUUGAUGGAAAAUAUAGCAACACAUGUCAUGGUGGACUCAUCACAACGGCUAGUUGAUUAUUAUAAUUAUUGUAAAUAUUGUCUUUCCUUGUACAACAUCUUGAACGUCUUUAUAUAUUUGUAAAAAUCAAGAAUUGAAAAAGUAACAAAAACAAUUCCUAUUUUCACCAUAUUCAAGCAUCUCAAAUAUUUUCAAAUUUGACUCGGAUUUUAAUAAAAUUUAACAUCUCGAACCAAGUCACUACUCUAGAGAAAAAUUUCAAGAAUAUAUCUGUUGAUUCCGGUAGGGCAAGAGUCUCAUGCACAAGUUUCUCAUCUAUUUUCUUACCAGAACAAAUUUCUAGUCAAAAUGAGGGUGUGAAAGGAAGAUAAAUAGACGAAAUUUGGCCCACCACUUCAUUCUUCCUAAAUGAAUAACUUUUUACCCUAUUAAACGAGGAAAAAUGGAUUAGAUUCUCCCUUAAUUUGAUCUGAUUAGUGAUUACUAAAUAAAGACCACACGCUUUAUUGUAGUGUGUUUCGUCAUUUAAUACAUUGAAGUUUGUAUGUUUUUAAAUUGGCCCUAGUUUUAGAUCACUUAGUUGGAAAGGGACAUCCUAUAUUAUUUUUAAAAAGCACAUCCUAUAAGACUCCAACAGAUGGAGUCCAAGUUCUAGAAUAGAUGAAUAAAUGAUGUCAAUUAAAUGGCAAUAGCCCACCAAAGAAGACAAAGAAAACAAGUUAGGAGAGAUUCUAGGGUAUACCAAAAGUACUACACUUAAUUAAUACAUAUAUGCUAUAUGUGUAUUUAUUUUAAAAAAUUAUCAUGUAAUUAAUAGUUAUAUUUAAUUGAACUAUACAUAUCAUACAUGUAUUAGUUAUAUGUAGCACAUAUAUUAUACUCUAGAAUUUCUCACAAGAUAAUAUGUCAUUAUACCACAAAGUUUGAAUCCUAUGAAAUAUGUUUAAAAUUGACUCUUGUAGAAAUUUUUAUGUGGUAGUGAAAUGAUUAUGAUAAAUAAUAUAUUAACACAUGCCAAUAUAUAAUUAUGCUACAUCAAUUAGGGUACCAUUGGUUUCACUUUUUUAUUUUACGUCUUAACUUUUGUAUUGACAAUAUUAGUUUUGUAUUAUAUAUAUAUAUAUAUAUAUAUAUAUAAUUACUAAGUUAUUUUUUGCAAUCAAUAAAUAUCUAAUAACUCAAUACUUUUACAUUUAUGCUCAUAAAAUUUUUACUUAUUAAAUAAAUAUUAAAAUAUCUCAAAAAUAAUAAACUAUAUUUUUUAACACGAAUUAAAACAAAUAAUUUUCACAUUUAAUCUUGUUUUAGUUUAUAAUAUGGACCAUUCAUUCACCACUUGGCAUAACUUUAUAACCUAGGUCCUGUUUGGAAUCGAAGUACUAUACCUUUUAAGUUACAACUGUCGUAAAAAAAAUUGUAAUUGUAAAACAAAAAAUUAAUAGCUGUGAACUUAAUGAUUGCUUACUAAAGUUUAGGCAUUUAUUUAUUAGUUAAUUGUCUAAAAUUUACUUGUGAAUGUUAUUGACAAUACUUAUGUAUUGAUUAAAAAGAUGAAGUAAGGCAUUGAUCUUAGUAAUGGUGAUUUACCUUCAAUAGAAAUAUUUUAUACUAGAUUGACAUAUUUGUGUAUUUAUUUUAAUGUUAAAACUUUAAUUUCUCAUUUACACUGAUAAAAUUUAGAAAUGGGUAUUAUAUGUAGAUUGUUAAGCUCCUAUUAUAAAUUUAUAGUUUGACUUAUAUAAUUUAAUUUUUUUGUGUUUUUAAAAGUAUUGUUUCAAUAUUUGUGAAGUAAAAACCCAUUGCAGGUUACGCAAGGAUUUAGUAAUUGUUAAAACCUACAGAGGGUGAAUUUUUUUUUUUAAAUAAAAAACCAAUAGCGAGUUAAGAAUUUACUGAUUUAAUUAUCUUUUACAAGUGCAUGUUUGAUAAUGAUAAAAUCACUGCACUGAAAGAAAUUCUAUGAAAAAUAUAAUUCUUGUUCUGUAUUUUUAAUGAAAUUUUCAGAGUUAUUUAUACAAAAUAAAGACAAAGUAGCCCAUGAAAGCCUUAAUAAUAUUAAAGGAGAAUAAGUGAAUACUUCCUAAACUAUUGCACAAUAUCUUUAUAAAAUAGGAAUGAAAUAUUCCUACAUGAUAUUGACAUUCAAGUGCAAAAAUCGUGCCGGAGAUAUUCCUCGACAAAUAACUUUGAUGUGAGCAAGUCGUGUCACGUGUGGAGUGAUAAACCCGACUUGACCGUUAAUGACUUUCCUUUUGGUAAUCUUGGUCAGCUUGCUUAACAAGUGGUACGCAUAACCCAUCCAUACAGCUAGGCUAGCUAAACAGCAUAAAUAAAUGUAUAACGAUUCUUAUAUAAAAAGCCACCACCCCAAGCCAAAACAAAAAAAAACAAUUGUGCUGAAUACAACAAUAUAAUUUCUUCAGUUAUAUUUACUUGGAAACAAGAGAGAUGAAUACGAAGAAGCAGAAGCCAAAAGCUAUUGUAGUUGGAGGAAGCAUUGCUGGGGAAUCAUGCGCAAAAGCACUUGUUUCAGCAGGCUGGGAUGUUGUUGUGAUUGAGAAAACUCGUGGACCCCCAACCCAAAACCCAACCGGUGCUGGCCUUGGACUCGAUCCAUUGGCUCAGAAAAUUGUUCAGUCAUGGCUCCACGAACCUGAACUUCUUUACAACAACACUUUACCUGUCACCAUUACUGAGGUAUAUAAUAUAAUAUAUUUAAUUUCUUUUUUCCCAGUAGAAUCCAGUAGUGCUUUGAAUUAUACUGAUCUCUUCAAGAUAUUAGUUGCACACGUGUAUAUACAAUGGUGUAUGGUUAAGAUUUGAUAAAAGGAUAUUUUUCUCUGCACAAAAUACAAUUUAGAAUGGAAUCUGAUUGGGAAAAAAAUAUCUAUAUAUGUUGAAUAGAUAAAAUUUAAAUUUGUGUUUAAUUGCAGAACCUAGCAACAGAUGGGGAAAAGAAGAUCAGCUGGGUAAUAGGAAGAGAAGAAGGCACUAAGUAUCUGACAGCAUAUUGGGCUGAUCUUCAUGGCCUUAUAUACAAUACUCUGCCACCUGAAAUAUUUUUAUGGGGUCACCAGUACCUCUCUUUCUGUAUUUCUGAAGACAAAUUAACUGUCAAAGUUAGAGCUAAGGAUCUUGAGACAGAUGAAAUAAUCGAGAUAGUAGGAGAUUUGCUCGUCGGAGCAGAUGGGAUCCUCUCAUCAAUUCGUCCGAGCAUUCUACCUGACUUCAAAUUGAGGUUUGUGCUUGCUUGUGAGUAUCAAUAAAAGUAAUUAAUUUUUGAGUAUUUUGUUUCAUAAUUUUCAAUGUGUUUUUAAUAGGUACACAGGAUACUGUGCGUGGAGAGGUGUUUUUAAUUUUUCAGAAAACGAUUCAGAAACCAUCUUAGGCAUUCGAAAAUCGUAUCCUGAUAUUGGGAAAUGCUUUUACACGAAUAUUGGUUCAGGAUCUCACAUCAUAGUCACUGAGCUUAAGAAAGAGAAGUUCAAUUGGGUUUGGUAUGUCAAUCAACCUGAGCCCGAGCUCAAGGUAACUGCUUACUUUUGUUUCAUCUGUCUAUUUUUUUUUCGGGGGUUCGAGUUGAGUGCUAAAAUCUAAUUUUUGCAAACGAUCAACACAGCUCAGACCAUCACCGGAUCCAUUUUUUUUUUUUAAUUUUCCGGUUUAUCAAUGCAGUAUGACGUGACAUUGGGAAACAAAUUAUUUUAUUCUCUGCAGGGAAAUACAACUUCUGUGAAAGUAAGCAGUGACAUGAUCGAGGAGUUGCACCAAAGAGCAGAGCAGGUUUGGUUACCUGAAUUGUCAAGAUUGAUCAAAGAAACAAGGGAUCCUUUCCUUAAUGCUAUAUAUGAUUGCGAUCCUUUGGAGAAAAUCAUCUGGGACAGAGUGGUGCUAACAGGAGAUGCAGCUCACCCGACAACUCCACACUCUGCCAGAAGCACAAACAUGGCGAUAAUAGAUGCAGCAGUGUUAGGAAAAUGCCUCGAGAAGUGGGGGCCGGAUCAUUUAUACUCUGCUCUGGAAGAAUAUCAAUCCAUUAGGAAGCCUGUAACUUCAGCACAAGUUCUACAUUCGCGACGAUUGGGUCAAAUGAAACAGGGGUUAAGUAUUCCUGGAAGGGAGCGGCCUUUUGAUCCAAAGACAGCAAGUCUAGAGGACUCGGAAUUCAUCCUUAACAAAAAUGUGCCUCUUUUCGACGUUGUUCCUCCGAUUCUUGAUUCAAUUUUUCGUUCUGCUUGAUAACUUCAAAGGACACGGCUUGGUCUGUUCAUUAUGCUAACUAUAGCUGCCUAUAAAUAAGAGGGUUGACCUCAAUUGUGUGAGUAAAAGAACUGCUAUACUUAUGUUCCUUCCUGUAAUAACGAAAGCCUCUUACUUAAUUCAGUGUCUCUACUUCUUCAGCAAAAUAAAAAUAAAUUCUUGAUCGAAAUACACCCAACUUUUCCAAUUUUCUUAUAAAAAUGACACCACGAUAGGAUGGGAUUGUCCUUGUGUUGUGUCAUUGAUCUAUCCAUAUUUGUUUUUCCCAAAAACAAUUUCCAUGAAGGAGGAUGUUUUGCUGCUUGUUAGUGCACGCUAUUUAAGCACAAGACAUGAUUGAGAUUUAUGCAAGGUAUGUGGUAGAAUUUAUGUAAGACGACCGAUGAUUCAUAAGGAAAGCUAAACAUGAGAGUUGGUAACUUUUACCAUGGUGAUCAACGCGUUGAAGAAAAAUUUUAGAAUUUUUAUUAUAAGUGGUGCAUACAAAAGUUGGUGAGUCGAACUUGUACUCAAAUACUAGCUCAUGUAUUAGGAGUUGCCUUAGGCUUACGUUAUUAAUCUAGUAACUAAUAUUAGCGAUAUGAAAUAUUUUUUUCUAUCAUCUUCCAUCACAUGUGUGUAGGUCAAUCUUUUUGUUUGGUCCUUGUCUAGUGAUAAGACAGUGUGAGUGAUUUUGAGAGAAAAUAUGAAAAACACAAACAAUGAAAAUUCCCUUUUACUUAAACUAAGACACAGAUUUUUUUACACUGAAGUUGAUAGAAGACACUCGAAUGCGCAGGAGUGAAAUCUUGACAAAUUAAAGCGAGAACUAAGACAUGCUAGUCCUUUCUCGCGCAUUUAGUUGACAUUAUUUUGCUUUGCAAAUAAAUGCGGGCAUGGUUGAAGGCAUUUUAUCUUUCCGGAAGUGGAUGGAGAAAUAAAUAUAAUUAAAAGGGAUGCGAAUAAUAAAUGCCAUUUUUUUCUGAAUAACGAAGAAUAUAUUAGAAAUAAAUUGAAAUGUAACAAAAUACUUGAAAUAAUUCAAGUGACGGGUUUUUUCUCUGUUAACAACGCGCGAUAGUUCCUUGUCAUGAGCUUCUUAUCUUCUGUCUUGAAGGAAGAAAUUGCAAAAGACGAAUAAAACGAUUUCCUUUACACAUGCAAUCAAUGCUGCUGCCUUUAUAUCUUUAUUAUUCUCGGAGGGAUGACACUGUUGAGAGCCAAAACCAUUACCCAUACUCACUCCUCUUAUAGCCAUGUCUAACUCUCUACAAUAAUUUUGAUAUUGCUGUUCUUCAGUUCUUCCACUACUCAACAAAUGCGAAGGUAUGCGAUGGCUCCACUCAUUCAAGUUGAUUUUACAUUUGUUACAAUCUACUCCCGCCGUUGCUAGAGCCUCUAUGGACAUGUUUUAACAAGGUGAAGGAGGAGCUAAAUAAAAUUCACAAUUUUCCUGAAAGUUUACAGCUUCCAGGAAAUUCACCACCUCUAUAGAAUUGUAAUAACAAGAAUUGUGGUCUCCGUAAAAGAAUUUAUAAGAGUUAAUAUAAAAGAUUUGUUUAGGAGAAUGAAUUUUAUACGGACUAGAAAUACUCAUGAUUAAUUAGUUAUUCAGAUGGUUUAGAAAUCCUCUCGAUAUCAGGAAGCCAUUUAAGAUUCUGAUUAUUGUUGUUCUAAAUAUAUUAGUUUGCACCAACUUCCAAUUCCACAAUUACUCUGACAGCGUGCACGCCAUUCCCAAGCUCAGGAUAUGCCUUCCGGAUGCCUUGUAUGGUUUCUGAAUUCUCAUUUUCCGAAAAAUCAAAAACCCCCAUCCAAGCACAGUAACCUGUAUACCUGCAAAACAGAAAUGAAAAAUAAACCGUAAAUUUCUAGACAACAGAAAAUAUGAAAAUAUAAUAUAAUUUGUUCAGAAACCUGAGUUUAGAGUCUGGUAAAAAAGUCUGGCGAACUGAUGAGCGGCUCCCGUCAGCCGCAACCAGCAAAUCUCCAGCUAUGUCGAUGACCUCAUCAGUUUUAAGAUUCUUAGCUUUGACAUUGACAGUUGAUUUGUCGUGAGAAAUGCAGAAAGUGAGGUACAAGUGACCCCAAAAAAAAUUUCCGGAGGCAGAGUAUUGUAUAUAAGACUAUGAAGAUCAGUCCAAUGUGCCUGUAAAUAGUUGAAAUUUUCAUCUCUAGCUAGUAUCCGACAGAUAUUCUUUUCCUGAUCUACUGCCCGAUUCUGCACAGAAAGAAAAAUAAAAAAAAUCAGCACAACUUGUGGGAACGUCAGUUGAAAUUAAAGCAAUUCUGUGUAGAACCAUACAUUACCUGAUCAAUGGUGAGAGGUAAGGUGAUGUUGUGAAGAAGAUCAGGUUGAUGGAGCCAUGACUUAACUAUUUUCUGGGACAAUGGAUGAAGUGCGAUUCCAGCGCCAGUUGGGUUUCCGGUUGGAGGUCCACGUAUCUUCUCGAUCACCACCACAUCCCAACCUGCUAAAAUAAGCGCUUUUGUGCAUGAUAUCCCUGCUAUGCUUCCCACAACUAUUAUAGCUUUUGGCUUCCGCAUCCCCUCCCUCAUGUCUCUCUCUUCCUCUCAAACACCAGUAUGUGUGACACAAAGGGACGCUCGCGCAUAGAUAUAUUUAUAGACAGGGGAAAACUUCCCAUUCUGAAUUCAUAAAUCAGGAUGAGCCGGCAAUCAUAUGAACAUUUUUUUUAUAUUAUUGUCAAAAAAAUUUUAUACUAUUGUUAAUUUGACUCGGAUUUUAAUAAAAUUUAACAUCUCGAACCAAGUCACUACUCUAGAAAAUUUUUUCAAUCUGAACUUAUAUAUUCCAAUUCAAGAACAAGGUUUAAUAAUGUAAUGACCGUGAAAAUUAUUAAACCAUAUGGUUUAAUAGUGAAUGAUAUUAUACUAUAAAACCAUUUAAUAACUUUUCAAAUUUUAAUAAUAUUCAGGAUUCUAGACUAGAUCAGUACUAUACACACACACAUACACAUGCGGUGUCAGGAAUUAUUUUUAGCAGGCUCUAAGUUUAAAUAAUAAUUUACUUUAAAAAAUAAUUAAAAAAUAACAUAUAUCAAAAUAAAAAUUUAUUAAAAUAUUUAAUUCAAUACACUUAUAGCUGUUCUUGACUUGGUUUUAUAUGUUAAAAAUAUUAAAGAAAAAUCUCAUUAUCAAGGCUACAAAAUAUGUCUUUUUCUAUGUAUAUAACAAAUAUAUCAUUCAACUAUUGUUCUCCCAUUUGAUUUCACAUAUGAUUUUUUAUAAAAUUUAUAGUUGAAAAUGCCCUUUCUACUGUAUCUCUAGUAACUGGUAAAAUCAAUGCUAAUGUCACCAAUAAAUAAACUAAUGAAUAUAAUUUACCCUUCUUAGUCUCACCACAUUGUUAUUUUAUUAUUUAUUUGAAAACUGAUAAUAAAUUAUGAUUAAAUAUGUUCGCAGCAAUUACAAAGUCUUGAUACAAUGUUUCUAUCUCACAUGAUGACGUAACAUCAAUAUCGAUGAUCGCUAAUUAGGGAUUCCAUUAUCCUAUUUUCCCUCUCACAUGAUGAAUAAAUAAACAGUUUUAAAAUCUCGCGUCACCCAAUGUCUAGAAUGUACCCGGAGGCCGCAGCCUCAAAAGUUGUCAAAUUAAAUUCAAACUCUACAAACUCAAUAACAUGAUUACGUCUUAUUCUUUCUUAAUUGAAGUUGAUUUUUCAAGGAGGCAAUUUGUCCCGUCGUAUGCAACCGAGUUAGAACGAAAAAAUGCUUAAUUCAAAUCUUACGAUCUUGAAGAAACCUUUCUAGUCAAAAUAAAUUCUCAAGUCAGAUUUUUCAAUCUAGCGAUAUGGAAUUUGCCUAAUAAAUCUCUACAUUCAAACAUCACGCUUAUGAAACCCUUGCAUUCAGAAUAAAUUCUUGCGGUCUAUCAAAAAAAAAAAAAAUUCUUGCGGGUAAGGAGGAUCAAAUGCAAGAAUAAAGUGUGAUAAAAAUGAAUAAAAGCAAUAAGGUAAAAGGAUGAAUAAUUUUGGUAAAAUUAGGUACCAAAAAUAAGAUUUAGCAUAUGUUUGUUGUGGUUUAUUUAAUAACUAAAAGUAUUUAUAAGCUCUUUUCAAAAAUUUUACUGUUGUUUGGUAGUAUUUUGGAUAGAGAGCUUUUGAGAAUUAAAUAAGUUAUUUUGCAUCUACCAAUAAAAGUGCAAAUUAAAUAAGUUGUUGAGUACAUAAAGGCACCAGGUCGGCCAUGCUACUGGUUCCGCCCCGGCACGGAUCGUUUCAGCUAUAUGGUACGAGCAGAACACGGGGUUAAACAGGAGCCGACCCGAGAUGAAUGCGACCAGGAAAACAUACCGACCCGAAGUAUACGCCGAGCCGAUACUCAUCCCCAGGAAAGCGGGAACACGAUCUCACAAAAUCGCGGUAGUUGCGCUUCUCCCAGAACGGUUGAAGGACACGCGAGAUCCACGUUUGCCCACAAUCUAACAGUUAGAGUCCCAUGAGGGGCUACCACCACCCGAAAAAGGAGGGAUAAGGGGCAAACGAAAAACGUGGGACAAAGGGCGGCUAUAAAAGAGAAAGACAUCGAAGAAGACAGGACAGAAAAAAUUGAAGGAGGGGAAACGCUGCCAAAUUGCAACGAGACUAUUUUCUUACAGAUCUCGAACAAACUUCUUGAACCCAAAUUAUAUUGUUUUCCCGUAAACACCUUGUGCUAACUUAGGCAUCGGAGGGUUUACGCCGGCAAAACCACCGGCGUCUCUGAUCCAUUUUUGGUGAACGCAGGUCUAGUGAGAGAAAGGAGGGUGAUCCCGGCCUUAGUGGUUCGAGCAACAGUCGAUAACUUAAGCGUUGGUGAAAGAAUCUGGUCGGUCCAAGGACGAGCAGAUCUCAGCAUCAACAUUUUGGCGCCGUCUGUGGGGAGCUGAAUAAAAAGCUACCACCAAGUUAGUAAUUACCUGAGAAGUAGCGAACGAUUGGAUAUGGAUGCGUCAAGAAAGGAUACUUUAAGGGAGGAUAAUGAAACGGUGGAGACAAUCACUCUACGGGAGAUUGCAAAUGAAGCCCGAGAGAGGAUGAUGCAAGAUAGACUGGAGCGGAUGGAGAAACAAAUGGAGACUCUCGCGGCCGUAUUGUUUGAGCUGAGGGACGAGCGGAGAAGGGAUUAUGAAACCCCCGUGGGAAGAGAUGGAGUUGGAGCAGAACCCAGUCUCCAGGGGCGUAGGGUCGGGGAAAUCCCUCCACCCGCAGACCAACCUAACGGAGUGCAUCCCCACCGAAGUACUGGCCGGGUCCCAGGGGAACACGUGGAUGAAGGGAGAGACCAACCUCGCCCCGGACGGGUACUGGAAAUAAAUGGCCGAGGGGCCAGUGUUGAUGAAGGAGAGCUCAGACAGCGGUUGCAGAACGUCGAGCAGGAGCGAGACCAGAUAGCUGCACGUGAUCCUGAUCGCGCUAUAGAAUUGGAAGGGGAGGUGCGCAGAUUGGCGCAGGUGAUAGAGGAGAUGCAGGGCAAGAGAAAGCCCCCGAGCUGGAGGAUAAUGCUAGAUGAAGAAUCUUCGUUAUCAAUUGAGAUCAUGAGCACCAUAAUCCCAAGAGAUUUCCGCUUCCCUGACCUCAAAUACUCCGGGCGAAGUGACCCGUUGGUGCACAUUGAGCGUUUCAACGACAUGACGGGUGUGCAGGGGCUGACACCAGCUCAGAGAUGCAGGGUGUUCCCGUUGACACUAGAGGGACGAGCCCGAGAAUGGUACCGCAAGCUGUCCCGAGGAGGAAUAAAGGGGUAUGAGCAGAUGUGCCAGGAGUUGGCCGAGCAGUUCCGAGGGGCGGUGGCCCCAGAGGAUGACAUGAUGGAGCUGAUGGGGAUGAAGCAGAAGGAGCAUGAAUCCCUUCGCGAUUUCGUAAAACGAUAUCACCGAGCCAUGCUGGAUUUGGGAGCUUUUAAUCACCCGCAGGCGUUGAGGGGAUUAAAAGAAGGUGUAAGAAUCGACCGAUUGUGGUAUAACUUAAGAAGCCCCCUCGUACAGAAUUACUCGUCGGGGUAUGAGCAAGCGAAACGAGAUAUAGAAAUCGAAGAGGAAAAAUCAGCAAGAAUUAAAAGUGAACAGCUGGAAGAGCUGAGGCGAAGAGAACGGAGAGCCCCGAAAGGGAGCGGGUCGGGAAAGCGAACUGGAGAAUCUUCGGGGAUGGGCGGAAUAUCGGCUCGGUCUCGCCCUUACCCCAUAGCUCAGAGAGCACAACAGUUCCAACACAACCGGGCUCAACCUCCGCGCCCCCCGAUCCCAGAGCGGUAGCGAGAAUUCAGGCAGGUGACUGCCCACCCUUACCACCGCACUCCCAGAGAGGUAAACGCGACCAAUUACAGGUCUGGCCAACCAGAGCAGUUACCGGCUAUACCAGCCCGAAGUGACGUCCAUGAUAGCCGAGCAGUCCAGUUGGUUGACCAGAGCGCGGCAUAUAGACGAUAUACUCCUUUAAAAAUCUCCAUGGAGGAACUAUAUGAAAGGAUCGAGGGACGAGGACUGCUGUAUACUCUGGCCCCUAUAACGAAACCCGUUCACCGGCGUGAUAAGAGCAGGUUCUGCAAAUUCCACAACACUCACGGUCAUACUAUCGGCCAAUGCCGUGACCUAAGGAUUCAGGUGGAGGAUUUGGUGAGGAACCAAUACUUGGAUGAGUACGUAGAUGGAGUGUUCCCCGUCAGUGAGUCGCAAUAUGCACAGGAUGAAGGAGUUGAAAGGGGUUUGGAACAAGAACAGCCGACUAUCCAAGUUAUAGCAGGAGGGCCAACAUUGGCCGGGGAUUCAAACAGGGCACGGAAGAACUAUGGGAUAUACGCCCUGACUAGCAAAGAAGUGCUUUUCAAUUUGCCAGCAGCCAAGAGGGCAAAAGUGCGGCAAGUUCCUAUUAUGUGGACAGAGGACGACGAAGAAGGCAUUUUAUACCCUCACGAGGAUGCACUGGUGAUUAAAGCAUUGGUGGCCAGUACAGAAUUGCGGCGAAUACUGGUAGAUACGGGCAGCUCAGUAGACAUUCUGUUUAAGUCGGCCUUAGAUGAUAUGGGGAUUUCAGAUUUAAAGCUGGAGCGAACGAAUACAUCCUUGAAGGGAUUUGGAGGGGGACGGUUAACUCCCAUGGGGGUCAUUGAACUCCCAAUUACUGUGGGGACAAAGCCCUUUGAAAGAACGAUGAUGCUGGACUUUGUCGUGGUAGAGGAAAGAAGUCCUUACCAGAUGAUAUUGGGGAGACCCUUCAUAAGGAUAAGCCAAUGUGUAAUGUCCACGCAUUAUCUGGUGUUGAAAUACAGAAUAAAUGGAGUUGUGGGUGUAGUAAAGGGCGACCAGAGAAUGGCCAGGAGCUGCUAUGCUACAGCGGCCAAGGAAACGCUGCAGGUUACCUCACUAGAUAACCGAGGAGAUUCAAGAAAUGGUCGCCAGGAACCUGUUGAGAAGCUGGAGGAAGUUGUUAUAAGAAGGAGUGACCCUAGCAGAGUUGUUAAGGUCGGAUCAGAAUUGGGUAGAGAAAUAAAGACAGAGCUGGUGAAGUGUCUACAGUCCCAUGCAGACAUAUUUGCUUGGUCUCAUGAGGAUAUGCCAGGUAUUGACCACGAGAUAGCUUGUCACAAGCUGGCGGUCAAGAGAGGGGCAAAGCCGGUGAGGCAGAAAAGGAGGUGCUUCAACCAUGAAAGGUACGAAGCCAUAAAUGCCGAGGUGGAAAAGCUGCUGAAAGCAGGAUUUAUAAGGGAAGCUAAGUACCCGGAGUGGAUUUCCAAUGUGGUAUUGGUAAAGAAGGCCAAUGGGAAAUGGAGAAUGUGUGUAGACUUCACGGACCUCAAUAAGGCAUGCCCGAAGGACAGCUUUCCCCUACCAAAAAUAGAUCAGCUGGUGGACUCAACCGCGGGUCAUAGUCUGCUCAGUUUCAUGGAUGCCUUCUCCGGAUACAACCAGAUACCCAUGAACGAGCAGGAUGAGGAAAGCACCACAUUUAUAACUAACAUGGGUUUGUUUUGUUACAGGGUGAUGCCCUUUGGCCUGAAAAAUGCAGGAGCUACCUAUCAAAGGUUAGUGAACAAGGUCUUCAAACCAUUGAUCGGUCGCACUAUGGAAGUAUAUGUGGACGAUAUGAUCACCAAGUCAAGAGAACCGAAAGACCAUGUGAAGCACUUGGAAGAGACUUUCGAAUUGCUGAGGAGGUACAAAAUGAAGCUGAACCCGGAGAAAUGUGCAUUUGGGGUCAGCUCGGGCAAAUUUUUGGGAUACCUGGUGAGCCAUCGAGGUAUUAAAGCCAACCCAGAAAAGAUACGGGCGGUGAUAGAAAUGAGGUCCCCACGAACAGUUAAGGAGGUGCAGAGCCUUACGGGGAAGUUGGCAGCAUUGAACCGAUUCAUUUCGCGAGCCACUGAUAAAUGUCACCCUUUCUUCCAAGUCAUAAAGAAAGGGAAGAAGAUGGAAUGGACACCGGAAUGCGAGGGGGCAUUUGGACAGCUGAAGGAAUAUCUAGCCCACGCCCCGUUACUAUCAACUCCGAGAGAGGGUGACCAGCUGCUCUUAUACUUGGAAAUCUCUAAGCAGGCUACCAGCUCGGUCUUAGUCAGGGAAGUAGAAGGGAAGCAACACCCGGUAUACUACACAAGCAAGGCCCUAGUGGACGCAGAAACCAGAUAUCCACUAAUGGAGAAGUGGGCGCUGGCUUUGAUAACGGCAGCACGCAAACUCCGACCAUACUUCCAAGCCCACCAGAUCGUUGUGAUGACUGACCAGCCACUUCGGCAAGUACUUCAAAAACCAUAUGCGUCUGGUCGGUUAGUAAAAUGGUCCGUGGAGCUGAGCGAAUUUGACCUGUCCUACAGGCCCCGAGGAGCAAUCAAGGCCCAAGCCCUGGUAGAUUUUAUGGUGGACCGUGUUGAACCGGGGGAAGAGGUCCAAGAGGAACAACCGGUAGAGCACGAGGAUUCAAAGGAGAUAUGGCUGGUAAUGGUUGACGGAUCAUGUAGUGAGCAAGGAUCCGGAGCAGGAAUUGUAAUACGGAGCCCAGAGGGAACCGAGGUAACAUACGCGGUGAAGUUCGAAUUUCAGCUCACAAACAACCAAGCUGAGUAUGAAGCCUUUAUCACCGGGCUCGGACUUGCACACGCUCUCAGAGCAGAAAGAGUAGAAAUUCGAGCAGAUUCCCAAUUGGUGUGUAAUCAGCUCAAUGAUCAGUUUCAAGCGAGGGGAGAGAAGAUGGGUCUUUAUUUGAAGAAGGCGAAGCAGAUGGUUGGGCUUUUCCAAGCAGUGGAGGUAAAGCAGAUAUCCCAGAAUGAGAAUUUCCGAGCCGAUAUGCUGGCUAGGAUGGCAGCCAUCGCAGAUCCAAAAUUACCGAAGUCAGUUCCACUAGAGGUAAGGACCUCACCAAGUAUUGAGGAAGAAGCAGAGGUAAUGAGUGUAAAUAUUGGAGAAUCCUGGAUGGACCCGAUUCGCGCAUAUGUCCGCGAUGGAGUUUUACUGGAAGACAAAAGGCAAGCAAGAAAGUUAAAAUGCCGAGCAGCGAGGUACACGCUGCUAGAUGGAGUGCUAUACCGCCGAGGGUUCACCUUACCCCUUUUGAGAUGUUUGGAUGAUGAGGAGGCGGAUUAUGUGCUGAGAGAGAUUCAUGAGGGAAUAUGCGGCAAUCACUCGGGAGCAAGAACUUUAGCCUUCAAGGCACUCCGGCAAUAAUACUUCUGGCCAACCAUGCACCAGGAUGCCAAAAUGAUGGCCAAGAAUUGUAAAACAUGCUAAAGCUUCUCCGAGGUUCCUGCACAACCACCGGAGAAACUGACGGCUAUGACAUCCCCAUGGCCUUUCGCUCAAUGGGGAAUCGACUUGAUUGGUCCAUUACCAAAGGGACGAGGAGCGGCGACACAUGCAAUCGUGGCAAUAGACUACUUCACCAAGUGGGUGGAAGUAGGAGUCUUCAGCCAAAUCACAGAGAGGAAGACAACAGAUUUUAUUUGGAAAAACAUCAUCUGCAGAUAUGGGAUCCCCUACGCCAUCAUCACAGACAAUGGGAGGCAAUUUGACAACGGUAACUUCAGGGAAUUUUGCCGAAACCUGGGGGUGGACCUGAAGUUCUGCACCCCCGCACACCCCCAGGCAAACGGGCAAGUGGAAGCAGCCAACAAGGUGAUAAAGAAGCUCCUAAAGACUAGAUUGGGGGAGAAGAAUGGAGCUUGGGUUGACGAGCUACCAGGGGUACUGUGGGCCUACAGGACAACUCACAAAACCGCCACAGGAGAAACACCGUUCGCUUUAGCUUUUGGUCAUGAGGCGGUAAUCCCAGCAGAGAUUGGAGUGGGGACACAUAGAACGGAACAUUUCGUUGAGGAGCAAAAUGACGAGCAGAUCUGCUUAAGCCUAGACUUGCUGGAGGAGAAAAGGGAAGGGGCCUCACAGAAAGUGGCCCAAUGUCAGCAAAGGGUCAUGCGUUAUUACAACAAGAAUGUACGCGUGAGGCAGUUCCGAGCAGAAGAUUGGGUACUUAGGAAGGUGAACCAGAACACCAGGAAUCCUAACCAUGGCGCUCUUGGCCCAAAGUGGGAAGGCCCAUACCGAGUGAUACGAGCCACUGGACCAGGAGCAUAUAAAUUAGCGUGCCAAGACGGACGAGACGUGAAGAGAUCAUGGAACGCCGAACACCUGAAGAAGUACUUCCAGUAAGCAAAAUGCUCUAUUAAAUCCUCACUCUGGCAAGUUAUUUCUGUUACAAUGCCUGAUGGCCUGUCGCACAUGCAUAUAUUCUAUGUUUUUGUAAUACAUUCAAAUUUCAAUAAAGAUGAAUUCAGCAUGAAAUCCCCCUGCUAGCAAGAUCAAUAAAAAUUUCGCUAAGACAAGUGCCACUUCUGCUCGGUCAACGAAGACCAGCAGCUAAAGCUUCAAAAUUUCUACUAAGGCAACAAAGUGCCUGCUUCUGCUCGGUCAACGAAAGACCAGCAGCUAAAGCUACGAAAACUCUACUAAGGCAAGUGCCUACUUCUGCUCGGUCAACGAAAGACCAGCAGCUAAAGCUACGAAAACUCUACUAAGGCAGGUGCCUACUUCUGCUCGGUCCACGAAUGACCAGCAGCUAAAGUUACGAAGAUUCUACCAAGGCAAGUAAGUGCCUACUUCUGCUCGGUCAACGCAAGACCAGCAGCUAACUCUACAAGAAAUCUACUAAAGCAAAUGCCUACUUCGGCUCGGUCAACGAAGGACCAGCAGUUAAUCCUACGAAAAUUUUACUAAGAUGCAAUCUAUGAGCAAAAACCGGACAAGAAAGCAAAUAAAGAGCAUUUAAAAAUCUUUUUAUAAAUGUUCAAUUGUUUACAAAACAAAUGCAAAUCUAGAGUCUAUACAAAAAUAGGUUCAAAGCUUAGCAGAGUCAACGGCUCCAGCGGCUGAAGGAUCAGCGAGCCCGGGAAAUCAGGGAUCAGCAACAUCAGGAGGUGGGAGAUCAGCAAUACCGGGAGGAGGAGGCAUGGACCCUUGACCCACUUCGAAAGUGUGUCCCCCAGCAUCCCCCUCUUCCACCCCAUCCGAAGGAACCUCCACCCGAUCCUGCUCACCUUGCUCCUUAUCUCCCUGGCCAACCCCAGCCAUGUACCUCUCCACUCCAGCCUCCAGCUUGCUCAUUUCCAGCUCGGGAUAUUCUUCCUUAAGCACAGACAUGAUGCACUUAUAGGAGAAGGCAACCCCAGAGCCAUACUCGGCAUCCAGCCGAUCGUCCACAUCAGCAGAUUUGCCUUUCUCCUCAGCCAGCUGCUCACCCAAGGAUUUGAUUUCCCCCUCAAGGGCAGCCCUCAGAGUAUCCCUUUCAAUUUGAGUAGCCUGAAGAUCAGAUCUCAGGUCACCCAACUCGCCCUCAAGCUUGGAGGAAGUGGACUCAGCAACAGCAACUUUCUCCUCAAGCUCCGUAAGCUGUUUGUUCAGCUCGGCCAGUUUCUCCUUGGAACGGUCAGCAGAUUCAACUUUCUUUUUCAACUCUUGGUUAUCAGCCUGGAGCUUCUUCUCAUGACGAGCGGACCCGAUCUUGUAGCACGAGACCAUUGUGGCCAGCCUGAAGGAGACUCUCUGAACAGAAGCGGCCAACUCGGAGAGGCUCAUGCUCUCGAUGUCCUUCACCAUCUUGGGCCCAACCGACUUUUUAUAAUCCUUCUGAUAUGGGCUCAGGUAGUCACCUUGAUCCCGAGAUGGAAGAGGAGAAGAUCGGUCUCCAGACUGCAAGCUGACCUCAGGAUUCUUGUCGGAAGUUUUCUCCCCACCACUCUUACGAGAUGGAGGAGGGGGCAGAGCAGGAACAAGCGCCUUGGAAGGACCGACGCUGGGUUUCUUCGGAGGAGGAGGAGGGUUGCUGGAGCUACUCGGGCCCCGACCACGCUUCCUGCUCAUCGCGCUGAGGAUCUUGUUAUCCAUCCCGGCAGCUAUAUCCACUAAGCCCGAGCCGACCAAACUUGUGGGUGACAGGAGGUCUUGGCAGGUAGACGCGUUCAAUAGAGCCGUUUCCACCUGAAGCAAAGGCCGAUCUUCAAGCCCCCCGAUCAGACCCCACGACUCUGAAAUAGCACAGAAGGUUAAAAAACUCAAUAAGUAGCAAUCUAAUUAAGAAUACAGGCAAAAAUGAACGACCUGGGGUGACAAACUGCGUUGGUAGGUAAAGAUCACCACCCAACGAACGAAGUGCUAAACACCAUUUUCCCCCAGCAAAGAAGAAUUUGUUCUUCCAAUUCUUGCACGAGGAGGGGAAACCGGUGAUUGGCUUUCUCUUUGCAGAACUGGACAUGAAGUAGUACCAGCCCGCCUCCCUUGGGCUGCUCCGUAGCUGAUACAAAUGCUUCACUUCAACAAGGGAAGGCUCCUCCAACCCGCACCUCUCCCACAACACAAACAUAGCCGAUAGAACCCUCCACCCGUUCGGGUGUAGCUGACCUGGGGUCAGGUGCAUACCUCCCAGUAUCUUGGCAAAAUAACGCUGAAGGGGCAGCCGAGCUCCUAGUUUAAAACUCUCUAGGUGCAUCGUCACAUACCCCCGCGGAGGCCGACUAGGAACGUCACCCUUCCCAGGGACUACAAGAAGAACAUCGUUGGGGAUGUUGUAGAGAUUUCUAAGUUUAAAUAUAUCGGUGGGGGUGGUGGCACAAGCCAUGAAAUCAAUAGGGUAGGAAUCAGCCUCCACCCUAUGGCCUAGGUUCCUUUUCUGAGCAGGUCUGCUCGGUCCGGAACUACUCCCCUCACCAUCACUAACUCCUUCAGGGACCCCAACCCCACCAGAACUGUGAUUCUCACCAGAGCCCGACGUAGGUCCACCUCUAUUCCCUACAAGCUCUAGUUCGGGGGAAGGAGAGAUAACCAAAGGGCGUGGGUAUUCAAGGGUAUCCCUGCCAUGGGAAGGACCUACACUACUGGAGGGGCCUAAGUAAUCAGUGGGUAUUGGCACAUUGAGGCCUGAGUCCCCUGACUCUUCAUCACCCUCAUCAACAAUUAACUUCCUCUUCCGAUUUGACAUACCGAAAUCCCCAAAAGAAAACAGAGAAAACUUGAGUAUAUGGACACAAAGAAGGCAACACAGAACCCAAUCAACAACAACCAGAGGAAAAGGUUAAAGACUAUACCUGGAAUAGACUGACACUGAUAGCGCUGCCGUGACAGAGAAAACACCCGGCGAAUGGAUACUCCGGACGCUGGAAGUGUGAGCAAAGUUCAGAGAAAAUUUGGUUGACGGCGGAGAAACGAAUAGUAAGAUAAGGAUGACUCCAGUCUAGGGAUUUGAAACGAAAAGGGGGAAAUGGAAGCAUUUAAGUGAUGGGAUAUGCCAGCUCACCCCCCCAUAUAUCGAGGACGGAUAGCCCGUCGUUUCAAAUUUCAAAUACGAAGAGUCUGGAGAUGCCACGUCACCAACCGUUACAAGAGGCCAGGUUAGAAGUAAGCCCAGAUAUGCUAUGGGCAGGUUCACUUAGGCCAACGCUCAGGUCGGAGUCUCCUCAGUAGAGAAAUGGUACAUCAGGUCAGGCCCGUCUCAAUAAAAAGAGGAUCAGAUGAGAAGCUCCCCGGGCUGGUGAGAUUUGACCAUCAGUUUCUACUCUUAACUCAUUUCACUCGCCAGACCAGAAACUGGGGGACUGGUGUUGAGUACAUAAAGGCACCAGGUUGGCCAUGCUACUGGUUCCGCCCCGGCACGAAUCGUUUCAGCUAUAUGGUGCGAGCAGAACACGGGGUUAAACAGGAGCCGACCCGAGAUGAAUGCGACCAGGAAAACAUACCGACCCGAAGUAUACGCCGAGCCGAUACUCAUCCCCAGGAAAGCGGGAACACGAUCUCACAAAAUCGCGGUAGUUGCGCUUCUCCCAGAACGGUUGAAGGACACGCGAGAUCCACGUUUGCCCACAAUCUAACAGUUAGAGUCCCAUGAGGGGCUACCACCACCCGAAAAAGGAGGGAUAAGGGGCAAACGAAAAACGUGGGACAAAGGGCGGCUAUAAAAGAGAAAGACAUCGAAGAAGACAGGACAGAAAAAAUUGAAGGAGGGGAAACGCUGCCAAAUUGCAACGAGACUAUUUUCUUACAGAUCUCGAACAAACUUCUUGAACCCAAAUUAUAUUGUUUUCCCGUAAACACCUUGUGCUAACUUAGGCAUCGGAGGGUUUACGCCGGCAAAACCACCGGCGUCUCUGAUCCAUUUUUGGUGAACGCAGGUCUAGUGAGAGAAAGGAGGGUGAUCCCGGCCUUAGUGGUUCGAGCAACAGUCGAUAACUUAAGCGUUGGUGAAAGAAUCUGGUCGGUCCAAGGACGAGCAGAUCUCAGCAUCAACAUAAGUUAUUUUGGGAACAAAAGUUGUAGAGCAUUUUUCAAGUGUUAAAUUAUCUAACAUACCUUUUAUUUAUUUUACAUUUUUAUUUCAUUCUUUUCAUAAUAUGAUUUUAAAUAAAUUGGUCAAUUAAAGUAAUUUUAUAAUUUAAAUUUUUUAAUAAAAGUUCAUAUUGACAACCAAAUAAUUAAAAUAUUUUGGUAAAUCUCUACUUGUAACAACUUAAUUUUAUUAAAAGCUCUAUCUGAAUUAACUCAAUUGAAAAGUUGUACCAUAUAGAGCAUAGAAUCAGUGUCGAUACGGAAAUAUAAAAAGUUGAUUGAUAGAAGAAAUUAGGUUUCUAAAUAAUAAAACUUUUGUUAGAAAAGUUUAAAUGAACAAAACUAGUGUUUUGAGCUCUUAUUAUAAUAAUCCUAAAUAUCGCGAAUUUAUCAUAAUAAAAAAAUCUAAAAUAUUAUUUUAUAAUAAAAUCUCAUAAUCUAAAUAAAGAAACCAAAAUAAGCAGCACCCAAAGCCAAUAUCUAAAAAAAAGAUAAAAUCAUAAAAUUAAUAGAAAAAAAAAAAGAAAAAUAACCUAAUGCUGAAAAAUGAUCAGGAAAUAAGUAAAACUUUUAAAUCGACCACGAGGUAGAACUAUGCAAGCUAUUAUGUUUGGUUUGUCUCGUUGCAGGCUUCGAAACGAUAUAUUAUAUACCUAAAACAGAUCCCUGUAAUCUUAGUUAUGACCUCUAGAAAAUAAUCUGCUCAUCUUACGCAACAAUCCUACGUUAGCUAGCCCAGUUUGGGAUUGUGAUGACUAUUGAAAAUGUGAUUAAAAAAAAGUGUAAAAAUGAUGGGUGGCUGAGCCACCGUCUUUGAAUUCAAAGAGGGUGGAUGGCUGAGCCAACCACCAUCAUUGAACAAGGAAAAUGGGUGGGUGCCGCCCAUGCAAAGAAGAAAAAGAGGAAGAAAAGGAAGCCAAAAUUUGGCUAUAAAUAGAGGGGUUCUCCCCCUCAUUUAGGCAUCCAAGUUUUGGUGAGAAAUUGAGAAAGAAAAAUAUUUUUAAGCACGUAAUUAUAUUGAAGGAGCAUUUGGCUCCUCAAUAUGGGUAUUACUGGUUUGCUUUGUUAGAGAAUAUUUAUAGGAAUCAUGUAUUUGGGACUUAGGUGAGAGAAAAUUAUUUAUGAGAAAGUGGUUGUAAAAAUUUUCCACAUAGUGAAUAUUUUUUCUUUGGUUGUCUUUUGACAACAACCGUGAUUUUUCUCCGUAUUUGGAGUUUUCCACGUAAAUCUUAUGUUGUGUGAUUGGUGUAUUCUCCAUUUAAUUUUUCUGUUAAUUUGUUGCUUGACAAAUUGCUUGAAGUGAUCUUGGGAGGAAUCUCAAUUUCCUAACAAUGGUAUCAGAGCCAACGGUUCAUACUUUGGGGUAUAAGGUAUUGUUCACGUAUACAGUACUGUUUACGUGAAGCAGUGAGGCCAAUCCAAAUAGUUUGUGGUGAAGAGCAAAGACUGAUCUAUAAAGCAAAUAUGUCAGCAGCUGGUGUUUUUCAAACUUGGUGGAGUUUGAUGUUGUUGAAAAAUUAAUGGGAGAAUGAUUUUUUAUUGGCUUGUGGAGAAUUCAAGUCAAAUGUGUAUCCAAUCUAGUAUGCACAAGAAUUUGAAGGUGUGGCAAUUUGGCACCUCAAGGAAAUUGUUAAGAAGGUGGAGCGGGCUCGGCAAAUUGCUCCAAAAUUAAUAAAGGAGAUAUUGAUAUUCUUGCAAAUGGUGAGUUUCUUUUUAUAAGAGAUUGGGUUAGAUCUUUUGGCAUGUAGAUCUCCAAGUUGCCAUAAAGGAGAACAUGUUAUUAUCAGCGGAGUCCACAAGUUUGCACGAAGGCAUUGGCUUGGUAUAAAUGCAAGGUGUGUGUGGUGGAAAAGUUAUAUCAUGGCUGAAGAAUUCUCAGUGAAACCAAGCAUGAGAAUUGCACUAUAAAUUUCAGCAGGAUAUUUUGACAUGUACCAAGAAAAACCUUAGAACGGUUGAUUCUAAGUGGUAUACUCUUUAUGGUAGAGUAUGAUAAUUCUCUAUGUUGAGAAUUAUGACUGUUGGUGAAGACAGUGUUUUGUAACAAUAGCUACAAAAAAUUUUUUUUAAUCAUGGUGGAGAUUGUUGAAAAUGUGAUUUAAAAAAAUGUGUCAAAAUGAUGGGUGGCUGAGCCAACCACCAUCAUUGAACAAGGAAAAUGGGUGGGUGCCGUCCAUGCAAAGAAGAAAAAAAGGAAGCCAAAAUUUGGUUAUAAAUAGAAGGGUUCUCCCCCUCAUUUAGGUAUCCAAGUUUUGGUGAGAAAUUGAGAAAGAAAAAUAUUUUUAAGCAUGUAGUUAUAUUGAAGGAGCAUUUGGUUCCUCAAUAUGGGUAUUACGAGUUUAAUUUGUUAGGGAUAUUUAUAGGAAAUUAGGAAUCAUGUAUUUGGGGCUUGGGUGAGAGAAAAUUAUUUAUAAGAAAGUGAUUGUAAAAUUUUUCCAUAUAGUGAAUAUUUUUUCUCUGGUUGUCUUUUGACAAUAACCGUGGUUUUUCUCCGUAUUUGGAGUUUUCUACGUAAAUCUUGUGUUGUGUGGUUGGUGUAUUCUCCAUUUAAUUUUUCUGUUAAUUUGUUACUUGACAAAUUGCUUGAAGUGAUCUUGGGAGGAAGCUCAAUUUCCUAAUAAUGACUUGUGAAAUAAACUGCUUCUAUAAUGCGAAUGAAUAAUCUACUUAUUAAAAUAGUAGAUUCGUGUUUGGUAAAGUGUGUUGUUAUGGUUGCUUUGAGUUUGAAAAAAAUAGUACACGUGUUUGAUAGAUUUUAGUGCGAAUGUGAUGUUUUGUUAUAUAAUGACCGAAAUAAUUAUAAUUUAAUUUUUUUAUUUAUAUAUUAGGAUGCAUGAAAAAUAAGAUAUAAUUGUCUCUUUGUUAAAACAUUAAGGUUAUAAUAGGAACUUAAAAAAGGUGUGGUGUCUUAUUUGAUACCUAUUUAUAAAUAACAAUUGUACAUUCUUUGAAAAGUUAUUGUCAAAAUGAAGAAACUUAUGAAAUAAGUGACUUUUAAAAAAUUUAUCUAACACUAUUUAUUACUAUAAGAGAGCUCUAUAUAUAUUAAAUUCUUUUAGGUAAAUUAAAUUUUGCCCCUUUGAUUUUGAGGUCGGGCUACAUCACCGAUUGAAGCUUGUGAUUUUUUUAUUUGCUAGUGCAUGAAAUCUUUAAUUUUGUUAAUAUUUUAGAGGCAUCAAUGAAUUAUUCUCUCUCUCUCUAUAUAUAUAUAUAUAUGAAACGUGAUCAGGUGUGCGACUAUAUAUCAAACUCCUAGAUUUUUUUAAUCUUAAUCUUCAAUGAAUUAUUACUAUAAGAGAACUGAUCAAGUGCGUGGCUAUAUAUCAAACUCCGAAAUUUUUUGUAUUGUACGCAGUUUUGAUCUUAAUCUUUGGCUAAGGGUAUGAUUGGGAUUGCAUUAGCUUGCUAAAUAAUCCAUCCUCAUAUAAAUUCUCCAAUAAUUAACUUUGCGAAUAAUUUGAUGAGAUGUUUGGUAAAAUUGGAUUAUAAGGAAAUCAAUUAUUAAAUAAUUUACUUAACAUGUUUGUCGUAUUAAUAAAAAAAUUGUGUUGUGUGCAAAUCACCAAGAUGGACAAGUUUUCUUAUAUAGUAAUAUAUAAUGAUAAUUACUACGAUUUCUUUAUAUUAAUGACAAACCAAAAAUAAUAAUUGUUACUAUUAAUUUAUAUUAAUGAAAAAUAAAAUAUGAUAAGAUAAAAUAAUCCAAUGUUUCAAGGGAACCAUAAGCUCGCCGUUAUACGGAGGCUUUCACAGCGCGUAACCAGUUGAACGGUGGUCGCCUGUCGCUGAUAUAUCAAAUAUUAGUGGUGGUGACGCUAUUUGUUUGCCGUUUCAUGGCUGCAAUUAUUUUAGAGGUGUGCGUGAGCAGCCGCCAUUUCUCUGUUAUUGACGGUAACAUCAUACGUUUUGGAGUUUGAUAGCAGAGGUAUUGUUGCAUAAUGAAGACUUUAGCUAGAUGCUGACGACGGUGCCGAAGACAUCGCCGGACGCCAGCAAUAAUCUAUUUGUUUCCUUUUUUUUGUUUUAUUUAAAUGUAAACAUAAAUAUGUUAUUAGUGUUAGGGUGUGUUCGAAAUUGUAUUAUUAAAAUGAGGAAAAUUUGGUAUUAUGCUUUACAAAAUCAAAUUCUAUAAAAAACCCGGAUUUCCAAAGCUACUUUCUCAUGUUUUUAAUGAUUAGUACAAAGAUAAAUUAUUUAAAAAAUAUUUAUCUAAGAUUUUUUUUUGGGUGCUAGAUUGUUAAAUAAGUAUAAAGCAAUCCGAAGCAUGCCGAGAAUCCAAUCCCGGCAUUCAACUCCCCAAUUUCUCGAAUUGUCCACAAGUCUCAUUAAAUGCCCAUCCAUAUUUUAAGACAUUCCUUUACCAAAUACAAAACAUUUUUAAAAACAUUUUUUUGGCUUUUUCAACUUACAUCAAAUAUAAUAUAAGCGUAAGGGUUUGGUUAUGUUGGAAUUACUUUAAAGUAUAUCAUUUCUUUAUAAUGAGUUUUCUAUUAUUUAUUAUUUUGCGUAUAUAGUUAUGAUUUGUACUUUAUUACUUUAUCUUAGAGUAGGUCCAAGAUAGUCAUGGCCUGAAGGUAAUUGAUAAAGAAGUAAUGCGAAGUGCAUAGGCGAGUAAAUUAUUUGAAGAUGGCUUGCAAAAUGCAUGCUUCAACAAAAACUCAGUCAACAAUACAUGCAAAUGCAGUAAUUACAAGAAGACCAGCAAAGAAACACAUCCUAAUGCUAAUGACCCACUAAAAAGAUAAAAAGAGGACGGCAGACUGCAUAAUCUGAACGGUGCAACAAAGUAAAUUAGUGUCGUCGGAUUAGUGAAUGGAAAUGGACGGUUGGAUAGCUCUCAAAUAAAAAGGAAAGAGAAGGGAAAGCGAGAACUUAAAAGGGUUCUGAAAAAUGUGAAAAGGGGCACGAAACGCAUUUGCAAUUACUCAUUUUUUAGCAAUACUGUUUUUCUUCAAUCAUUAUUAAAUUACAUUAUAAUAUAUUUUCAAUUAUUUUUAAACCUACUGUGACCAUACAAGAAGAAUAUGUCCUUUACAGUUGCUGUUUACUGACACAAAACGUUUGUUAAGACGAUGAUAUAACAAUCUGUAAAACGAACAGGUGCGAUCACAAAUCACCAUCUAGGGAUGUUCUGCGAUGCUUAAGUAGCUGUUACAAAAAUAAUUAAGCAGCCACAUUUAAAAUAGUACUUUUUUUCAUAAAAAAAAAUACUUAGAAACUAAUAAAUUUAUUAUUCAAUCAAGCAUAAAUUAUAAACUAUUAUUAAACAAGCAGUGGUGUAACCAGAAAAUCAUACUAAUAAGUGCAAAAUAACCAAUACGAAAUAUAACGAAGGAAAAAGUUUAUAACCUUAGAUGCAUUUGAAAUUAAGGUACUGUAACUUUUAAAGUAUAUCUGCUGUGAAAAAAAAAUAUAACUAUAAAACGAAAGUUAGUAAUUAUAGUAAAUGUAAAUUUGAAAUAAUACUUUUGAUAAAAUUAUUAUAAAUAUAAUAGAUUUUUUAUUAUACAAGUAAAAAUUCAUAUCAAUAUAACUUUUAAGUUAUAGUAGUUAGUGUUUACCAAACACUUUAGUGCUAUAAUUUUUAAGGUAUAGCUGCUCAACCUCAAUUCCAAACGCAUCAUUACUUCACUAUUUUUCUAGUUUUUGAUAUUUCUCCUUACGCACGCUUAAGAGAGAAGGCAAACAAAUGAUAAAAAUUGAACAGCAAAUAUUCUUGUUUUAUUUUUCAAUAAUAAAUUUUGUUUCGAUUGAUUUAUUUUUAAUGGAUUUAAUUGGAUUUUGGGCCUUUAAAUUAUUCAAUUAGAAUAAUAAAUCACAAAUGGAUGAUAUUUAUUUUCAAUAAUAAAUUUUGCAAGCGCCAUCCGUGUUAAGCUUAUAGAAAGGAAAAGGAGGAGGCUUCCAACCAAAAACCCUUUCAAUCCGUGUUUCCUUGCUGCCAUGGAACGUAUCAAAAGUCAGCAUUAUUUCUUCAGCAUGAGAAAAAAUAUCCUUGACUAUAUAAUCUACACUUUGAGCCGAUCCCUCAAAACAAAACUUGUUUCUCCAGCACCAUAUUCGCCACAGAGCUACCCCAAAAGUACAAGCCCAGGCACGGCCAUCAUCCCUCUGUUCCGUGCUCUUCAAGUUUUGGAAAAUCCAUUCAUCCAGAGGUAGAGAGAAAAAGUUAGCGUAAGCAUGGCCCAUAAAGAGUUUCCUCCAGAUUCCUUGAACCGCAACACAAUCCCGAAAAGCAUGAGCAGCAUCCUCUAUAACCCCAUUGCAACGAAUACAACCCAUAUCAGCAACAACACGUCUUUUAUAAAGUUCAGUGUUACAUUGAAUUUUACCCUGGACAGCAAGCCACAUGAAAGUUCUAACACGUCGAGGACCCUGCCACUUCCGGAUAAGCUGCCAUCUCGGAUCAACCGCACUAUAAUUUUUACUCAUCGGCUGGUUAUAGGCCGACUUAGCUGUAAAUUUGCCAGAUUUUGAAUGACCCCAAUAAAAAUGAUCCUGAUCGCCAUUGAGAUGGGGAGGUUUAAUUGCGGCUAUACUUAGUAGUUAGUAGGACAUGAUGUGGAAGAAAAUGAGCAAAAAGAGUCCAGUUCCACGAGCCAUCAUAAGUAACAAAAUCGAUACACACAUACUGGCCAGAGUGUCAACAUAUUUAGUAUGUUGAAAAUGAUCAUUAGAGAAAACCAGUAAGUAUCAAGGAGCAACAUAUAAUUAAAUUGAUUGGACAGUUGAGAUAUCGAUUUAAUUAAUGACGUGGUACAAAGGAUUAUGCAGUAAAGAAAUCAAUAUGGCAUGGAUCGAAUUAUUAUUCGAGAACACUAUCCUAGAUAACAUACAAUUAUAGAGGUCAGUUCCAAUCUUUUAGUGAAACAGAUUUGGAAUUAAGUAAUUGAGCUAGUUUAAUUACAUGUCCAAUUAUUGUAGCUACUAUUGUAUAUACCCAUAUAAUCCCCGGGUUAGCUCAUUUAAUUGACUGCGCCGCUACUGGAUUAAUAAGCAAGAUAACUAACUAUUGGGGUUAAAAGCCUAAAUAUAUUUUUUUGUGGGAGGCUCCAUUUAAUAUGUUUGUGUGUAAGGGUCUUAUGUUAUUUUACAAGGUAGGCCCCUAUAACAAGAGCAAGUAACGUCACUUUUGGUUUUAUUGUUUUUUAAUUUAAAUCAAAUUUGAUUUAAGAGAAUUAAAAAAGAUAAAAGGGUUUGUUUUCUCUAAAAGGGGAGAGGCCACAAUAUACAUAUCAGAGAAAAAGAUUUUUUCUCUUUGAUUUUGAGAGGAAUAUUUUCUCUUACUAGUUACUUUUAGUAGUGAUAAAGACGUCCACACAUCAAGUGCAGACCAAACUUGAGUCAUAACUUGAAAAAUUAUUGGUGACGGGUCGUGAUCUAACAUGAUUAGUAGUGACAAUUCAUGAUCUAACAGGAAUGGUGGUAACGGAUUGUGAUCUGGGAGCCUAGAUUACAUCAGCGAAAAAGUAAAGGUACGAUUUCUAGAUUAUGGUAAUUUUAUAUAUUGUAUGAAAAUUGCAAUCCAAAUAUUUCCGCUGCAAAAUAUCUUUAAACCAAUAAUUGAUAUCAGAGCGAUCUCAUAUAAAUAUAUAGAGUUACUGUAUGAAAUCAAUCUCUUGUAUUAUGUGUAUAAAAUUGGUGGCACUAAUUUUUAUAUAUUAUUUCAUUAUGUGAAUGUGUAUAAUUAUUGAGCAUAUUAAAGGUUGUCUCAAUUCAUGGUUAGAUAUUUCUUUGUAUUAAUUUUAUAGAUUUGUAAUAAGAGAGGUGGUCAAUUUUCACCAUAUUUCUCUCAUGAUUAUUUUAAUUCAUUGUUCUUAGAUUCUUUGUAAGCCAUCUAUGGUAUAGGAGUUCUUGUAAAUAUUAUUUUUUAUUAUAUAAUAAUGUAAAGAACCCAAAAAAACAAAGAAAAGUUGAUGGCGGCAAGGAGAAGAAGAAACGGCAGCCUCUCUAGAAUUGGCAGCGAAAAGCACGAAGGGGUGGAGGGUUUCUUUUCAAUUUUUUCAUUGACACCCUAUUGUCUCACUAAUUUAUGUUUUCUGGCAAGGCUUGAAAUAUUAUUGCAUUUAAGUCCAACAGUAUAUGUUGGUGACGGCUGGAAGAAAAAUAAGUGAUUUAGGGUUUUGGGUUUAUACCCCAUGGCACCCUACAAUUUCAUUAUUUUACAGUUCAGCCUAAAUAUUUUGGGUUUUGGGCAGAAAAAUUCAAAUUUAUGUAUAGUGGAUCCAAGCCCACUAUUGACUAUCAAUUGGAUGAUACAAAUAUAAAUUUGAUAAGCCCAAUUGUUAUUAUUUGUCCAGAUUUAUUUAUAUUGGUCCCAAGCCCAUUUAAGAGAUUUCAAAAUUGGGUUAUAUAAAUGAAAAUUUGGUAGAUCAAUAAUAAAAUUUAUUUGGCUCAAAAAAUUUUAAACAUAAAUUUGGGUUUAUUUUAUUAAACUAAUUGGGUCUGGAUUUUUUUUUAAAAAAGAGGUAUUUAAAAAAAUAAGAGCCAAUAGAAUUUGUUUUUUGAAAGGUGCCGAAAUUUAAAUUUAAAAAUUGAACCAAAGAUAAAUUUUAAAAGCCCAAAAGUCCUCAAGGCAAUAGUUAUGUAGAAGAGCAAGUUCAAGGAAGAGAAAAAAGAAAGAUGGAUGUUGACUUAAAGCCCAAUAGACAUUAGGCUUGUAGAUUAAGUCAAUUUUUUUCUUAGGAAAAUCAUGAAUUGAGAUUGUUUAAUUGCUUUUAAUUUAUAUGCUAUGUUUGGUUGAUAACAUGCCAUGAUAACAUGUCAUAUAGAAUAGGAAGUGCCACUCUAUGCAUCAUAAUACAUGACAUCUAUAGAUUAUGAAUCUAGACAUUUAUUGUUUGACAUUUGCAUGUGCUUAAUAAUAUUAGAUUUCAUCUAGAUAAUAUUAUUGUAGGAAGCAUGCAAUUAACAAUAUAGGAUAUAAUCUGUAUAUUGGAAAAACUAACUUUAAAAUAUCGAGUGGGAGAGAGAAAAUUCAAGAUAAUUUUUCCCACAGGCUCCAUUGUUAGUUCAAUAAUAAAAUUAUAUAUAUACCUCGAUUUCAUGAUACGGUGAUGCUUCCUACAGAGGGUAUAUAUAUUAGACAUUUUAUUUGAUGAACUUCUUUACAGAUAAGAUCAAAAUAUUUUUCAAUCUGUUGAUCACCCUAACGGUGGCGGCAUGGUAUGGAAGAUACGUAGAUUCAAACAAUGGUUAUACACUCAACUAAAAUUUGUUAUUAACCUUCCCAACGAAGCUCUGUAACAAAUUUGGGCCCAAAAUGAUAACAAUAAUUAUUUAUCAUGUCUCUACGUAAAAAUAAAUAAUCCAAUAGAUAAUUGGGUCUAGUAAGUGUAGACAUGACUCCCCAAUGGAUAGUUUGCCAAAGCAGUACUAGAUUAUUGUUACAAUAAAAUAAAAUGCAUUUAUGAUUUUUUUUGCAUUUUGGAUCAUUUAUUGUGAACAGUAUUUGUUCCAAAGUAUUUAUGCAUGUCUAUUUUGUUUUUCAGAAAAUGUCUUCCAUCAACCCAUUAUUAAUUAUCCUUGUUAAAAUUGAACUCACUGGCGAAAUGUAUUUAGAUUGGAAACGCAAUCUAUUUAAUAUUCUCAUUGCUAAGGGUUGCAAAAUUGUGUUGACCCAAUCAUUCCCUCCAGAACCAACGUUAUACGAUUAUAGAAAUCAGAUGGAGCCUUAUGAGAAAUGGUGCGGAGCUAACAAAAUGGCUAAGCGCUUCAUCUGAUGUUUGGGCAGAAUAUUCAUUUUGCCAAAAAAGCAGCGUAAAAACGUAUUACGGAUACUAAGAUGGAAAAGGGCACAAGAGUUCGUGAUCAUGUCCUCAAAAUGAUGGACUAUUUGAAUGAAGUAGAGAUUCAUGGUGUUCAAAUCGAUGAUAAAAUAAAGAUUAACAUCGUGAUUGAAUUGUUGCCUAAUACAUUCAAAGAGUUUAAGGUCAACUAUAUCUUAAACAAUAAAGAUAUGACUUUAAUUGAAUUAAUGCACGAACUACAUGCUAUAAAAGAAUUUUAUCAUAGUAGGAAACUUCCUGAAAAAUUAUUCUCUUGAAGGCCUAAGUCGAAAGACAAGAAUAAUCAAGAGAGAGUUGGGAUGAGAAAAUUGUCCACUAAAAGAGAUGGCAAGCCAAAAGGCAAGUGUUACAAAUGUGGACAGAAGGGUCACUGGAAUAAAGAUUGUCCUAUGAUUAUUAAAAUCAGGUAUAUGAAAUCUUUAAUCUUUCUAAUUAGUUUAGAUUUCUAUUGAUGCAUGCAACAGUGAAUUCUAAGAUAACUAAUCUUAUUUGUAAUUCAUUUAUUUGGUUUUCAGGAAACCAAGAGAUUAAGUGAACAAAGCUUCAAACAACAAUUGAGGACAUGCUAGUUUAUAUUAGUUGAAAGGCUAGAUCAAAUUUACGAGAUUAGUUUGAUAUUUGUCUUUAUUAUUAUAAAUAUUAGAGGAAUUUAAUUUCGGUGGCUUGUUUUAAUAAACAUGAGUACACUGUUAUUUUUUUAUCUUUUGUUUAUUACUUAUUUUGGUUCUUUAUAAAGACAAUUUAUAUCAUAUAAGUCCAUUAAUCAAUUCAAAGCAAGAUAUAAUGAUAAAGAGUAUAUGCAUUUAUCUAAGAAAAGAAAUAUUUUUUUCUAACCAAUAUCACCUCUAAUAUUUAUGUUUAAGUCGUAUAAAUUAUAAUAAAAUUUUUAAAAAAUGAUUAAUGAUAGGCUUGUUGGUCUAUUAAGAUUAAUCAUUGUCAUUCUAUAAAUCUUAUUUAGAAAAGAAAUAUGACGAGGAUGGUCUUUUUGAGCUAAAAGUUUACGACAUGUUCGUAUUUGGGGAUUACCAGCACAUGUACUGAAACCAAAGACAAACAAAAUGGAUUCACGUUCUGAGGUUUGUAUGUUUGUAGGGUAUCCUGAAGGAAAAAUGGAGGUUUAUUUUAUAGUUUUCAAGAUUGGAAAGUGAUCGUGAGCACAUAUUUCAUUUCUUUCGAGGAAGAUUAUAUGAAAAACUUCAAACCUAAGAGUAAGGUAAUACUUGAAGAACUGUCAGGUAAUCAGGUUGAUGCUCAGAUUUCAACACCUGUUAUAGAACAGGAAAAACAACAACUAACUAAUCAACACAUGAUUAUCCUUGAACAACCAUCACUUUUAGAAUCUCGUCGUAGUAGGAGGGUAACUAGGUUACCUGCAAGAUGCAUGUUAUUAGGAGAAACCUAUAUGACUAUCUCAGAUGAACAUGUACAAAAUCCCACUAACUACAACGAAGCUCUAAUAGACAGAGAUGUUGAACUUUGAAAAAAAGGCCAUUAAUCAAGAAAUGGAAUCUAUGUAUUCCAAUAAAGUCUGGGAAGUUGUAGAGGCACCAAAUGCGGUAAAACCUAUAGGGUGCAAAUUGAUCUACAAGAGAAAAAGAGGAGUAGACGGAAGGGUGGAAACAUUUAAAGUAAGAUUAGUAGCCAAAUGGUUUACUUAGAAAGAGGAAAUCAAUUAUAAGGAAACAUUUUCUCUAGUUGCUAUGCUUAAAUAUAAGGAUUUUGCUCUUCAUUGCUACAGUACUAGAUUAUAAAAUUUGGCAAAUGGAUGUCAAGACUGCUUUUCUUAACGGGCAUCUUGAAAAAGACAUCUACAUGUAGUAACGAGAUAGAUUCAUACAAAAAGGCCAAGAACACAUGGUAUGUAAGUUGCAGAAAUCCAUUUAUGGAUUGAAGUAGACAUCCCGAUCGUGGAACAUCAGAUUUGAUUAAGCGAUUAAAUCAUUUGGAUUUAUUUAGAAUAUUGAUGAACCAUGUGUAUACAAGAAAAUUCAGAAAAUAUUUGUAGCCUUCCUAGUUCUUUAUGUAGAUGAUAUUCUCCUUAUUAGAAAUGAUAUAGGAGUAUUGACUACAAUAAAGAGUUGGUUAACAAAACAAUUUUAUAUGAAAGUUGGUUAACAAAACAAUUUUAUAUAAAAACGUGGGAGAGGCAAGUUAUUUUCUUGGUAUCAAAUUACAACGAGACCGGAAGAAUAAAACUUUAACCUUGUCUCAAGUGGUCUAUAUCGACAAGAUAUUGGCUAGAUUUAGCAUGGAAAAUUCCAAGACUAGUUUGUUACCAUUCAGAUAUGGAAUUGCAUUCUCUAAGGAUCAAUCACCUAAAACAUUUGAAGCGAAAGAGAAAAUGAGACGAGUUCCCUAUACAGAAGCUGUAGGAAGUCUCAUGUAUGUCAUGCUUUGCACGAGGCUAGACAUAUGUUUUCUGGUAUGGAUGGUUAAUAGAUAUCAAUCUAAUCCUGAACCCGAACAUUGGGCUGUAAUCAAGCAUAUAAUGAAAUAUCUGAAAAGAACUAAAAAUUAUAUGCUUGUGUAUUCUGGUGAUGAACUCAUUCUAAUGGGUUAUACUGAUUCUGACUUUAUGUCAUAUGAGGAUUCCAGAAAAUCAACUUUCAACUAUGUGUGUUACGUUAGGAAAUGGAGCUAUUAAUUGAAGGAGUGUGAAAUAAUCAUGUAUCGCAGACUCCACAACUGAAGCUAAAUAUAUGGCUACAUCUGAAACUGCAAAAGAAGUUGUACGGUUCUGCAAGUUCCUACAAGAUCUUGAGUGGUACAUGCUGUAACUGCACCCCUUAAACUAUUUUGUGAUAAUAGUGGUGCGGUAGUUCAAUCUAAGGAACCAAUGAACCACAAGAAACAAAAACAUAUUGAGAGGAAGUAUCAUCUUAUAAGGGAUAUAGUGCAGAGAGGUGAUGUGGAAGUUACUUAGAUUGCGUCACAAGAAAACUUGGCAGAUCCUUUUACUAAGGCCAUACCUGGGAAACUUUUUAACUUGCACUUAGAAUCUGUGGGCAUGUGUGAGAUGCCAAAUAUGCUUUGAGAGCUAGUGGGAGAUUAUUGGAAAAAUAUGCUCUUUAAAAGCAUAUGUGUUUAUUUAAUUGUAAUAAACAAUUUUUCUGAUUAUUAUAAAAAAUGAGGUAUUUUAUUCAAGUAUCUUAGUUACAUUAAUAUUUUGAGUAAAGUCCAUUUAAUCAUAUUAUAUGUAUUUAUGUGAUCACCAUAUGGAUUCACAAAAGACAUAAAUACAAACUAUCUUAUGAUUAAAUAAAUUAAGUUCGCAGUUGAUAAAUAAAGUUGGGCACUUUAUUUAGGUAUAGAUUGUAAUAAAUCCAUUGAAUGAUUUGUCUUAAUUAUGUAUGAAUUUAUUGAUGUAGUAAGACUACAUUGAACUGGAUCACAUAUGAGAUUUAAUUAACUUUAUAAUAACUGUCAGACUUAUUAACUCUCAUAAGCAUUAAUUUUACUAUAAUCUUAAUCUUGAGUCAGUUAUAAUUUCAUGAUUGUAAUUGUUAUUCCAUUUGAGUUACUAAUCGACAUGACACACACUUAUAGUCAAGAUUACCCAAUAUCUUGGUGGGAGCAAUUAUGAAUAUUGAAGUUAUAGAUUAACAAUAUAAAAUUUGUACAACACAUCUCUUGAUGAGUUUUCGGCACUUGAUCAUAAAAUUCUUUGGUCAGAGUGUGUCAACAUAUUUAGUAUAUUGAAAAUGAUCAUUAGAGAAAACCAGUAAAUAUCAAGGAAUAAGAUGUAAUUAAAUUAAUUUGACAGUUGAGAUAUCGAUUUAAUUAACGAUGUGGUACAAAGGAUUAUGCAGUAAAGAAAUCAUUGUGGCAUGGGUCGAAUUAUUAUUCGAGAACACUAUCCUAGAUAACAUACAAUUAUGGAGGUCAGUUCCAAUCUUUUAGUGGAGUAGAUUUGGAAUUCAGUAAUUGGGCUAGUUUAAGGACAGACCUAAUUAUUGUUGCUAUUAUUAUAUGUACCCAUAUAAUCCCCAAGUUAGCUCAUUUAAUUGACUGUGCCACUACUGGAUUAAUAAGAAAUAUACAAACUAACUAUUUGGGUUAAAAACCUAAAUAUAUUAUUUAGUGAAAUGCUCUAUUUAAUAUACUUGUGUGUAAGGGGUCUUAUGUUAUUUUACAAGGUGGGCCCCUAUAACAAGAGCAAGUAAUGCCACUUUUAGUUUUAUUUUUUUUAAUUUAAAUCAAAUUUGAUUUAAGAGAAUUAAAAAAUAUAUAAAUAUGGAGCUUACGGUUUCCACCAAAUAGAGAUAUAAAAAGGCUUGUUUUCUCUAAAAGGGGAGAGGAACCACAAUAUAUAGAUGAGAGAAAAAGAGUUUUUCUCUCUAAUUUUGAGAGAAAUAUUUUCUCUUGUUAGUUGCUUUUAAUGGUGAUAAAGGCGUCUACACGUCAAGUGCAGAUCAAACUUAAGUCAUAAUCUAGAAGAUUAUUAGUGACGGAUCGUGAUCUAACAAGAUUGGUGGUGACGGUUCGUGAUCUAACGGGAGUGGUGGUAACGGAUCGUGAUCUGGGAGCCUAGAUUACUUCAGCAAAAAAGUAAAUGUAUGAUUUCUAGAUUAAGGUAAUUUUAUAUAUUGUAUGAGAAUUGUGAUCCAAAUAUUUCCGCUGCAAAAUAUUUUUAAACCAACAAUUAGCAACUUAAUACACUUGGUACGCUGGAAUGGAUUCAAUUUUUACCAAAUAUGAUUAGUAAUAGAUAAAAUUAGAUUGAAUUAUAUUUAAUAUUGUCUUUUGUUUGGUCUAAUAAAGAAUUGGAAUAGAUUGUAAAUAUAAUAUUAUCAUCAAAUUUAUUUAAUUUAAUUGUAUCAUUUUCAAGAGAAAGUAUCAUUUUUUUUAUGCAACUAAGUCAUCUAGAGACAAACCUUCUCUUGUAUUCUCACAGCUUUGGGGAAGCUUCAAAGGACACAGCUUGGAUUGUUCAUUAUGCUAAUAUACCUGCCUAUAAAUA
rnacentral:lncRNA from 1 species